AUGGUCAACCAAGAUGAUCAUGCGGCGAACACAAGUACCAACGCUACCAUCAUCAACUCAACAUCUGUAGGCGAGAGCAAGAAAACCGAGAAAUUUUGCAGCCUCUUUCUCAUAUGUUAUUUGAACAUUGAGAUUCGUGCUGAGUGCUACUGUUGCGAGAAUAAGAAUGCCGACUGUUACAAGACGAAGACUGAGUGCCUGCAGAAGUGUCAUUCCUACAACGGUUAAUGCCCACCUUCAUCGCGGUUUCUGGGAUAGAAUUCCAUAUGCUCGGAAAAUUUGUCCGUCGGUAAUAAAAGGCACCUUAUAUGGUUUGGGCAAUUAGGUUCCAAUUAAACAUUAGAUAGCCCGCAUGUUUCCGUGGAGAUCCAACAAGGAAAAAUUUGAUGAAAGAAAUCCGAGUAACUAGUUGUCUUGCAUAUUUACAAAGUUCAAAUCCUUUGGUUGUUGUGCUUUGACUCGAUUGUCUAUUAUGCUGUUUCAUUUACUUGCACAUUGCCCACUUGUUCAUUUAACACACAUCACCCACUUGGUGAUUUGGCAGUUGUGGGCAGACAGUCAUAUAGAUUUAUUUUUUUUGAGAUCUCGUCAUAUAGAAUUGUAAUAGCACUGACAUGGAAAAAGUUAAAAACUGAAAAAAGUAAAUCAAACAAACAAAUGGUGCGCAAACUAAAUCAAACGGCACAAGACAAGUGAGAUUUAGUCAGGACUCUUUCAGAUGAAGAUAAGUAAAUUGCAAGAAAACAACAUGCAGAAACAUUUUUAUAUCGUAGCAUAACAUGCAAAAAAGCACAUAUAUAGUACAACGACAACCCACGUGUCUAUAUGCUAUCUAUAUGUAUAUCUAUCUAUCUAUAUCUAUCUAUCUAUCUAUCUAUAUAUCUAUCUAUUUAUACCUACUAAUAAAAGACGGAGCAUUUAUGCCCAUCCGUCUCAUAUUUUGCAACAAAAUACCCUACAUUUUUCUUUAAUUAACCCGCGGUCAAGGUUUAGGUGAGGUUCGUCCGUUGUGCUUUUGCAAAGAACGAGGAAACGGUUGCGUUUUGUAAGAUUCAAACUCAUGAUGUCGCCUCCAUGCCCAAAAGCCACAGCCAACUGAGUUAGCAUGCACUUGUGCUACUAAAUAGGUCCAUUAUUUCAUUAAAUUGUCCAACUUUGAUACUUUGCAUGAGAAUACGCAAAUUUAUAUGUGAUUGCAAAUUGCCUAGAAAUCAACAAGCCAACUCGAUAACCAAGAAAUAGAGGGAGAGGAGGAAUUCACUCAAUAAAUAGUGUUAACUAGCAGGGUUUCCCGCGCAUUUGUGCGGCUAUAUUGACCCUUUCCGAUGCCAACUAUAUGGCCUUUCACUAAACUAUAUUUCGAUUAAAUUUACACCCUGUAUAUGUCAUCAUAGAAAAAAUGAAAAUCGUAAUGAAACAUGCAAGUGCAUUAGGUUGUUCAUUUUAAUAUAGAAGUGCAUUAGGUUUUUAAAUAAAUUCCUUGGCAUGUCAGGUUGCAACACCGAUAAAAAACCAUGUAUGGGAUUUCAUGCCAAUCUUGGUGUUUUUCCUCUUUGAUCACUCCUCCUUUGUAUCAUUUAAUAGGUUUUCGAGAAAUUCCCUACCAAGACAUAAAUCUAAACAUGAAAUUCCGGUAUGUAAAGGUCCCUUUUUCUAGUCAUAUCAAUCAACGGACGCAUUCUUAACUACCUUUUCUUGAUUAUUGCUGCCUACCCACUUAUGUAUCAAGAGAUUCACAUCUUCUAUCGUGCUUAUUUUUUCUAUUGAUAAUAUUUUACAAAAUAUUAUCUUUGACUCCCUCCCUUUUAAUUUCUGAAGACUUUGAAAGUGAAGAAAUUGGUGUGACCUUGAAGACUUGGUAUUCAUUCGAGGAACAUGAAGCGUGAAGACUUUUGUUUUUGUAGUUUCAUUUUCUCUUUCUUGAGUCAUAGGAAACAUCGUACUGUUAAGGGGGUCGAGGAAAUACUAAGGAAAAAUUUCCAAGUGAUGCUCAACUCAAAAUCCUACACCUACCAAUCCCUUCGAGUGAAGCCAUUGGAAAUCUCAUGCAGUUCAAUCAAUUUCUUCAGUGACAGAGACGAAGUACUUCUGGUCUCUGAGAAAUUUGUUCUGACUGAGAAGUUAGGAAUUCGCCAGUGCGGAUUACCUACAAGUGAGGAACAUGAUAGCCCUGAGGAAUUAGACACUCAAAAUUCCGACCGUUGCUGUGCUAUGCGCCAGCUGUCCCAAAAUAUCUUACCCACCUAACGGUCAUAUCAUUGAAGGGCAUUUAUGUCUUAUCAUGUAGGGCUGCUCCCUAGGCUAUAAAUAGCCGCCCCCUACAACCACUAGCUGGUUGGCUGCUCCGAGAGAAACUGACACUUGUCAUUUGAGAGCAUCCCAUCCUCCGAGGACUUUGAGCGAAAAUCAUCAAGUGAGGAAAACCCAAACCCAAACACCUAAAAACCCAAAGUGAUUGAGCAUCACCGAAGAGAUUGAUCCUGCGUGGAUCCGACGCUUGUUACCUUUAAAGACUGUGCAUCUUCCAGACGGUUAGGCGUCAUGGUCUAGAGCAUCCAAGAGGAAAUUGUGGAUCGCCGAGUGACAGAGUUUGUGAAGGUUUGGAAGUCACCUGAAGACUUACCACGAGUGAUUGGGCGAGGUCUGUGUGACCUUAGCUCAAGGAGAAUACGGUGAGGACUGUGUGUCCUCAGGUUUAAAUACCUAGCUGCUCCAACCAGACGUACAACCACUACAAGAAAUAUGUCAACUUGCGACCACCACUAUUGGUCACUGAAAGGUCAUUGUUUUUUAUUUGCGGCCUUUUUUUGACCAAAAACAGAAGGUCAAAAGCUGGCGGUCGUAAACUAAAAUUAACGACAUAUGUAAAAGGUCGUUGGUUCUUCGACCGAAAUUUUGGUCACUAGCAGCCUUCCCAAGCCACGUAAGAUCCAGCGUGGCAAGCUGACAUGGAUAAGAUUCAACCCAGUCCGAUUAGGUGUCUAUAUGGGCCAAGCCCAUUAAUUCAGCCCAUUUAUAUUUUUUUUCUGCUAAUUUUUGGUCGACUUCAUAGGCCAAGCCCAACAAUUCAGCCUUCUAAUUUUCUGGGCCAUGGCCCUUUUGCAGACCAUUUCUUUAAGCAUUUUUGUUCAAGUUUUCCAGAAAUAAAUAAUGUGUCAGUCCACUAUUAUUUGGGCCAUAGCCUUUUUAGAGCCCAUAUAUUAUUUGGUCCAAUAGAACAUUUGGUCUUUUUAUCCACUGAUUUCCAGUUUACACAUUUGGAUAGCAAACACUCAAUAAUUCUCUUGAUUAAAUGAUUAAAUUCAGAAAUCAUUCAGCCAAAUACGCACAACAGCACAUACAAGUCCGCACGUCCAACAUCAACUAAAACAAGCAAAAAUAGAUACACAUGCACGAUACACAAGCGCAUACAAGUGUGCUUACAAGCAAAAACAGAUACACAAGCACCAAAACAUGGUGCAACAUCAACUAAAACUGUGGUGCGCAUCUCCAUGCCUCUUGAUCUUCCGUCACAGCAGCAGCAGCAGCCUAAACAACAUUAGAUCCUGAUCCAGAUCACCAAAAAGAAACAUUAUUAAAUGUUUAGAGACAAUGCCAUCAACAUGAGGCGGUAAUCCAACUUAACACUUUGUCAACAUAUUUUACAUAUGCAAAUAACUAAGAUUAUACUGUAUAAGUUUAAGAUCCAAAUGCAAUAUGAAACUGAAUUGCCAAAUAGUAGCAUGUUUAGACAACUUAACAACAUUAUUAAUACUACUUCAGAUUUGGGCUAGUAGAAGGCCAGGCAGAAUUCAUGAGAACUUUAUUGAAUUCAUUCAAUAGAGGAUAGCACAAACAAAAAACACACUGUCAAAAUGAAUCAUGACUGGAAUUGUAGAUGUUCUGUCGGUUAUACUAUAUUAAACUGAGCCAAUUAUUGUAGGUGAAAGUAAUGCUCCUAGUAUAUCAUCAUCAUUAACAUCAAACAAUUCUGAAUGUAAUCAGAGGAAGCACAGCCCGAUCAUGUGCAAUCAACUCAUAAUAAAAGGGUACAGAUGAUUAUUAGUGUUACUAUUAACUUGAUGGUGGCAUCUUAUAUACAAAAACAUGUAUUCCAAAAAAACAAUCAAUAGGGCCGCUGGAAGGGGAGCCCCGGCUCUAGCAAAAGGUCUUAAUGCUUUAGAGAAAAACAGAUUUAGACAAAUAGGAUUUAGUCAAUAGAACCCCAGAAACCCAUAAAAUCACUUCACAUCCUGAUUCAGCGUUUUGUGUUGAAAUAUUGGCCAUCACAAGUAAUUUUGUGCAAGUCUCAAAACAAGGCAAUAAUGAUAUAAUUACUGAAGCCGCUGAUAUGGUUAGAUUAUUUGCAAGUGACUUCAAACAGAACAUAUGGCAUGCCUUAGUCAUGCCCUAAGGCUAAACAGAACAUAUUUAAGCACCUCCAUGAAUACAGCCAAGUCUCUUAACAUGCUUCUACUACAGAAAUCAUAACAACAGCAGGGUCAAGUUGAGUUAGCUGCAGACCUAGUUGAGUUGUCCCCUUCGCUUGGAGAGGACGACGAUCUCGUCGUUGCCCACGUCCCCCGCCAGCGGCCGACUGCUUCUCCACGGUCUGGAGGGUCAGGCAGAAAUCAUACUGCCAUAGUGUGCCCCUGGUUAACCCGAAUCAGCAGCUCUCCAUCCUACUCCAACAGACUGAACCUCUGCUUGCUAUCUCACCUGACUGCCUACACGCAAGAAGGCAAAAAAAAAACAUUCACUCAAAGCAUCUUACAAUUCACAACAAAUUCGAGAUUGACCCAAUUAAUAAUACAGCAUAUAGAGAUUUCAUAAUCAAAGUUCAUGCUGCUAGGCUGCUAGCUAUCAAGAUGAAAACAACAUGUAGCAGAUACAAGCAUACCAGGAAAGGUGGGCUAGGUGUUUAGUAAGAUCGUCUACUGUUCAGCAGGAAGAUGGGUCAUGACCAAAUAUUACCUCCCUGAUUUCAUCCACCGUGUGGGACUUGAGGGGAACCUUGGCAAAGGUCUGCAGGCUGAGGCCGAGCAGGUCGAGGACCCGCACGUAGUCGUCGCUCUUCAUGCCCAGGCUCAGCUCCGACGCCAUGUGCCGCAAGACCAUCGCCCUGAGAAGAGAAGCACAGACAGAAGGCAGCCGUGAGUGGGUGCCAAGGGAAAAAACAUAAGCCACAACCGAGAAUUGCAAGAUUUAGUAUAAAGGAAAUAGGAUUUCAUAGAUCACCUAACAUGGGUUGCAUUGAAAUCCAAAUGAGUCAACAAAAAUUGACUCCCAUCAACGGCGGGUAUGCGGUAGCAGCUGUUGUCAUGGCAACCAGAAACUCAGAAAUGAUAUUGGCGGCAAACCCAUUACAUGUACCAGACGCCACCCACCUAUCAAAAUUGAUAAACACUUCAGUUGUGUCCGAUCCUAUUGCAGGGCUCGGAAAUGACAAUGCCACAACCCUUUGCAUGUACCAGACCCCAUAAACCUGUCCAAAUUGCUAUAUGCACGACCCGUUACAGUCCACAGUUACAGGAUAUGAUAUGCUCAGAAAUGAACAAAUGCCAAAACCCUUUUACUUGUACCAGACCCCAACCACAUGUAGCUAGCAAAUUAAUCACUUCACGCGUCUGAUCCUCUCAAAUGCUAGACUUGAAGAACAUCAACAAGGCCAACUAAAAUCGGACCCUCCCAAUCAUGGAUUUGGCUCCCAGGUAAGUAAUAAAUCACGCAUCUGAUCAGGUAAAGAGGAAUCAAGAAUAGGAGAAGGUUACCAAUCCCAGCUCUCGGAGGUGUUCUCCACCAGGUUGGGUUGGGUUGUGCGCAGACGUCGUAGAUGAUCGGCUUCUCGAACCACCAGAUGACGAUUUGGGUCCCCUCGGUGUACACCUGCAUGGAGCAAACGCCCAAGGGCGACCAGAAAUCAACCGCAGACCAAACGCGCAGAGAACAACAGGGAGCAAGGGACCAACCGCGGACCAAGCCGCCGUGGCCGCAGAUCCUGGGUGGUCGCUCGCGGAUCCGUCGGCGUCGAAGAUGGAAGGCUGGUCUUGGUGUUUGUCGUGGAAUUGUCACGGCAGAUGUCCUUAGCGUGAGGACUUAGUCGUGAGGCCAGCGCAUCUAUGUAGUAGGUUGAGAGGGGUUGAUUGGGAUGAGAGACGCAGGGCGGAUCAACGCACAAGACAAGGGUUUAGACAGCUUCGGGCCCCGGGAAAUAUCAUCCGGUAAUAGCCCUACAUGCUGUUUGUGGCUAGGUCUCAUUAUACUCAUAAGAGAAUCGCCGGUAAGCCGGCUCUUUGUGUCUAACCCUAGAUAUUGUUUCUUGUUGCUUGUCCCUCUUUGGGGUGCCCUGCCCCUCCUUAUAUAAGUUAGAGGGGCGGGUUACAUGUGGAGUCCUAGUAGGACUAGGACUAGUCUAUCUUCUCUUACAAGUUAAUUACAAGUCCGGGUCUUGCUUCCUCGUAAAGGAAGUAUUCGUCAUCCCUUUCUUCUUAAGCCGGCCCAUCAUAUACGUGAGCCGGCCUUCUGGGCCUUGGGCCUUGUUGUCCAUCUGACCCGCCCGCCGGGUUACUAAUGAGUCGCCAAGAUCGGGCAGGUUAUCUGUGAAUCGCCAAGCUCCGGGCGGGUCACCAGUGAGUCGCCAAUUCCGGCCGGGUCAUACCGCGGGGUAUAUCCCCGACAGUGUUGGCUGAUGAAGACGUCGGGGUCCUUCUUCUCCUCCAACUCCGUCCGUCAGGUACCCAUCCCAUCAGCGCCGCUCCGCUCCGACCGCGAACCCUAACCCUAACAGAGAAGGAUGAGGGAGCUUGUGUGCGGCCAGACACGGAGAUGGAGGCGGACGACGUAGGUAGGGAAGGAAGGAAGGGGAGGGGAGGUUGGCGCACGGCGGCGACAGGCGAGGUCGGUGGUGGCGGCGGGGAGGGGAUGGGGAGGGAGGUAGCGGCGGGGAGGGGAUGGGAAGGGGAGGAAGCGACGAGUGGUUGGGCAGGGUUCGCGAGGACGAGGAGUGGGUGCAGUGGGUUUUUUUCUCCUUUCUUCAGAUGGAUGGAUGGAUGGACGUGGGAUUGCUAGCAAUGGAUGGUAGGAUGUCUGCCAUGUCAUCGAUCCGUGUCAUACAUGGUUCCACCAAUCAAAAUCCAGCUUAUGUAAUUGUGUUUCUUUCUUUUGUCUCCUUUAUAUUUUUUAACCUCUUAUUUGGGGUAAACACUCAACAUAUUAGCCUCAUGUUGUAUGUUUAAAUGACCCAAUAUUGUGCACAUAUGUGUAUCUUAGGAUUUCAAACAAUGAUGAUUUUGUGGUCUUCAUUUGCAUUGCACACAAAAAGAAUUCAUUUUUCGAGUGCCCCAAAUGACUUUUUUUGUGAAGAACCUACCAAAUAAUUGUUGCACAAUUGGACCAACUCAUUUUUCUAAAAUACUAGGACAUAUUUAAUUCACAAUUGACCAAAUGGUUGGGUAUAAAAAGUUUUGAUCCACCUCUGGUGAAAAAGACAAAUUUCCGCUGAUUCAGUUGGAAGCGGGUCAAAUUUGAACUGCGGCUGCCUCAUAGUUUGCUAUUUAUUUUUCUCAAAAAUCAUUUCUAGGUACAAAAGUAUCUAUUUAAUCAGAGAAACACCAAAAAAAUUCCAAGAUUCAACCACUAGCUAGGAACGGUCAUUCCCGCCGUUUUGACCGCAUUUUGAAACAGGCAUAAAAAUUUCAAAACAAAUCAAAAAAAUUGUAAAACCUUCGCAUUGUGCCAUUAUAUGUGACCAAGUUACCAGGAAAAAUAAUAAACUUGUAAUACGGCAAUUCUUUUAAAAAAGUGUUCUCAGAAAUGAGCUAUCAUGUGUGAAGAUUCAUGGCUUUCAAGUCAAAUGAUCAAUCUUAUGGCCAAAUUCAUGGCCUAGUUUGUUCAGAUGGUCUCAUAUUGUGCACAAGGGUGCAUCUUGGAAUUCCAAACAAUGUUGCCUAAGUGAGUUUUCAUUUUCUUUGCACGGAAAAUUCAUUUUCCAUUUUUCGAGUGCCCCAAAUGAGGUUUUUUUUAAGGAACUACCAAAUAAAUGUUGUAAAAUUGGACCAAAUCAAUUUUAUAAAAUACUAGGACAUGUUUAAUGCACAAUUGACAAAAUGGUUGGGUGUAAAAGGUUUUUAUCCACCUUUGGUGAAAAAGACAAAUUUCCGCGAUUCAGUAGGAAGCGUGUCAAACUUGAACUGCAACUGCCUUAUAGUUUGCUCUUUAUUUUUUCCAAAAAUCAUUUCUAGGUACAUAAGUAUCUAUUUAAGCAUAAAUACAUGGUUUGGUGGUGAUACGUUGAGGUUUGGACGGUGGCCCACGGCCCCAACUCCAAAGCGCGUAGACUCACAUGCCCGCCGCGUGGUCAUCGCGUGACCGUGGCGUUGCCAUGCGUUCUGGGAAGCCUAGGCAUGCCUAGUAGGUUUGGCAAUCCCAAGGUAGAUGCUUGGAAGAAAAUAACAACAGAAGAAUCUCACGAGGAGACCGAACAAUGCUCAAACAUGAAUUAGCACCCAAGUGUUUGAUUAGUGGUACGGGAAAUUCACAUGGCCAAUGGGCCUGAGUUUUGGCCGAGGAUGAUCAUCUACUAAGGACACUAUCUUGGAAAAUUUGCAGCUCAAAUGGAGGAGCCUAGGUGUCACUCGCUUUGCAACGUACCACACUGAACAGAAAUAUGAAUGUUGAAGCCACACUCACAUGUAUUGUUAGAUGGGGCUCAAAUUUUGUGGAGAGCUAUGAUUUGGGAAUAUAGAAGAUGUGGCAAAAAUUCAGCUCAUUAGGAUAUGCCUAGCUAGUACUUCCUUCACAACAGUUCGAGUUGAACAAAAACUUUGGAAAUUUGCCGAGGAAGAUUUACCAGGCAAAUGGAGUUGAAUAUUGUCAUGAGGCAAUGAUUUGGAUAGUAAAGAAUGCCCAAUUUUUUUUGGGAAUUUUGGGAAUGACAGAAAUAUAGGUUGCUUCACAACCUAGGGCAAAAAUUGACACAUGGACAUGACACAUAAGCAAAACUGAUGAGGUAGCGCCUAGUCAUAGCAAUAAGUACCAAUGCAUCCACGUUCACAACCUCAUGACCAUUUAUAUUGGUCGUAAUAAGGUAGAAAUAAGGUCAUUGGCCACUCUUGUCUGCUUUGUGACCAUUUGGUGUAAGCAAUUUCAGGGUUUGAGCCCUUCCAAGUGAAAUGGCCGUGGAUUUAUGACCAAUUCAGCUGGGGUCACUAAGAGAAGGUCACAAGUUGACAUAUUUCUUAUAGUGAACUGUCACAGCAGUUGGAACUGGUCUACCAAAUCAUUGUCUUCACCAAGCCUACUGGUUCUAUUUCCUCGACUCUUUCAUUUCCUCAUUACUGUGGUGUGUGCUUGUUCAUAUAUGUUUGAAGACUUUGACUCAAGACUUUCUCAAUUUCCUCAGUUCAAUUUCUUCAGUCUAUUUUGUCUUCAUCCUAUUUUAUCCUGUGCUUACGCUUCCUGUACUCCGUGUCUGUUUUCAUUUCAGCAUGAUGACCAUGUUUAUGUUAUGUCAUGUAUGCAUCUGAGUACUUAUUCCGCUGCAAGUAGUUCUUCGCUAAGGAAUUUCCUCACCCUGAAAUUCAUCAGUGAAGAAUUCAUAAAAAUCGCCUAUUCACCCCCCUCUAGUCGAUUUAACGCACUUUCAUCGUCACAUUAGCAACGCCAGACGCUGAGACGAGCACGUGACACCAAGCCCACCUUGUCUAUCUUACGGUAACGCGAGUCGAGGCGGACGUCGACGCGGUAGCGACGACGGACGCCGAGAUGAGUACGUGACACCACUGCCACCCUGUCUAUCUUAGGGCAACGCGAUUCGACGCGGACGUUGUCGCGGUAGCGAUGAAGGAUGCCGAGACGAGCACGUGACACCACUGCCCCUGUCUAUCUUAGGGUAACGCGAGUCGAGGCGGACGUCAUCGCGGUAGCGGCGACGGACGCCGAGACGAGCAUGUGACACCACUGCCACCCUGUCUAUCUUAGGGUAAUCCGACUCGAGGGGGAUGUCAUUGUGGUAGCGACGACGGACGCCGAGAUGAGCAUGUGACACCACUGUCACCCUGUGUAUCUUAAGGUAACGCGGGUCGAGGCGGACAUCGUCGCGCUAGCGACAACGCACGCCGAGACGAGCACGUGACACCACUGCCACCCUGUCUUAUGGUAACGCAAGAGUCGAGGUGGACGUCGUCGCGGUAGCGACGACGGAUGCUGAGACGAGGACGUGACGCUAGGGCCCCCCUGUCCCCGUCGCGGUAGCGACGAUGGACGAUGAGACGAGUACGUGACACCACUGCCACCCUAUCUAUCUUAGGGCAACGUGAGUCGACUGCCAUUUGAUAUAGGUCAGAACUUUUCUGAAUACUUAGUGUCACCAUGUGAUCCAGACGAAUAAUUAAGAAAGUGUAUAAUUUUACAACCAUGGAUACGUGAGUCGAGGCGGACGUCAUCGCGAUAGUGACGGCGGACACCGAGAUGAGCACGUGACACCACUGCCACCCAUUCUUAGGGUAACGCGAGUCGAGGCGCACAUCGGCGCAUUAGCGACGACGGGCGCCGACACGAGCACGUGACACCAGGGCCACCCUGUCUAUCUUACGGUAACGCGAGUCAAGGCAGAUGUCGUUGUGGUAGCGACGAUGGACGCCGAGACGAGCACGUGACACCACUGUCACCCUGUCUAUCUUAGGGCAACACGAAUCGACACGGACGUCGUCGCGGUAGCGACGACGGACAUCGAGACGAGCAUGUGACACCCUGGCCACCCUGUCUAUUCAAAGUGCGUUAUAUCGACUAGAGGGGGGUGAAUAGGCGAUUUUUAUGAAUUCUUCACUGAGGAAUUUGCGGGUGAGGAAAUUCCUUAGCGAAGAACUACUUGCAGUGGAAUAAGUACUCAAGAGUAAGCAUAGCAGAGCAUAGGCAUGGUCAUCAUGAUGAAAUGAAGACAAACACAGAGUACAGAAAGCGUAAACACAGGAUAGCACAGGAUGAAGACAAAAGGACUGAAGAAAUUGAACUGAGGAAAUUGAGAAUGUCUUCUGUCAAAGUCUUCAAACAUAGAUAUGACAAGCACACAACACAGUAAUGAGGAAAUGAAAGAGUUGAGGAAAUAAAACCAGUAAGCUUGGUGAAGACAAUGAUUUGGUAGACCAGUUCCAACUGCUGUCUCAGUUGUACAUCUGGUUGGAGCGGCUAGGUAUUUAAACCUGAGGACACACAGUCCCGGACACACAGUCAUCACCGUAUUCUCCUUGAACUAAGGUCACACAUACCUCGUUCAAUCACUCGUGGUAAUUCUUCAGGUGACUUCCGAACCUUCACAAACUCGGUCACACGGCGAUCCACAAUUCCUCUUGGAUGCUCUAGACCAUGACGCCUAACCGUCUGGAAGAAGCACAGUCUUCAAAGGUAACAAGCGUCGGAUCCACUCAGGAUCAAUCUCUUCAGUGAUGCUCAAUCACUUUGGGUUUGUAGGUGUUUGGGUUUGGGUUUUCCUCACUUGAUGAUUUUCGCUCAAAGUCCUCGGAGGAUGGGAUGCUCUCAAAUGACAAAUGUCAGUUUCUCUCGGAGCAGCCAACCAGCUAGUGGUUGUACGGGGCGACUAUUUAUAGCCUAGGGAGCAGCCCGACAUGAUAAGACAUAAAUGCCCUUCAAUGAUAUGACCGUUAGGUGGGUAGAUAUUUUGGGACAGCUGGUGCAUAGCACAACAACGGUCGGAAAUUUGAGUAUCAAAUUCCUCAGGGCUGUCAUGUUCCUCACUGUGUAGGCAAUCCGCACUGGCGAAUUCCUAACUCCCCAGUCAGAACAAAUUCCUCAGAGACCAGAAGAACUUCGUCUCUGUCACUGAAGAAUAUGACUGAACUGUAUGAGAUUUCCAAUGGCUUCACUCGAAGGGAUUGGUAGGUGUAGGAUUUUGAGUUGAGCAUCACAUGGAAAUUUUUCCUUAGUAUUUCCUCGACCCCCUUUAACAGUACGGUGUUUCCUAUGACUCAAGAAAGAGAAAAUGAAACUACGAAUACAAAAGUCUUCACGCUUCAUAUUCCUCAAAUGAAUACCAAGUCUUCAAGGUCACACCAAUUUCUUCACUUUCAAAGUCUUCAGAAAGUCUUCAGAAAUUCAAAGUCUUCAGUCGAAGAACUUCAUUUUUAGGGGUUGACUUUCUCUGUAAAUAUCAAACUCCUCAUAGACUUAACCUGUGUACACUCAUAAACACAUUAGUCCCUUAACCUAUAAGUCUUCAAUACAUUAAAAUCACUAAGGGGCACUAGAUGCACUUACAAUCUCCCCCUUUUUGGUGAUUGAUGACAAUAUAGGUUAAAUUUUCAACGGGGAUAAACAUAUGAAGUGUAAAUACUGAUAUUUAGGAAUUUGAUUGCAAGAUAUAGAAGAACUCCCCCUGAAGAUGUGCAUAGUGAGGAAUUUGUUUUUGAAGCAAUGCACACUUGAAGAGUUGAAUCAUGGAGAUCUCCCCCUAUAUCUUGUAAUUCAUACACGCAUUUGACAUAAUAUAUGAAGAAUUUGAAAUGCAUGAUGAAAUAUGGUGACUGAUGUAAUUCAGCAUGCGUGCAAUAACAUUAACGAGGAAUAAGCAUGCAAAAGAAACAACAAAAGUAUCAGGCCACCAUAGAGUUUUAAGUUUACAACUCGAUAUAACAAAGUCAUCAGAAGAACGAGAGUUGUAACUUAGAAAAAAACGCCCAUAAAAGAUAGACCCGCUUGAAGACUAACUCAAAUUUCUCCCCCUUUGUCAUCGAAUGACCAAAAGGUUCGAAAAUGAGGACUAACGCCCCAGAAGAAUAUCAAGUUGAUGAAGGAGCGCCAGCGUUGUUGGGGUCAUUUGUUGAUGUAGGGCCUGCCGCAGUGUCGUCCAAGUCUUCAUGCUUAUCAGUUUCACGCGAUGAAGAAUAGGAGCUGGCCACCAAGGAAGGAACCUUGACCUUCUUGUAUUUCUUCGGUGGAGGUGCAGACCAGUCAAAGUCCUCCUUGAGACCCAUGUUCUUCAUAUCUUCUUCGCUGUAAAUGUGAGACAGAACAGCCCAGGUGCGACCGAAGACUUCAUGGAGGUAGUAAUGGUUUUUCUUCACUGCAUUAUGUGUAGCAGUCAUGUUGUGAAGAAUUGAACCAAACUGACGCUUAACCCAUUUAUGGUUUCGAUCCACCUUCUGGUGAAGACUUAGCAUAAGUUCACGGUCAGUCAUCACACGAGGAGCAGUAGCUUGAGGAUUUGGCUUGGAGGCAUGGGCAGCAGAAUCAUGAGUGGCAGAGUCAUCAUUGGUGGAAUAAGAUGCAGCCUUGGGAAAUUGACCAUCCAAUGGACGAAUGCCUUCAUCUAUAACAGCUGGUGCCUUGCCCUUUUCGUCAGCUGAGGAAUAGGUCCACUUGAGGACUUCAAUCGGGGGCAAGUAGCUGAGGUGAUUCUGAAAAUCAGCUUUGUAGUUGAGUGAAGACCUUGUUCUGAUGAAUCUCAUAAUCCACGGUGCAUAAGGCUUCAACUCAAACGGUGAAAGUGCAACAUUUGCCAGAGUCCUCAUGAAGAAAUCAUGAUAAUUGACAGGAAUGCCAUGAAUGAUGUUGAAAACCAGAUUCUUCAUGAUGCCAACAAUUUCCUCAUCAGAUGAGUCGUGGCCUUUGAUUGGACUCAUAGUCUUCGUCAGAAUGCGAUAGACUGUCCUUGGUACAUACUGCAAUUCCUUCACGAGGAAUUUUGUCCUUGAGGCUUGACCUGGUUUCCAUGGCUUCAUCAGCACUUGCAUAUAGUGAUCAGUAAGCUCAGGUUCUUGGUACAUGCAACAAGCUCCUUCAGGUGGAGAACUGAUGGGCAGGGCGUGAAGUAAUUCAGUGGCCGGUUCCUUAUAGUGAGUAUUUUCAGCCAUCCAGUCCAAAACCUAGGAGUUCACAUCGUCAGGAUCUCCCGUGAUGUGUAAAGUUGCGUAGAAUUGAAGAAUGAGUUCUUCAUUCCAAUCAACUAUGUCUGUGCAAAAGUUGAGGAGGCAUGUGUCAUGAAGCACACUGAGGACAGGAGUGAAGCAUGGCAGUGAUUCCAUGUCCACAUGAGGAAUAUGCUCGUGGUCGAAGACUUUUUCCUUGUUGAAGAGCAGUGAAGAAUAGAAGUUGGCCUAGCUGGCGGUCCAGAAGCGCUUCCUUCUAAGACGAGCAGAAUCAUAGGGAUUGUAGUCAGUGAAGAACACGUGCUCGCCAAAGAAAUCAUCAGCCUUGAAUUUCUGUGUCACAUCCCUAGUUCUGGUAUGACCUAGGCUAGCUAGUCAUGUGUGCAUCAUGUUUAAAUUCCAUUUAAAUUUGAAGUGGGGAUCUGUGAAACCCUCAGAAUCAUUUCUGGAAAUGACCCAGAUAAAAAUUGCUCCAAAAGGGUCCAAGAAAAUGUUCAUGUUGCUCUCUGAAAAUAUUGGACAGAGAUAAAAAUCAAACCAAUAUUUUUAGGAGAUCAUAAAUAUUUAUUUUGGGCAUUUGGAAUUAAUGCAGUAAUUAUUUGCUUUGGAUAUAUAUUGUUAUAUAUAUAUAUAAUAUUGUCCAAAAAUUAUGCCAUUUGUUGAGGAGUUAUGGAAUAAUACCACUAGCCCCUACAAAAAUUGGCAUAAGAAAAUAAAAUGAUUUAGUAUUCUACUAAAUCAGAACAAAUGUCAGAAAAAUAGAAAAGAAAACAAAAAGGGAAAAGCUUACCUGUGCUCACCCAAGGCCUGGCCUGGCCCAGCAGCCCAGCAGGCCGGCCCAGCCGACUGGCCAGUGCCAGUCAUCGUCCUCCUGGCGCCAGGAGGACGAUGGGCACGCGCUCGCUGCCCGCGCGCAUGCGCGCCACCUCCUGCUUCUCCCCCCUCAUCGCCCUGGACGCCUCCCGCAAUGCCACGCACACCCCUGACCCCUCUCACUCUCCCUGGACCCCUUUCCCCUCCUCUGCUCUCUGUUCCGCGCCGCCCGAGCGGAGCUCGUCGCCGCCGACGUCGUUCACCGUAGCCUCCACCUCCUCCUCAACCUCUCUCCACGCCCAGAAGCUCCGCCAUCGUCCCCCUCAUCUUCACGACCGAGCCACGCAAGCCCGGAGGCCCUGCAUCGCCGGCAACAUCACCAUCUUCCUCCUCCGCCGCCCUGGAUCGCCGACGUUGAUUAGUCGCCGUCCGGCCUCCCCCGAGCUCGCUGACGUCUCCAAACUACGUGGGGUGAGCCCCUCUUCGUUUCGCCCCUAUCCCCGUCGCCCCGCACGUCCUCUAGCACUAGCGCCGCCGUGCCCGAAGCUCGCCGCCGCCCUGCCAUGUCAUUGUCGUGGGCACAGCCGCCUCCGCCCGCUUUUGAGCUUACAGCCGUGCUAGUUGAGCUCGCAGGAGUCCGUAGCACUGCCCAGUGGUGGAAAUGGUGCACCGUAGAAUCGACCCGCACAACGCCGUGGCUCUGUCGCCGUUGAACCUCGCCGCCGGCGAGAUUCCGGCCUCCCGUGACCUCCCGUCUGGUCCAUCAUAUGCACGAGAGCAAGAGCUCAUGCCCGGUGCCUCCCGAGCGACAAACCGCAGCCCCUAGCAUGUUUCCGGCAAUCUUCCGCCGCGGUUUGAGGUCGCCGCCAGCCAAACUCCGGCGUGCCGACGUGGCACGGCCAUUAGUGGUUAAACCCCACUAAUUAGCCGCCCUACAGCCGCUGACAGCGGGCCCCACAGCAGGUCAAAGGUGAGUCAACGCGGGGUUAACCCCUGUCUCACUGACCAGUGGGCUCCGCCAGUCAGAUUUGACCCUGGCCAGCCCGUUGACCUGCUGACGCAGCGAUGACGUCAUGCUGAUGCAGUAAAGGAUUUUCUGGAUUUAAAUUAAAUCAGGAAAUUCCAGAAACUAGUAAAACUUCUAAAAUUCAUAGAAAUUCAACCGUAGCUCAGAUUGAAAUAAUUUAUAUAUGAAAAAUUAUCAGAAAAAUGCAAUCUAUCCAUCUGUACUAGUUUCAUGCAUGACAAACCAACUUAUACCUACUGUAUAAGUGAAAACAUAUAAAUGGAUUAUAUAAGGACUUAAAUUAGAGUCGCAUUUGAACCUUUGGUUCAAAUGGAUCUCUUCCAAGUUGAAUGCUAAAUGCAUUGGCUCAAAAUACAUCACAUAUACAUGCCAUAUUCAUGCAUCAUAUUGCUGCAUAUGAUUGUGUUUUUGACUGUCGACACCGUUCCCUCUCGAUAGGUCCUGCUCCGGAGAGUGUUCCAGAGUACCUGUCUGAGGAGCAGUGCCACCCUGUUGAUCUACUAGGCAAGCAAACCCCCUUUGUUCAUUCCGAUACAAUCCUACUCUCUCGCUCCUGCUCUCUUUUACUGCAUUAGGACAACAACGAUUCAACUGCUACUUUAUGCUGCGGUAGUUGAACCCAUUCCUCUGCAUGACCUGUCAUUGCCACAGUAAAUAGUUGAAACCCACUAGCAUGUGUAGGAGUUGAUUGAGCCAUGUUGUGUUCCUACCAUGCCAUGCCUACUAUUGCUUAGAGUUGUGUCAGGUCUGAUUCAUUGGGAAUGAAUUGGAGUGUUACGAUAUGUUCUGGUGCCGAGAGUUAAGCGUGUGAACACGAUUUGGUAAAGGUAGCGGUGAGAGGCCAUGUAGGAGUACAUGGUGGGUUGUCUCAUUGGAACCGUCCUUAAGCACUGAGUUCUGUGUAUGUUGUCCAAUGACUAGCUACUACCACACAUUGGGUUCCGGUAACUCGACCCCUCUCGACUUAUUAACCAACUUGAUCUCUGUCCAGGAGUUGCAACUAGUUUCUGGUGUUUGUAGGUAGUGCUAUUUUUCUACCGAGUGGCACCCGGCAGGGUGGGCUUGGGACAGACUAGGCACACGUGGCCCGGUGUACCCAGUGGCACCCGGAUGGUGGGCUCGGGAACCCUGUACACAUCGUUUGGGGCCGUGAGCGACACCCCGGCCGGAUCUCCUUGCGGAUGGAACCCGAAUAGGUGAUAAACCUGGACUAGAGUCUUGUGUGGUUAGUCAGGUCGUGGCCGACACCCUCGCCAGGCUUCCGCUUGAAGGUUGCCGAGGUACAUGACGUGUACAUGGCGGUAAGUGGCGAGAGCGUGUGUGACGCAGUACACCCCUGCAGGGUUAUCAUGAUCUAUUCGAAUAGCCGUGUCCUCGGUUAUGGACUUCUUGGAUGCUUACGUGGUACAUAGACAACCUGAAGUGGAUACUCUAAAAUGCUCAAGAUAAGUGUGAGUGCUAUGGAUGGCUUCUUGUAGUGAGACGGGAAUGAAUCCAUAGUGGUGUAUUGAGGUGGUGAUUAGUGGACUCGUGUGCGCCUUCUUACCUCAAAGAAGUCUCUCGUAGUCGUAGAACAGGAUAGCCACUGAGUCAAAGCUGGCUUGCUGCAACUAAACCCCACACUACCUUCUUGAUACAAAUGCAUGUAAGAUAGGAUCUGAAGUAAGUCUUGCUGAGUACCUUUGUACUCAUGUUGCUUUGUUAAUGUUUUUGCAGCGGAGACUUCAGUCUUACUAGUUGCUCCGCUUGGACUUCGACGAGUAGCUUGUACCUCAACUACGAUCUUGUACCCUUGGGAGGGUCUUGUAGAUAGUCAGGCUUCUCAGCCUUUUUCUUUUGUAGUUGUCUGUACUCACAAAUGUAAUGCUUCCGUUGCUUGUAUGCUCUGAAUGAUGGGUCAUGUGACCCCUGUUGUACUUAAUGCUAUGUGGCUCUUCUGGGCCUUUUAUCUAUAUGAGUUUGCGUUAUGUUGUGAUGCCAUGUUGUACAGCACAUACUUGCAUGUUAUGCGUACGUGUAACGUGUAUUGCUAUGUGUGGGAUCCGACAAUCUAGUUGUUUAUCCUUGGCAGCCUCUCUUAUGGGGAAAUGUAGUCUAGUGCCUCCUUGAGCCAUAGUAGUCCGCUACAGCCCGGUUCACCGGAGUCCUGCUAGCCCAGCACUACUGCUCUGGACACUUGACUGGCCGGCAUGUGUUUCAUUUCAUUCCUGUGUCUGUCCCUUCGGGGAAAUGUCACGCGGUGACAUCCGGAGUCCUGCCUAGCCUGCUACAGCCCGGGUUCCCGGAGUCCUGUUAGCCCAGUGCUACAGCCCGGAUUCACACGCUGCUGACCGACACGCUCGAUGUUGAUUCAUGUAUGCAUGUACCCAUACGUUAGUGCCGCUUUGGGUUCACGACUAGCCAUGUCGGCCCGGGUUCUCUGUCAUAUGGAUGCUAGCGACAUUGUCAUAUACGUGGGCCAAAAGGCGCAAACGGUCCCGGGCCAUGGUAAGGCGACACCCGUGGGAAUACCGUGCGUGAGUGUCGGGACCCCGAUUCCAAGUCACACCGAUCUAGCCUGUAACACCUCAUAUCACUUNNNNNNNNNNNNNNNNNNNNNNNNNNNNNNNNNNNNNNNNNNNNNNNNNNNNNNNNNNNNNNNNNNNNNNNNNNNNNNNNNNNNNNNNNNNNNNNNNNNNNNNNNNNNNNNNNNNNNNNNNNNNNNNNNNNNNNNNNNNNNNNNNNNNNNNNNNNNNNNNNNNNNNNNNNNNNNNNNNNNNNNNNNNNNNNNNNNNNNNNNNNNNNNNNNNNNNNNNNNNNNNNNNNNNNNNNNNNNNNNNNNNNNNNNNNNNNNNNNNNNNNNNNNNNNNNNNNNNNNNNNNNNNNNNNNNNNNNNNNNNNNNNNNNNNNNNNNNNNNNNNNNNNNNNNNNNNNNNNNNNNNNNNNNNNNNNNNNNNNNNNNNNNNNNNNNNNNNNNNNNNNNNNNNNNNNNNNNNNNNNNNNNNNNNNNNNNNNNNNNNNNNNNNNNNNNNNNNNNNNNNNNNNNNNNNNNNNNNNNNNNNNNNGCCUUACCAUGGCCCGGGACCGUUUGCGCCUUUUGGCUCACGUAUAUGACAGUGUCGCUAGCAUCCAUAUGACAGAGAACCCGGGCCGACAUGGCUAGUCGUGAACCCAAAGCGGCACUAACGUAUGGGGACAGGCAUACAUGAAUCAACAUCGAACGUGUCGGUCAGCAGCGUGCGAAUCCGGGCUGUAGCACUGGGCUAACAGGACUCCGGGAACCCGGGCUGUAGCAGGCUAGGCAGGACUCCGGAUGUCACCGCGUGACAUUUCCCUGAAGGGACAGACACAGGAACGAAGUGAAUCACAUGCCGGCCAGUCAAGUGUUCCGGAGCAGUAGUGCUGGGCUAGCAGGACUCCGGUGAACCGGGCUGUAGCGGACUAGUAUGGCUCAUGGAAGCACAAGACUACAUUUCCCCAUAAGAGAGGCUACCAAGGAUAAACAAGUAGGUUGUCGGAUCCCACACAUACCAAGCAUUUCAAUCAUACACACAAUAUGCUCGAUAUGUGCAAAUACAACAUGGCAUCACAACAUAACUCUACGACUCAAGUAUUUAUUCAUUAGGCUCCGAGGAGCGAGAUAUUACAAACAUGGGUCUCAUGACCCAACAUUCAGAGCAUAAAAGGCAAACACAUGCGGAAGCUUAACAUGUCUGAGUACAGACAUUUACAAAUGGAAAAGGCUGAGAAGCUUGACUAUUUACUAGAUCCUGCCGAGGGCACAAGAUCGUAGCUGAGGUAUCAAGCUAAACGUCGAAGUCCACAUGAGACUAAUAGCGAGACUGACGUCUCUCUGCAAAACAUAAAAUAAGCAAACGUGAGUACAAAUGUACCCAGCAAGACUUACAUCAGAACUAUCUACAUAUGCAUCGGUAUCAACAAAAGGGGUGGUGGAGUUUAACUGCAGCAAGCCAGCUUUGACUCGGUGGCUAUCCUAAACUACGACUGCAAGUAACUCUUUUGAGGUGGCGCACACGAGUCCACAUAUUCACCAUAUCAAUACACCACUAUGGAUCCGCUCCCGUCUCCCUACGAGAACGCCAUCCAUAGCACUCACGCUUAUCUUGCGCAUUUUAGAGUAUCCACUUUCACUUGUCUAUGAACUGUACAGGCAACCCAGAAGUCCAUUUCCGCGGACAGGGCUAUUCGAAUAGAUGAUGUUAACCCUGCAGGGGUGUACUUCGACACACACACUCUCACCACUUACCGCCGUUUACACGACAUGUACUCGGCAACCUUCAAGCGGAGGCCCAGCGAGGGUGUCGGCCAUAGCCUACCUAAACACUCAAGUCUCUAGUCCAGGUUUAUCGCCUAUUCAGGUUCCAUCCGCAGGGAGUCCGGCCGAGGUUUCCACAUACGGCCCCGAACGAUGUGUGCGGGGUUCCGAGACACCAAACGGGCGCCCGGCAUACCCGGCCACGUGCCUACCGCAUCACAGCCCACCCCUCCGGUCAGCGCUGCCCACGGCCUCCAGCAUACUACAAACACCAGAAACUACUUGCAACUCCUGGACAGAGGACAAGGGUGAUUAAGAAGCCGAGAGGGUCCAUUGGUAGUAACUGUAUCAUGGAUCACAAACACAGAACUCAGUUCCUGAGGACGGCUGCAAUGAGACAACCCACCAUGUACUCCUACAUGGCCUCUCACCGCUACCUUUACCAAAUCGUGUUCACACUCUUAGCUUACACACAGUAGGACAUGUUCAUCACCAUUCCAAUUCAUCCCCGACGAAUCAGACCUGACACAACUCUAAGCAAUAGCAGGCAUGACAAACAAGCAUGAAUGAGUAGGCACACCAGGGCUCAAACAACUCCUACUCAUGCUAGUGGGUUUCAUCUAUUUACUGUGGCAAUGACAGGUCAUGCAGAGGAUAAGGGGUUCAACUACCGCAACAAGUAACGGUUGAAUCGUUGUUGUCCUAAUGUAGUAAAAGAGAGCAGGAGCGAGAGAGUGGGAUUGUAUCGGAAUGAACAAGGGGGUUAUGCUUGCCUGACACUUCCGAAGAUAGUAUAGCUCUUCAUCGGUGUCAUCGAUCUCAUCGUCGGAAUCACGGCUAUUGAGAGGGGACAAUCACCGGCAAACAAGGAAGAACACAAUCAAUGCAAUGCACAAUAUGAUGCAUGAUCAUGACAUGGCAAUAUGACGUGAUUUGGCCUAAUGCAAUUAGCAACAGAAAGGUUUGGGUUGAUUUGAACUCAAGGUUCAAAUUCAAAUUCAAACUAUGAAUUCAAAUAGUGCAUUAUCAUGUUUUCACCUAUACAGCAGGUAUAACUUAGUUUGACAUGCAUGGAAAUGAUACAGAUGGAUAGAUUGCAUUUUUCUGAUCAUUUUUCAUAUAUUAAUUAUUUCAUUCUGAGCUACGGUUGAUUUUAUAUGAUUUUGAGAAGUUUAUACUAUUUUCUAGAAUUUCCUGAUUAAAAAUAAAUCCAGAAAAUGUAAUACUGCAUCAGCCUGACGUCAUCACUGCGUCAGCGAGUCAACGGGCUGGCCAGGGUCAAACCUGACCCGUGGGACCUGCCUGUCAGUCUCUCAGUGCCUAAUUAAGUUUAGGUUUUAAACUAAACUAACUUUUAACAGGGGCUGGCCCCACACGUCAGUGGGUCAGGGGGGAAGUCAAACCCCGGUCAAGCAGGGUCAAACCCGCCGGACUUGGUCCACGGCUCGUCGCCUGUGAAACCCGGGACGGCGGAGGGGCUCGGGAUUUGCCCACGGUCGACCAAAUCGACCGCGGUUUGGUCCUACGCGUAGCUGGGGCUCGCGCGCAUCUAGUAGGCCAAGCGGGAGGAGCUGGGGUGGUCUAAGUCGACGGCGGCGAGCACGAAUGCGGCGGCCGGAGUUCGGGCGUCGGUGGUUUUGCUGCUGUAGCGUGCUAGUGGGUGAAUGGAUGCACUAGCGAGACGCUACGAGGUGCGGUGAGUGUGUUAGGCACCGCGCGGGACCAAAUGGUCACCGGAGUGAUGCUGGCGUCGAGCUCGCGCGGCGGCGUGCUACGGUGAGCAAGGGGGCGGCGUCUACAAUGAGCAAACGGAGCAGAGAGGAGGGGGGUUCGACGCAGGGGCUCACAGUGAGUGCAGAGGUGGCCUCGGCGUGCUCGGGGAAGCACCGGAGCGAGCGGGGCGGCGAGAGGGAUCUCCGGCGUUGGGAGGUUGAAGACGACGACGUGGAGGCACUCGGGGGCGUCCGGCGUUGCACAGCUCGACGAGGAGGAAGAGGGAUACUAGGCGGAGCUCUUGGGCAUCUCAGGGCGUCGCCGGGAUGGCGGUGUCCGCGGUGGUGGCGAGCGGCGGCGACGGAGGCGUUCGGGCGGGAAGAACAGAGGAGGGGGAGAGCGUUCGGGGGAGAGGUCGAGGCGUCGAGGGGGUGUCGUGGCGCCGUCUAGGUGCAAUGGGGAGGAGCCAGGCAGGCUGGGAGGGAGGAGGUGGCCGCGGCGUGUAGCUGCGCGCGUCGGGCACGCGCCCUCGCCUACUGGCGCGAGGAAGGCGACAGGAGAGCGCCUGGUGGGCUGGGCCGCCAGCUGGGCCGGCCAGGUGGCUGUGGUGGGUGCCACGUAGGUAUCUCCUCUCUCUGCUUUCUGUUUUUCUAAUUUGUUUCUGUUUUCUAAUUAUUUGCCUCUGUUUUGGGCUUAGGAAAAAUACCAAGGCAUUUCCUAAAAUCCUGAAAAUAUUCAUGGACACUUGCUGAAUUAUUUCAGUGGCCCAAAAAUAGUUCCAACAUUAUUUGAACAUUUAAAUUAUUUAUAGCAUUUAAAUGCCCAAAAUUCAAAUACAAUAAGAUUUAAUUCAAAAAUCCAGGAUGGCCUAGAAAUAGGUGCAUCAUUUUUGGCAGAGGUUUUCACCUUUAACAAAAAUCAUGAACUUUUCUAAAGGGCAUUUGGGUUCAUUGAAAAUAUUGUUUACUUGAACCUAGUUGAAUGCAUUUGGUGCUAGGGUUUCAACAUCCCCAUUUCAAGUUUCUUUGAAAAUUAAACAUGAUGACAUGAGGAACAAGCAAAAGUCAAACAAGGGCUGAUCUGGGGCUGUGACAGUGAGGCCGCAAAGUGAUAUGAGGUGUUACAUGCUAGAUCGGUGUGACUUAGAAUCGGGGUCCCGACAUUCUGCUUCUUUGAGAAUGGAUCCUUUGGCUUGGGCUGAGGAGUGUCAGUCAAUUGCAUUAUCACCUCAGGAAUCGCAAUCUCAGGUUCUUCAGGCUGAGGAAUUUCAGCUUCUACUCCAGUGACAGCCUGGGUCUUCAAUUCUUCAUGUACAUUUUCUUCAGCACUAGUGGCUGGAAUUUCUUCAUGGAUAGAUGGGGUUGCACGAGGUUCUUCAGAUCCCAUUUGUACUUCAGUAGCAACAGGGGACUGAGGAAUUUGCUGUAAAGGUGUGAAGAGUGGAGAGUUGGGGUGCUGACUUUCCCAAAAGUCAUCAUUCAUCACUGGUGUGGUACAGCCAAUGUCCACGUCUUCAUCUUCUAUUUCUUCAAUGCCGGCCUCUUCAGCAGUAAACUGAGGCAUAGGCGAGGAAACAACUGGAGUUGAAGGGAUUUCAUCCACUUCAAUUUCUUCGUCCAUCUGCUCUGACGAAGCAGCAGAAGGAUUUUCUUCAUCAGAUCCGCUAGGGAUCAAAUAUUCUUCAUCAAAAGGAACAAGGUCCUUUGAUGGCAUGGUUGAGAUCGGAACAGCAUCAAUGGGGUUUGCAACUGAGCUGGUCAAUUUCUUCAUCUUCUUCGGAGCUGAAGAAUCUGAUGAAGCUGAUGCUUUCCUUUUCUUCACUGCUGCACGCUCUGCAGCCUUGGUCUUCUUCACAUCUGAUGCAGAUGGAAGAAUUGGAGUUGGGGUAGGCGCAGGAGGAGCAGAGGAAUGUGGUUGGUUUUCUUCAGGCACAACUGAUGCAGUUGCCCUGACCUCUUCAUUUUCUUCAGGCGCACCACUAGUGGAUGCCCUGGCAAUUUCAUCAGCGGCAGGAAUGCAGUCAUCAGCCCUAGACCUCACAUUUUCUUCAGCAUCCUGAAUGUCAUCAGCGGUGCUGGCAUGUUCUUCAGUUGGCUGAGCAGAUGCUUCAGUCUGAGGAAUUUCUUGUUGCGAUGGGGCUGCAACAUUGGAGGUGAACUUCUCAGUCAGUUUAACAAACCUGACCUUGGCUCCUUGCCAAUCAGCAAAGUAAGCAUUGAAAUCAUCGCUGAGGACUUUGAUUUCAGACUGGAUCUUCACAAGAUCAUCAGUUGUCAUAGAGACAACGUUGUUCUUCAGGAAUUUCUCCUUCCCGUACUGCGCUUUCUUGAUCUGCCUGGCCUUCUCAAAUUUCCAUUUCUCUUCUUGGAUGAAGGCAGUCAGCAUAUGAUUUUGGCCAGGAGUCAGCUUGAAGUCAGGCAUAGGAGUGUUUGGGUCCUUGUGCCAGAGAUCAAUGUAAUUGAGGACCAACUUUGGAUCCAAAAGCAGAGGCACAUUUGUGCCCUUGGCUCUAGCGGCCCUGACUUGCCUAUCUCUGAUGAUUUCAGCAAGUUCUUCAUCAUCAGCUUCGUCUUCUUCAGACGGCACUUGGAAGGCGACCUGCUUCUUGUGAGGACUUGGGCGAGAACCUCGUCCAGCAGUGGUCUUUGUCUUCAGCAGAGAGGGUCCUGUUGAAGAAUUUGGAGCAGCCGAGGAACUAGCUGAAGCUCCUGAGGCAAUAAAGAUCCCUGUAGUCCUUUGGCACGUGGCAAGAUGCACAGGUGCUGAGAAUUUGGUCGGAGCAGCUGAGGACUUAUGCGGAGGAGCUGAGGAUUUUGGAGGAGCAGGAGCAGCGUGAGGAAUUGGCCGUGAGGGCUUUGAGGAUUCUGGCCGUGAGGGCAUUGAAGGUGAAGCAAUUGGCUUACGCGCAGGCUUCUUUGCCAUGGAUUUCUUCGGUUUGACAGAGGCCUCAGCGGCAGCAGCAGCAGGAGAGUCUUCAUUGAAUUUCCUCACUGCUUCUCUGGCUUGUCUAGCCAGCUUGGCCUGGCGCUUGGCCCAUUCAUCAGGAUAAUCCUCACCACGCUUGAGGCUGGUGGGAUCAACUUCUUGGCCAGGUGCCAACGGAGGUCUUGGGCAUGGAGGAUUGAGUGCGAAUUUCUUCAUGUACUUGGGAGUCACAUACAUGUACUCCCUCCACUCUCUUGCCCAUCUCCUCUCUAUCUUCUGAAUGCGCACCUUGCGCUGAUUUUUAUCUUCCUCAGGGGGUGUGCAGUACCCAGCAUAGAUGUCCUCAGGGAUUUCAAAUGCAGUGUUGACCUCAGGCCUCUUUCCUCCUUUCUGUGGCUUCUUUCCAUCAACCAUUUUCUUCAGAUGAGGAAUUUGAACAAUUGAAUUCUCUGAAGAAGUAUGCAACUUUUCUUCGAGGAACGCUACAAAUGAGUUAAGUUGAUGAGAACCUAGAGAUUCAACAGCGGACAUGAGUACCUGUGAACAGAGUAUAGUUGCGAGGAAUUUGGAGAGGUCAUAUGCGUUCUCAAAAGGUUUUUCAAAAAGAACAAGUUUUAGGAAUUUGACCAGAUGAGUCUUGAAGAAUUUCACUAAGCGUUCUUUGUCUUAGGUUCCAGAGUUGCAUAGAUCGAAGAUCCACACAAUUGAGGAAUCUUGAAGAAAAAUUAUUGCUUAGAGAAAUGAAUCAAGAACAGAUGACAUGUGAGGUGUUUAGUGUGUGAAGAAUUUGAAGAAUAAACACCUUUGAAGAUUUUGUAGAAAUCAUUUGAAUCAAAGAGGGCAGUAAAAGUAACUUUUAAUUACCCUGGACAAAGAACACGACGAACUGUGAGGUAGAGAUGAGAAGUUCGUCUGUGCAGAUCUUCCACGCCCUAACUCGGCGGAGGAAGACGGCUACGGGCGGCGGCGGAGUGAAGAUUUCCGCGGUCGGCGCGAGUACGGCGGCGACGAGGUCGAGGCAGUGAAGCUCUUCCUCACCGGCGACGAUGAAGUAGCGGCGGUGCUAGGGUUUGAGAAGCUCGAGCUGGAGAGAGGUCGAGCGGAGUAAAGGAAGGGAGGAAGGGGAGAUGGGGUAUUUAUAGCCACGGUGAAAAACUGUUCGCCCGAAGAUUUUGGACGAACGUGCCCCUGACCCUUCUCAUUCGCUUGACAUGUGUCACCCACGUACUGAGAAGUGGAGAUCGUGUUAGAUCGUGGGUGAAUAGAUAAGUAUUUCAUGGGAUGCGGAACGGUUUGAGCGGCAAAGCCGAAAAUUUGGAUAAGAUAAGUUAAAAGUUCCGUUCGCAAAUUCUUCAGCUGACAAGGACACAGUGAAGAUUUUGAACGAGUUUCAAAUAGAACGCACAUGAAGAAUUUGUGAAUAGAUUGGGUUGAGUAUAGCAUAGAGGGCGAAGGGUCCGAUCACAUUCACUUAGCAGGAAAACCAACUUGAAGAGUUAGCCAUAAGUGAAUGUUGCAGAGUAUAUAUAUAUAUAUAUAGCCAAUGAAGAAAAACGACGGAAACAGUGAAGACAAUGCAAAGUUGAAGAAAAUGAACAACUGAGGAAAGACUUGAAUUGAAGAUUUUCAACUUUUGGUGGUGGCGUGACCCACCGUAUAAGAAUGAUGAUUUUAGACACCGCGUACAAUUGUCGUAGGGUUCUGAGAAUCAAAUUCUUCGUUAAUUUCUUCACACUUAGAGUGUUAUUCUUCAUUGAUUGAAGAAAAACGUUUCUUCAUGUGUUGCGCAUCUAAGUCAUCAAUUUUGCAUAAGUGUUAGGAUGAGUGUCCUUUUCAAAGAACAUUCGAAGAUUCUAAGAUAUUUAGCUCACACUGCAACUUGCUAAAUCUCUUCUCAUCCAAGGGCUUUGUGAAGAUAUCGGCUAGCUGUUCUUCAGUCUUCACAUGCUCAAUAGAAAUGUCACCCUUCAACACAUGAUCAAGAAGAAAAUGAUGACGAAUCUGAAUGUGCUUUGUCUUCGAGUGCUGAACUGGGUUGUGAGAAAUCUUGAUGGCACUCUCAUUGUCACAGUAGAGAGGCACAUUCUUCAUGUUGACGCCGUAGUCCUUGAGAGUUUGCUUCAUCCACAGCAAUUGAGCACAGCAAGAACCAGCAGCAAUGUACUCAGCUUCAGCAGUAGACAGUGAUACGCAGUUUUGUUUCUUUGAGGACCAACAGACCAAAGAUCGUCCGAGGAAAUGACAUGUACUAGAUGUUGUCUUGCGGUCCACACGAUCACCAGCAUAGUCAGAGCCAGAAUAUCCAAUGAGAUCAAAAGCCGAGCCCUUGGGGUACCAUAAUCCAUGUGUUGGUUUGUGAGCUAGAUAUUGAAGAAUAUGCUUCACAGCCUUAUGGUGUGAUUCCUUCGGUGUAGCUUGAAAUCGGGCACACAUGCAAACACUAAGCAUAAUAUCUGGCCUAGAUGCACAUAAAUACAAUAAAGAACCAAUCAUGGAGCGGUAUACCUUUUGAUCGAAGUCAAUACCAUUUUCAUCAGUGCACAGAUGGCCAUUUGUGGGCAUCAGAAUUUUGACGCCUUUGCAAUCUUGCAUGCCGAAUUUCCUCAGUACAUCCUUGAGGUAUUUCUCCUCAGAUAUGAAUAUGCCAUUGCGCUGUUGACGAAUUUGAAGACCUAAGAAGAAUUUUGAUUCUCCCAUCAUAGACAUUUGAUAUUCUUCACUCAUCAUAUAGGAAAAUUCAUCACUAUAAUGUUGGUCAGUACAGCCAAAGAUAAUAUCAUCAACAUAUAUUUGGCACACAUACAAUUCACCAUCAUAAGAUUUAGUGAAAAGAGUAGGGUCGAGUGAACCGGGUUUGAAGCCUUUCUUCAUGAGGAAUUCCUUCAAAGUAUCAUACCAUGCCCGAGGGGCCUGCUUGAGGCCAUAGAGGGCCUUAUUGAGUCUGAAGACUUUGUCAGGAUGCUUUGGAUCUUCAAAACCUGGGGGUUGAGCAACAUAUACUUCUUCCUCAAGCUUACCAUUAAGGAAUGCACUUUUCACAUCCAUUUGAUAUAAAGUGAUAUCAUGAUGGUUAGCAUAAGCAAGUAAUAUGCAAAUAGCUUCAAGUCUAGCAACAGGUGCAAAAGUUUCAUCGAAAUCAAUUCCUUCAACCUGUGUGUAGCCUUGAGCUACAAGCCGUGCCUUAUUCCUCACCACAAGGACAUUUUCAUCUUGCUUGUUGCGGUAGAUCCACUUUGUGCCAAUGAUAUUGUGCUUGCGAGGAUCUGGACGUUUAACCAGUUCCCAGACGUUGUUGAGCUCGAAUUGAUGUAAUUCUUCUUGCAUGGCCUGAAUCCACUCAGGCUCCAGAAAUGCUUCAUCUACCUUAGUGGGCUCUGUGAUAGAGACAAAAGCAUAGUGCCCACAAAAGUUAGAUAAAUGUGAAGCUUUUGAGCGUGUGAGAGGACCUGGUGUGUCAUCGAUGAUCUUUUCAACUUGCACUUCUUUUGCAACACGAGGAUGAGCUGGUUGUCGUCGAGGAAUUUGAUAAGCAUUUUCUUCAGCACCAUUUUCUUCAGCAUUUUCUUCAGGUGCAUUAGCUCGACGUUCUUCACGUUCUGGAAUGAAUUCUUCAGCAGAUUCUUCGGUAGGAAUGACCUCUGUAGCCUUGAACUUGAUAGUUUCCUCAGGUGCUGGUUCAUCUAUCACAGAGGGUAGGUGCUCUCUUUGCGAGCCAUUAGUUUCAUCGAACCGCACAUCUACAGUUUCAACAACCUUGUGAAGAACGUUGUUGAAGACUCUGUAGGUGUGCGAGUCCUUUCCGUAACCAAGCAUAAAACCUUCAUGUGCUUUUGGUGCAAAUUUAGCAUUGUGAUGAGGAUCUCUAAUCCAACAUUUAGCACUGAAGACUUUGAAAUAACUCACAUUGGGUUUCUUGUCAGUGAGGAGUUCAUAGGCAGUCUUCUUGAAGAAUUUGUGAAGAUAUACCCUGUUGAUGAUGUGGCACGCAGUAUAAAUUGCCUCAAUCCAGAAGUGACGAGGCGUCUUGGACUCAUCAAGCAUAGUGCGAGCCAUCUCAAUAAGAGUUCUGUUCUUGCGCUCCACGACGCCAUUCUGCUGAGGAGUGUAAGGAGCAGAUAACUCAUGAGUAAUACCAAGUUCAUCAAGAUAGUCAUCAAGACCAGAAUUCUUGAACUCAGUUCCAUUGUCACUUCUGAUGUGCUUGAUUUUCACACCGAAGUUGGUUGAAGCCCUCGAGGAAAAUCGUUUGAAGACUUCCUGCACUUCAUGUUUGUAAGUGACAAUAUGUACCCAAGUGUAACGAGAGUGAUCAUCAACAAUAACAAAGCCAUAGAGAGAUGCAUCAUUUGUGACUGCUGAGUAAUGGUUAGGACCGAAGAGAUCCAUAUGAAGCAAUUCAAAUGGUCGAGUAGUGGUGAUGAUAGUCUUUGCUGGAUGCUUAGCCUUGGUCAUCUUUCCAGCUUCACAGGCUCCGCAUAAGUGAUCCUUGAGGAAUUUGACAUUCUCAAUGCCAAUGGCAUGCUUCUUCUUUGCAAGCGUGUGCAAAUUCCUCAUGUCUGCAUGACCAAGUCGUCGAUGCCAUAGCCAGCCUUCUGAAGCUUUUGCAAGUAGGCACACGGCUGGUUGCGGUCCUAUAGAUAAAUCAACAAUAUACAAGUCUCCUCUCCUAAAGCCUUCGAAGACUUUGGAAUUGUCAGCUUCCAUAACCACAACACAACGAUACUUGUCAAAGACAACAACCAUAUCAAGAUCACAAAGCAUUGAGACAUACAUGAGGUUGUAUCCUAAGGACUCGACAAGCAUGACUUUGUCCAUGUGUCGAUCCUUUGUGAUCGCAACCUUACCUAGACCCAAUACCUGACUUUUGCCUUUGUCAGCGAAGAUGAUAUGCUUCAGAUGCGAUGGUGAUAAGGGAGCAUCCAUCAAUAGAUUCUUGUCACCAGUCAUGUGAUUUGUACAUCCACUAUCGAGGACCCACUCAGUGGCUUUGGGUUGAUCAUCCUGUAGAUGAAUUAGUGCAGCUUACGAACUUCAUAUACUUCAUCAGUGAAGAAUAUGACAUCACAAUUCAUCAGGCCAAUUUCAUCAAGCAAUGCAACAGUUAAAACAGUAUGAGGACGUGAGAAAUGAAAGUUCAUUUCUUCAUGAUUAGCCUGCGUCCUUUCAGGCACUUUUCACGUCUCCAACAAAUUCUUCAGACGUUUGAGCACGUCUGGAGACCUGACCCUGCAUAAGAGAUUAGUCCUUUUUCUUCACCACCCACAUCUGAAGGGGUGGCAAAGAGUUCAUCACUCUGCGAGCUCCAUACGAGAAAGGUGGCAUAGAAGCCAAUCCAUUUCGUUUCACAUAAGAGGAGUUAGGGUAAGCAUAUGAAUAAGCAGAGAAAUUCUUCGAGGACUUAUGAACAUAAUGAUUAGAAGAAUAAUGCUCAUAUUCAUAGCCCUUAGCUCUUCCCUGCGAAACAGAGUUGUUAGCACGAUGAUGUUCAUAUGAGGACUUUGAUCCUUUUGAGGAAUAUGAUCCACGUGAGGAAUUCGAUCCGUAUGAGGACUUGGAUCCAAAUGAAGAAUUUGGUCCACAUGAAGAAUUUGAUCUGGGGUUCCUAUUCUUCACAGGUGGUGUCAUGAGGACAUUCACCUGAAGACUUUCAAGGCACCUUUUGGGAACCCAGAUUUUCUUCAUAGGAGAACCGUUCCUACAGUUAGUGCCAACAUAUCUAGCAAAUACUUCACCAUUCUGAUUUUUAAACAGUUUAUAGUUGGAGUCAAAUGACUCAUCAGAAGAAUGAGAAGAUUCACAUGUAAAGCCAGAUAAAUUAGAUGGAUCAACUGGAGGUCCCUUUGCAGCAACCCAUGAGGUUUUGGGGUACUGCUCAGGCUUCCAAUAUGUACCAUCAGCAUUGAGUUUCCUCUCAAAGGCAAUACCCUCUUUCCUAGGGUUCCUGUUGAGGAUCUGCUUUUUAAGCACAUCACAAAGAGUCUGAUGCCCUUUGAGGCUUUUGUACAUGCCUGUCAUGUACAAUUCCUUCAGCCCUGCAUCAUCAGUGAUACUAGCAAUGUCCUCAGAUGAGGAAUUAGUGAUAGCAGAGACAGUUGAAGAAUUUGUAGCAUUAGAAGCAUUUGAACAUUCAGGUGAAGAUUUAGCAGAUUCACGUUCAAUGCAUUUCAAACAUGGAGGAACAAAUUCUUCCUGAGCAGCGCUGAUUUGUUGAGCAAGUAAUGAAUCGCGCUCCUUCUGAAGAUCUUCAUAACUCACUCUUAGCUUCUCAAGAUCUUGCUUUCUUUGAAGAAAUUCAUAAGAAAGCUUCUCAUGAUCAGAUAAGAGAGUGUUAUGAUGACCUUGAAGGUUGUCAAAUCUAGACUGAAAUCUCUGAAGAUUUUCAGUCAAGGUUUUAGUGCGAUCCAUUUCUUCACCCAACAUAUCAUCACUUUUUAUCUAGCAUGUUUUGAAACUUUUCCAAGGCCUUUUGUUGUUUAGUGGCAAUACAAACAAGCUUGGUAUAGCUAGGUCCAAAAUCAUCAUCGGAUUCAUCAUCACUAGACUCGGAUGAGGAACAUUCGGUUACCUUGGCACCUUUUGCCAUGAGGCAUGGUGGAGAAGAUGAUAGUUCAGGUUCGAAAGUCAUCGUUUUGAGUGAUUCCUUGAAAUCCUCAAACCAGGGAUCAUGACAAGUUCGAUGACCUUCAUAGACGUCAGAGAUUCGGUCCCAGAUAAGCUUCACAUUGCAAAGAUGCAUAAUGCGCCUGAAUUCAUCUCUGGAUAGGCAGGAACAGAUGAUAUCCUUCGCCAUGAUGUCAAGUCGAGUGUACUUGCGAAUAUCAUCAGUGUCCGCCAUCUUGCAUAGAUCGGUAAGACCAAUCUCAGUGACGGUCCACAGCUCGCUGUUCAGUGCCAUGAGGCGCUUGCUCAUCAUGGCCUUCCACUUGGGAUAAUCAUGACCGUCAAAGAUGGGGCAUGUCACUUUCUUCAUACCUGCGGUCGACAUAACUAAAACUCCAGGCGGUUAAACCAAAAUCACACAGAACAAGGGAGUACCUUGCUAUGAUACCAAUUGAAAGUGCAUUAUAUCGAGUAGAGGGGGGGUGAAUAGGUGAUUUUUAUGAAUUCUUCACUGAGGAAUUUGCGGGUGAGGAAUUCCUUAGCGAAGAACUACUUGCAGCGGAAUAAGUACUCAAGAGUAAGCAUAGCAGAACAUAGGCAUGGUCAUCAUGAUGAAAUGAAGACAAACACAGAGUACAGAAAGCGUAAACACAGGAUAGCACAGGAUGAAGACAAACAGACUGAAGAAAUUGAACUGAGGAAAUUGAGAAAGUCUUCUGUCAAAGUCUUCAAACACAGAUAUGACAAGCACACAACACAGUAAUGAGGAAAUGAAAGAGUUGAGGAAAUAGAACCAGUAAGCUUGGUGAAGACAAUGAUUUGGUAGACCAGUUCCAACUACUGUCUCAGCUGUACAUCUGGUUGGAGCGGCUAGGUAUUUAAACCUGAGGACACACAGUCCCGGACACACAGUCCUCACUGUAUUCUCCUUGAACUAAGGUCACACAGACCUUGUCCAAUCACUCGUGGUAAGUCUUCAGGUGACUUCCGAACCUUCACAAACUCGGUCACUCGGCGAUCCACAAUUCCUCUUGGAUGCUCUAGACCAUGACGCCUAACCGUCUGGAAGAAGCACAGUCUUCAAAGAUAACAAGCGUCGGAUCCACGCAGGAUCAAUUUCUUCAGUGAUGCUCAAUCACUUUGGGUUUGUAGGUGUUUGGGUUUGGGUUUUCCUCACUUGAUGAUUUUCGCUCAAAGUCCUCGGAGGAUGGGAUGCUCUCAAAUGACAAAUGUCAGUUUCUCUCGGAGCAGCCAACCAGCUAGUGGUUGUACGGGGCGACUAUUUAUAGCCUAGGGAGCAGCCCGACAUGAUAAGACAUAAAUGCCCUUCAAUGAUAUGACCGUUAGGUGGGUAGAUAUUUUGGGACAGCUGGCGCAUAGCACAGCAAUGGUAGGAAAUUUCAGUAUCAAAUUCCUCAGGGCUAUCAUGUUCCUCACUGUGUAGGCAAUCCGCACUGGCGAAUUCCUAACUCCUCAGUCAGAACAAAUUCCUCAGAGACCAGAAGAACUUCGUCUCUGUAACUGAAGAAUAUGACUGAACUGUAUGAGAUUUCCAAUGGCUUCACUCGAAGGGAUUGGUAGGUGUAGGAUUUUGAGUUGAGCAUCAUAUGGAAAUUUUUCCUUAGUAUUUCCUCGACCCCCUUUAACAGUACGGUGUUUCCAAUGACUCAAGAAAGAGAAAAUGAAACUACGAAAACAAAAGUCUGCACGGUUCAUAUUCCUCAAAUGAAUACCAAGUCUUCAAGGUCACACCAAUUUCUUCACUUUCAAAGUCUUCAGAAAGUCUUCAGAAAUCCAUAGUCUCUAGUCGAAGAACUUCAUUUUUAGGGGUCGACUUUCUCUGUAAAUAUCAAACUCCUCAUAGACUUAUAGACCUGUGUACACUCAUAAACACAUUAAUCCCUUAACCUAUAAGUCUUCAAUACACCAAAAUCACUAAGGGGCACUAGAUGCACUUACAUCUAUCUUAGGGUAACGAGAGUCGAGGCGAACGUUGUCGCGAUAGCGACUACGGAAGCCCAGACGAGCACGCGACACCACUGCCACCCUGUCUUAGGGUAAUGCAAGUCGAGGCGGACGUCGUCGCAUUAGCGAUGCCGGGACACCGAGAUGAGCACGUGGCACCAAGGCCACCCUGUCUAUCUUACGGUAACGCGAGUCGAGGCGGACGUCGUCGUGGUAGCGACGACGGACGCCGCGACUAGCAUGUGACACCACUGCCACCCUUUCUAUCUGAGGGAAACGCGAGUCGACGUGGACGUCGUCGCGGUAGUGACAACGGACGCCGAGACGAGCACGUGACACCAUUGCCACCCUGUCUAUCUUAGGGUAACACUAGUCGAGGGGACGUCGCCGCGGUAGCGGCGACGGACGCCGAGACGAGCACGUGAUACCACUACCACCCUGUCUGUCUUAGGGUAAUGCGAGUCAAGGGGGACGUCGUUGCGGUAGCUACGACAGACGCCAAGACGAGCACGUGACACCACUGUCACCCUGUGUAUCUUAGGGUAACGCGGGUCGAGGCGGACAUCGUCGUGGUAGCGACGACGCAUGUCAAGACGAGCACGUGACACCAGUUCCACCCUGUCUUAGGGUAACGCAAGAGUCGAGGUGGAUGUCGUCGCGCUAGCGACGACGGACGCCGAGACGAGGACAUGAUGCCAGGACCACCCUGUCUAUAUUAGGGUAACGCGAGUCGAGGCAGACAUCGUCGCGGCAGUGACGACAGACGACGAGACGAGCACGUGACACCACAGCCAUCCUGUCUAUCUUAAGGUAACGCGAGUCGAGGCGGACGUCGUCGCGGUAGCGACGACGGACGCCGAGACCAGCACGUGACCCCACUACCAACAUGUCUAUAUUAGGGCAACGCGACUCGACACGGACGUCGUCUCGGUAGCGACGACGGACGCCGAGGCAAGCACGUGACACCACUGCCACCCUGCCUAUCUUAGGGUAACGCGAGUCGUGGCGGAUGUCGUCGUGGUAGCGACGACGGACACCGAGACUAGCACGUGACACCACUGCCACCCUGUCUUAGGGUAACGCGAGUCGAUGCGGAUGUCGUCGCGGUAGCAACGAUGGACGCCUAGACGAGCAUGUGACACCACUGCCACCCUCUCUUAGGGUAACGCGAGUAGAGGCGGAGGUCGUCGCGGAAGCAGCGACGGACGCGGAGGCGAGAACGUGACACCACUGCCACCCUGUCUUAGCGGAACGCGAGUCGAGGCGAACGUCGUCGCGAUAGCGACGACAGACGCCAAGACGAGCACGUGACACCACUGCCACCCUGUCUUAGGGUAACACGAGUCGAGGCGGACGUCGUCGCGUUAGCAACGAAGGACGCCGUGACGAGCACGUGACACCAGGGCCACCCUGUCUAUCUUAGGGUAACGGGAGUCGAUGCAGAAGUCGUCGCCGUAGCGAUGACGGACGCUGAGACGAGCACGUGACACCACUACCACCCUAUCUAUCAUCGGGUAACGCGAGUCGAGGCAAACGUCGUCGCGGUAGCGACGACAGACGCCAAGACGAGCACUUGACACCCUGGCCACCCUGUCUAUCUUAGUGUAACGCGAGUCGAGGCGAACGUCAUCGCAGUAGCGAGGACGGACGCCGAGACGAGCACGUGACACUACUGCCACCCUCUCUUAAAAGUCGAGGCGGACGUCGUCUAGCUUGUCACGUCAAAUUGACACAAAAAAUGUUCAUUUAAAAAAAAAUAUCAGAUAUUUCGGAAAAUGUUCUUGUUUUUAAGGAAAUUUCAGGAAUUCAAAAGUUGUUUAGUUCUAUAAAUAUGUUCUUGAUUUGAAUUUUUCUCAUUAAUUUUAAAAUAUGUUCAUAGUAGAUCAAUUUAAUGAACAUUUCGAUUCAACCAAAAAGAUGUAGAUCAAUUUAAUUCAGCAUGUUAAUUUUUGUUUAAUAAAAUUAUGUUCAUGGAAAGUAUUAAUCGAAAGGGAAUAGAGGAAUAGGCGAAUUUAUUUUUUUUCUGUGUAAAAGUAGCUAUUCAUUUUAGUUGAAAGUGCUAGUUCAUUUCAAUUAAAAGUGGGAUUUCCGGCCCAUUAGUGUCCGUGAAAAACUGCUGGCCCAGAAAGGGAAUAGGAAAACACAGGCCCAAAAGGAAAAAACGUGGAAAGGGAAUAGAGGCUAGGUGAGGUAUUGGGCCAAGGCUGGGCCGAACUCACAAAAAGUGGAGCUCUCAAGGCCGGAAUUGAUCACGAAAGGGAAUAGAAUGGGCGCAACCGUUCGCUAACUUUGUCGUUUGUUGUCGCAUCGAUCUGGUGCGAAAUGAGAGCUCCUAUGUGUCGCAUUUUACGGCAAAUUGCCACCAUAUCGCACAGGGGCGCCACCGAGUGGGCCGGCCCAUUAGCAGCACUGCAGCGAGCCAAUAAACGCACUGUAGCUAAAAACUGAGCGGCAUCGACCUCGCGACCUCUGGCUAUUGAAUGACUCUCGCUAGCCACUUGAGCUGAUGGCCCGUUGGUUAUUGUUAUACACCGCGAAAUACUAAAAGCACUACUCGGAGGAGCUGAUCAAACUUGUACUGUAGCGACCGGACUGUGUACUGUUACGACAUGAACAAGGCAAGGUAGAGUUUUUUUUAGAAGCUCCAAAUCUUUCUUUGAAAAACGUGAACAUUUUUUCAAAACACAAAUAAAACUUCAAAUUUCAAACAUUUUUCAAAACAGAUAAAAAAAGUAGAAACCACAAAAGUAUUUUGAAUUUGUGAACAUUUCUCCGAGAAAGGGAACAUUUUUUAAAUUCCGAACAAAUUUUGAAAGCCUGAACAUUAUUUGAAACUCCCCGAACAAUUUUUGAAUUUGUGAACAAAUUUUGAAAACGAGAACAUUUUUUGAAAUUGUGAACAAAAUUUUGAAACCACAAACAUUUUUUGAAAUUGGAAGCAAUUUUAGAAUUUGUGACUUUUUUUCAAAAUGAGAACUUUUUUGAAAUUCUGAAUUAUAUUUCAAAUUUUCAAAAAAGUUUCAAUAGAAAAAUAAACUUAAAAAAGAAAAAGAGAAAAAUGAAAAAGAAAACAAAACAAUAUUCAAAAAUUCAUGAACGUUGUUUUGAAAAUAUUUAGAAAAGAAGCGAACAAUUUUUGAAAUUUCUGAACAAAAUUUGAAAACAGGAACAUUUAAAAAAAAUAAGGAUCAUGUUUUGAAAUUCCCAAACAAUUUUGAAAUGCAAACAUUUUUUGAAUGUAGAAACAAAAUUUGAAAACAGGAACAUUUUCCAAAAUUUGAACUUUGUUUAGGAACCUGAAUAUUUCUAGAAAAAGAAAAAUGAAAUUGAAUAAAAAGGAAACGGAAAAAGAAAAAAAGAAAAAGAAAAACCUGACCACAAAGAAAUAGAAAAACGAAAAGAAAAGAAAAAACCGUAGAAAAGAAAAAAACCCGGUUCAGGAAACCUUCUGGAAGGUUCCCAAAGACGGAUUGGGUAGUGCCAAUACGAUCUACUCAAAUGGGCCGGCCCCGUCGUGUCGAUCGGCCGAUCGCCUGUGCGUUGCCCCGGCAACUUGCCGCAACGAGCGACAAACAGGAAAUUCCGUGCGAAAAAUCGAGUGCGCCUCUUAGGACGCGCGCUAGCGACGCCGCAUUGGAGUUCUCUCUAUACGUAUACUUGCUAGCGUUGAUCAAGCACGGAAAUAAGCGAGCUCACUUCUCUCUAUUAGCUAGCUAACACAAUAUAUGAAACCCCCUCUCCCUUCUUUCAAAACAAAAACAAAACCCCUGCUCCUGCCAGCUGCUGACGCGUGGAUGCCUUUUGGUACCGGUUGGUGUUACCAACCGGGACAAAAGGUGCUCCAGCCUAGGCACCUCGCAGCGGCCACGUGGAGCCCCUUGCGAAUCGGGACUAAAGGUUUUGGGCUUUAGUCCCAACCCUUUAGUCCCGGUUCCAGAACCGGGGUAAGGGGCCUCUGAAACCGGGACAAAUGGGCCGGUUUCUAUGAGUCGAAGCUCCAUCCUCCUUUCUAGUCCUCUGUUCCUUUUGUCAUAUCAGCUUUCAUCCAUCUCCCAUACUGUUGCACCUCACCUCUCCCAAGUCCAAUAGAACACGCCUUGUCCACGUGUCCAAUUAUACCACACGUGUAACAAAAAUCAGGGAGGUACUCAUACUCUAGGGGGCACCAUUUUUGCUCAUCAUCUUUCUUCUUUCUUUUAUCCACGUCCAUCACUUCUGCAGACUCCUUGUCUUCUCCCGUUCAAUAUCCAAAGUGAUUCCUCUCAACAGUGGCUUUGUAAUGUCUAGUCUAACUUUCAGAACUUCCAGCCACAUUAUCAUCAUCCCCCUGGUUACCUCCAUGAACUCGCCAGUCUCGUCACCAAUGAUACCUCCGUUUUCAUCACUCAUGAAACCGAGCGGCAUCUUGGUCACCCUGACCCAAAUAAGGAUGAUAGUGAACUCAUACUCUCCUAGCGUUUUAGCUGGGUCGAAAUCUACCAUCACAAUCAGGUCCUUUCCCACCAUCCAUGGCCCUUCCUCCAAUGCUUUCCUCUUCCCCGCUGCUUGCAAGAAGGUGAAAAGAAAGGUGUUGUCCUCUAACCCCUUGCACUUGAUUCCCUUGAUCGGACACCACACUCUUCCGAGGUAUUUGAUCAUACCUUCCACAUAUACUGGUUUCUCGGACAUAACCUUACCGAUCGCCUGUGGAUCUUCCGUUCCCGUUCUCCUCAACCCGCCUCUUCCGAUCUUGACUCCCUUCUUCUCUGCUUCUGGCAACCGCAACUUCUGCAUCAAACCUUCCACUUUCUCCAUUGUGUCGAGGACUUGCAUCGAUCUAUGGUUUACUAGGUGGUUGUAUUAUGAAUGAAUGCCCUAGCAACACUCGUAAGGCUUUUGGUGGAUGGGUGAGCGGUCUCGAGAUCAAUCCAGCAAGGAUCGCCAAGGCUAGGGGGAGAGUUUGCUGGCGUAGGCCAGAGACGGGGUCGCCUGAGGGGACUCUAGGGUUUACCAGGAGUCACCGCAGAAUCCCCUGGGAAUCGCCCAAGCGCCAAUCGUGGAACCGUCACCCAAGGACGGACGGGUUAAGGAUGAUAAUUAAAGCGGACUUUGAUAGAGAGACACGUGAGAAAUAGAGUGAUAGAGAGAGAUACGUGAAAAUUAAAGCGGUUUUAAUUUCUUUCUUUUCUGUAAUUAAAGAGAUACGCAUGAGAAAUAGAGAGAUAAGAGAGAUACGUGAGAAUUAAAGCUGUUUUAAUUUUUUCCGUUUCUAUAAUUAAAGAUCUGAUCUACACAGUUAUAAUCUUGACCCGCAAAAUCAACGGCCUCCAUUUUCUAUUUUUCUCUAAUUAAUGUGGGAAUUUCUUGGGAGUGCCUAUUAGUAUAGGUAUAUAUAUGUGCAAAAAAUCUCGACAUUAAUGAACAUAUAUCUGGUGCACUUGCAAUCUUUUGUAGUACAUUAAUGAAUAUUUAAAGUAUUUUCCAACUCUUGCUAUUUAUAGACUUGUCAUCCGUGUCUGCCACAUUUGGAGUCCAACUAUUUCCUACUGGAACCUUACACUCCACUAGAACUGAGUUUGUCAAGUAACAGAUAACCAAUAUGAGAGGGAGCAGCCUAGUGCAGGGGACGAUGAUAUUCUUCAUUGGAUGCCUUGUGCUUUGUGCACAGUGUAAGUAUAUAUCAUCAUCGUCUUUAGAAUCUUGUGUUAACUUCUUGCCACUAAUUCUUCGGAUCAGACAUACAUACACACACACAUCUGCGGUACUGCAUACUAAGGUUAAAUAUACUAUACAGGUGCUCUCGAUAAUAAGCAAAGGAUGGUCAACCAAGAUGAUCAUGCGGCGAACACAAGUACCAACGCUACCAUCAUCAACUCAACAUCUGUAGGCGAGAGCAAGAAAACCGAGAAAUUUUGCAGCCUCUUUCUCGUAUGUUAUUUCAACAUUGAGAUUCGUGCUGAGUGCUACUGUUGCGAGAAUAAGAAUGCCGACUGUUACAAGACGAAGAGUGAGUGCCUGCAGAAGUGCCAUUCCUACAACGGUUAAUGCCCACCUUCAUCGCGGUCUCUGGGAUAGAAUUCCAUAUGCUCGGAAAAUUUGUCCGUAGGUAAUAAAAGGCACCUUAUAUGGUUUGGGCAAUUAGGUCCCAAUUAAACAUUAGAUAGCCGGCAUGUUUCCGUGGAGAUCCAACAAGGAAAAAUUUGAUGAAAGAAAUCCGAGUAACUAGUUGUCUUGCAUAUUUACAAAGUUCAAAUCCUUUGGUUGUUGUGCUUUGACUCGAUUGUCUAUUAUGCCAUUUCAUUUACUUGCACAUUGCCCACUUGUUCAUUUAACACACAUCACCCACUUGGUGAUUUGCCAGUUGUGGGCUGACAGCCAUAUAGAUUUAUUUUUUUGAGAUCUCGUCAUAUAGAAUUGUAAUAGCACUGACAUGGAAAAGGUUAAAAACUGAAAAACUGAAAAAAGUAAAUCAAACAAACAAAUGGUGUGCAAACUAAAUCAGACGGCACAAGACAAGUGAGAUUUAGUCAGGACUCUUUCAGAUGAAGAUAAGCAAAUUGCAAGAAAACAACAUGCAGAAACAAUUUUAUAUCAUAGCAUAACAUGCAAAAAAGCACAUAUAUAGUACAACGACAACCCACGUGUCUAUAUGCUAUCUAUAUGUAUAUCUAUCUAUCUAUAUCUAUCUAUCUAUCUAUCUAUCUAUCCUUACUAAUAAAAGACGGAUCAUUUAUGCCCAUCCGUCUCAUGUUUUGCAACAAAAUACCCUACUUUUUUCUUUAAUUAACCCGCGGUCAAGGUUUAGGUGAGGUUCGUCCGUUGUUUUUUUUGCAAAGAACGAGGAAACGGUUGCGUUUUGUGAGAUUCAAACUCAUGAUGUCCCCUCCAUGCCCAAAAGCCACAGCCAACUGAGUUAGCAUGCACUUGUGCUACCAAAUAGGUCCAUUAUUUCAUUAAAUUGUCCAUCCUUGAUUCUUUGCAUGAGAAUACACAAAUUUAUAUGUGAUUGCAAAUUGCCUGGAAAUCAACAAGCCAACUCGAUAACCAAGAAAUAGAGGGAGAGGAGGAAUUCACUCAAUAAAUAGUGUUAACUAGCAGGGUUUCCCGCGCAUUUGUGCGGCUAGCUGACCCUUUCCGAUGCCAACUAUAUGGCCUUUCACUAAACUAUAUUUUGAUUAAAUUUACACCUUGUAUAUGUCAUCAUAGAAAAAAUGAAAAUCGUAAUGAAACAUGCAAGUGCAUCAGGUUGUUCAUUUUAAUAUAGAAGUGCAUUAGGUUUUUAAAUAAAUUCCUUGGCAUGUCAGGUUGCAACACAGAUAAAAAACCAUGUAUGGGAUUUCAUGCCAAUCUUGGUGUUUUUCCUGUGUGAUCACUCCUCCUUUGUAUCAUUUAAUAGGUUUUCAAGAAAUUCCCUACCAAGACUUAAAUCUAAACAUGAAAUUCUGGUAUGUAAAGGUCCCUUCUUCUAGUCAUACCAAUCAACGGACGCAUUCUUAACUACCUUUUCUUGAUUAAUGCCGCCUACCCACUUAUGUAUCAAGAGAUUCACAUCUUCUAUCGUGCUUAUUUUUUCUAUUGAUAAUAUUUUACAAAAUAUUAUCUUUGACUCACUCCCUUUUAAUUUCUGAAGACUUUGAAAGUGAAGAAAUUGGUGUGACCUUGAAGACUUGGUAUUCAUUCGAGGAACAUGAAGCGUGAAGACUUUUGUUUUAGUAGUUUCAUUUUCUCUUUCUUGAGUCAUAGGAAACACUGUACUGUUAAAGGGGGUCGAGUAAAUACUAAGGAAAAAUUUCCAAGUGAUGCUCAACUUAAAAUCCUACACCUACCAAUCCCUUCGAGUGAAGCCAUUGGAAAUCUCAUGCAGUUCAGUCAGUUUCUUCAGUGACAGAGACGAAGUACUUCUGGUCUCUGAGGAAUUUGUUCUGCCUAAGGAGUUAGGAAUUCGCCAGUGCGGAUUGCCUACAAGUGAGGAACAUGAUAGCCCUGAGGAAUUAGACACUCGAAAUUCCGACCGUUGCUGUGCUAUGCGCCAGCUGUCCCAAAAUAUCUUACCCACCUAACGGUCAUAUCAUUGAAGGGCAUUUAUGUCUUAUCAUGUAGGGCUGCUCCCUAGGCUAUAAAUAGCCGCCCCCUACAACGACUAUCUGGUUGGCUGCUCCGAGAGAAACCGACACUUGUCAUUUGAGAACAUCCCAUCCUCCGAGGACUUUAAGCGAAAAUCAUCAAGUGAGGAAAACCCAAACCCAAACACCUAAAAACCCAAAGUGAUUGAGCAUCACUAAAGAGAUUGAUCCUGCGUGGAUCCGACACUUGUUACCUUUGAAGAAUGUGCAUCUUCCAGAUGGUUAGGCGUCAUGGUCUAGAGCAUCCAAGAGGAAAUUGUUGAUCGCCGAGUGACCGAGUUUGUGAAGGUUUGGAAGUCACCUGAAGACUUACCACGAGUGAUUGGGCGAGGCUGUGUGACCGUAGCGAUGACGGACGCUGAGACGAGCACGUGACACCACUACCACCCUAUCUAUCAUCGGGUAACGCGAGUCGAGGCAAACGUCGUCGCGGUAGCGACGACAGACGCCAAGACGAGCACUUGACACCCUGGCCACCCUGUCUAUCUUAGUGUAACGCGAGUCGAGGCGAACGUCAUCGCAGUAGCGAGGACGAACGACGAGACGAGCACGUGACACUACUACCACCCUCUCUUAAAAGUCGAGGCGGACGUCGUCUAGCUUGUCACGUCAAAUUGACACAAAAAAUGUUCAUUUAAAAAAAAUAUCAGAUAUUUCGGAAAAUGUUCUUGUUUUAAAGGAAAUUUCAGGAAUUCAAAAGUUGUUUAGUUCUAUAAAUAUGUUCUUGAUUUGAAUUUUUCUCAUUAAUUUUAAAACAUGUUCAUAGUAGAUCAAUUUAAUGAACAUUUCGAUUCAACCAAAAAGAUGUAGAUCAAUUUAAUUCAGCAUGUUAAUUUUUGUUUAAUAAAAUUAUGUUCAUGGAAAGUAUUAAUCGAAAGGGAAUAGAGGAAUAGGCGAAUUUAUUUUUUUCUGUGUAAAAGUAGCUAUUCAUUUUAGUUGAAAGUGCUAGUUCAUUUCAAUUAAAAGUGGGAUUUCCGGCCCAUUAGUGUCCGUGAAAAACCGCUGGCCCAGAAAGGGAAUAGGAAAACACAGGCCCAAAAGGAAAAAACGUGGAAAGGGAAUAGAGGCUAGGUGAGGUAUUGGGCCAAGGCUGGGCCGAACUCACAAAAAGUGGAGCUCUCAAGGCCGGAAUUGAUCACGAAAGGGAAUAGAAUGGGCGCAACCGUUCGCUAACUUUGUGGUUUGCUGUCGCAUCGAUCUGGUGCGAAAUGAGAGCUCCUAUGUGUCGCAUUUUACGGCAAAUUGCCACCAUAUCGCACAGGGGCGCCACCGAGUGGGCCGGCCCAUUAGCAGCACUGCAGCGAGCCAAUAAACGCACUGUAGCUAAAAACUGAGCGCCCCCGUGGAGGCAUCGACCUCGCGACCUCUGGCUAUUGAAUGACUCUCGCUAGCCACUUGAGCUGAUGGCCCGUUGGUUAUUGUUAUACACCGCGAAAUACUAAAAGCACUACUCGGAGGAGCUGAUCAAACAUGUACUGUAGCGACCGGACUGUGUACUGUUACGACAUGAACAAGGCAAGGUAGAGUUUUUUUUAGAAGCUCCAAAUCUUUCUUUGAAAAACGUGAACAUUUUUUAAAAACACAAAUAAAAAUUCAAAUUUCAAACAUUUUUCAAAACAGAUAAAAAAAGUAGAAACCACAAAAGUAUUUUGAAUUUGUGAACAUUUCUCCGAGAAAGGGAACAUUUUUUAAAUUCCGAACAAAUUUUGAAAGCCUGAACAUUAUUUGAAACUCCCCGAACAAUUUUUGAAUUUGUGAACAAAUUUUGAAAACGAGAACAUUUUUUGAAAUUGUGAACAAAAUUUUGAAACCACAAACAUUUUUUGAAAUUGGAAGCAAUUUUGGAAUUUGUGACUUUUUUUCAAAAUGAGAACUUUUUUGAAAUUCUGAAUUAUAUUUGAAAUUUUCAAAAAAGUUCGAAUAGAAAAAUAAACUUAAAAAAGAAAAAGAGAAAAAUGAAAAAGAAAACAAAACAAUAUUCAAAAAUUCAUGAACGUUGUUUUGAAAAUAUUUAGAAAAGAAGCGAACAAUUUUUGAAAUUUCUGAACAAAAUUUGAAAACAGGAACAUUUAAAAAAAAUAAGGAUCAUGUUUUGAAAUUCCCAAACAAUUUUAAAAUGCAAACAUUUUUUGAAUGUAGAAACAAAAUUUGAAAACAGGAACAUUUUCCAAAAUUUGAACUUUGUUUAGGAACCUGAAUAUUUCUAGAAAAAGAAAAAUGAAAUUGAAUAAAAAGGAAACGGAAAAAGAAAAACCUGACCACAAAGAAAUAGAAAAACGAAAAGAAAAGAAAAAACCGUAUAAAAGAAAAAAAAACCCGGUUCAGGAAACCUUCUGGAAGGUUCCCAAAGCCGGAUGGGGUAGUGCCAAUACGAUCUACUCAAAUGGGCCGGCCUAGUCGUGUCGAUCGGCCGAUCGCCUGUGCGUUGCCCCGGCAACUUGCCGCAACGAGCGACAAACAAGAAAUUCCGUGCGAAAAAUCAAGUGCGCCUCUUAGGACGCGCGCUAGCGACGCCGCAUUGGAGUUCUCUCUAUACGUAUACUUGCUAGCGUUGAUCAAGCACGGAAAUAAGCGAGCUCACUUCUCUCUAUUAGCUAGCUAACACAAUAUAUGAAACCCCCUCUCCCUUCUUUCAAAAAAAAACAAAACCCCUGCUCCUGCCAGCUGCUGACGCGUGGAUGCCUUUUGGUACCGGUUGGUGUUACCAACCGGGACAAAAGGUGCUCCAGCCUAGGCACCUCGCAGCGGCCACGUGGAGCCCGUUGCGAAUCGGGACUAAAGGUUUUGGGCUUUAGUCCCAACCCUUUAGUCCCGGUUCCAGAACCGGGGCUAAGGGGCCUCUGAAACCGGGACAAAUGGGCCGGUUUCUAUGAGUCGAAGCUCCAUCCUCCUUUCUGGUCCUCUGUUCCUUUUCUCAUAUCAGCUUUCAUCCAUCUCCCAUACUGUUGCACCUCACCUCUCCCAAGUCCAAUAGAACACGCCUUGUUCACGUGUCCAAUUAUACCACACGUGUAACAAAAAUCAGGGAGGUACUCAUACUCUAGGGGGCACCAUUUUUGCUCAUCAUCUUUCUUCUUUCUUUUAUCCACGUCCAUCACUUCUGCAGACUCAUUGUCUUCUCCCGUUCAAUAUCCAAAGUGAUUCCUCUCAACAGUGGCUUUGUAAUGUCUAGUCUAACUUUCAGAACUUCCAGCCACAUUAUCAUCAUCCCCCUGGUUACCUCCAUGAACUCGCCAGUCUCGUCACCAAUGAUACCUCCGUUUUCAUCACUCAUGAAACCGAGCGGCAUCUUGGUCACCCUGACCCAAAUAAGGAUGAUAGUGAACUCAUACUCUCCUAGCGUUUUAGCUGGGUCGAAAUCUACCAUCACAAUCAGGUCCUUGCCCACCAUCCAUGGCCCUUCCUCCAAUGCUUUCCUCUUCCCCGCUGCUUGCAAGAAGGUGAAAAGAAAGGUGUUGUCCUCUAACCCCUUGCACUUGAUUCCCUUGAUCGGACACCACACUCUUCCGAGGGAUUUGAUCAUACCUUCCAUAUAUACUGGUUUCUCGGACAUAACCUUACCGAUCGCCUGUGGAUCUUCCGUUCCCGUUCUCCUCAACCCGCCUCUUCCGAUCUUGACUCCCUUCUUCUCUGCUUCUGGCAACCGCAACUUCUGCAUCAAACCUUCCACUUUCUCCAUUGUGUCGAGGACUUGCAUCGAUCUAUGGUUUACUAGGUGGUUGUAUUAUGAAUGAAUGCCCUAGCAACACUCGUAAGGCUUUUGGUGGAUGGGUGAGCGGUCUCGAGAUCAAUCCAGCAAGGAUCGCCGAGGCUAGGGGGAGAGUUUGCUGGCGUAGGCCAGAGACGGGGUCGCCUGAGGGGACUCUAGGGUUUACCAGGAGUCACCGCAGAAUCCCCUGGGAAUCGCCCAAGCGCCAAUCGUGGAACCGUCACCCAAGGACGGACGGGUUAAGGAUGAUAAUUAAAGCGGACUUUGAUAGAGAGACACGUGAGAAAUAGAGUGAUAGAGAGAGAUACGUGAAAAUUAAAGCGGUUUUAAUUUCUUUCUUUUCUGUAAUUAAAGAGAUACGCAUGAGAAAUAGAGAGAUAAGAGAGAUACGUGAGAAUUAAAGCUGUUUUAAUUUUUUCCGUUUCUAUAAUUAAAGAUCUGAUCUACACAGUUAUAAUCUUGACCCGCAAAAUCAACGGCCUCCAUUUUCUAUUUUUCUCUAAUUAAUGUGGGAAUUUCUUGGGAGUGCCUAUUAGUAUAGGUAUAUAUAUGUGCAAAAAAUCUCGACAUUAAUGAACAUAUAUCUGGUGCACUUGCAAUCUUUUGUAGUACAUUAAUGAAUAUUUAAAGUAUUUUCCAACUCUUGCUAUUUAUAGACUUGUCAUCCGUGUCUGCCACAUUUGGAGUCCAACUAUUUCCUACUGGAACCUUACACUCCACUAGAACUGAGUUUGUCAAGUAACAGAUAACCAAUAUGAGAGGGAGCAGCCUAGUGCAGGGGACGAUGAUAUUCUUCAUUGGAUGCCUUGUGCUUUGUGCACAGUGUAAGUAUAUAUCAUCAUCGUCUUUAGAAUCUUGUGUUAACUUCUUGCCACUAAUUCUUCGGAUCAGACAUACAUACACACACACAUCUGCGGUACUGCAUACUAAGGUUAAAUAUACUAUACAGGUGCUCUCGAUAAUAAGCAAAGGAUGGUCAACCAAGAUGAUCAUGCGGCGAACACAAGUACCAACGCUACCAUCAUCAACUCAACAUCUGUAGGCGAGAGCAAGAAAACCGAGAAAUUUUGCAGCCUCUUUCUCGUAUGUUAUUUCAACAUUGAGAUUCGUGCUGAGUGCUACUGUUGCGAGAAUAAGAAUGCCGACUGUUACAAGACGAAGAGUGAGUGCCUGCAGAAGUGCCAUUCCUACAACGGUUAAUGCCCACCUUCAUCGCGGUCUCUGGGAUAGAAUUCCAUAUGCUCGGAAAAUUUGUCCGUAGGUAAUAAAAGGCACCUUAUAUGGUUUGGGCAAUUAGGUCCCAAUUAAACAUUAGAUAGCCGGCAUGUUUCCGUGGAGAUCCAACAAGGAAAAAUUUGAUGAAAGAAAUCCGAGUAACUAGUUGUCUUGCAUAUUUACAAAGUUCAAAUCCUUUGGCUGUUGUGCUUUGACUCGAUUGUCUAUUAUGCCAUUUCAUUUACUUGCACAUUGCCCACUUGUUCAUUUAACACACAUCACCCACUUGGUGAUUUGCCAGUUGUGGGCUGACAGCCAUAUAGAUUUAUUUUUUUGAGAUCUCGUCAUAUAGAAUUGUAAUAGCACUGACAUGGAAAAGGUUAAAAACUGAAAAACUGAAAAAAGUAAAUCAAACAAACAAAUGGUGUGCAAACUAAAUCAGACGGCACAAGACAAGUGAGAUUUAGUCAGGACUCUUUCAGAUGAAGAUAAGCAAAUUGCAAGAAAACAACAUGCAGAAACAAUUUUAUAUCAUAGCAUAACAUGCAAAAAAGCACAUAUAUAGUACAACGACAACCCACGUGUCUAUAUGCUAUCUAUAUGUAUAUUUAUCUAUCUAUAUCUAUCUAUCUAUCUAUCUAUCUAUCCUUACUAAUAAAAGACGGAUCAUUUAUGCCCAUCCGUCUCAUGUUUUGCAACAAAAUACCCUACUUUUUUCUUUAAUUAACCCGCGGUCAAGGUUUAGGUGAGGUUCGUCCGUUGUGUUUUUUGCAAAGAACGAGGAAACGGUUGCGUUUUGUGAGAUUCAAACUCAUGAUGUCCCCUCCAUGCCCAAAAGCCACAGCCAACUGAGUUAGCAUGCACUUGUGCUACCAAAUAGGUCCAUUAUUUCAUUAAAUUGUCCAACCUUGAUUCUUUGCAUGAGAAUACACAAAUUUAUAUGUGAUUGCAAAUUGCCUGGAAAUCAACAAGCCAACUCGAUAACCAAGAAAUAGAGGGAGAGGAGGAAUUCACUCAAUAAAUAGUGUUAACUAGCCGGGUUUCCCGCGCAUUUGUGCGGCUAGCUGACCCUUUCCGAUGCCAACUAUAUGGCCUUUCACUAAACUAUAUUUUGAUUAAAUUUACACCUUGUAUAUGUCAUCAUAGAAAAAAUGAAAAUCGUAAUGAAACAUGCAAGUGCAUCAGGUUGUUCAUUUUAAUAUAGAAGUGCAUUAGGUUUUUAAAUAAAUUCCUUGGCAUGUCAGGUUGCAACACAGAUAAAAAACCAUGUAUGGGAUUUCAUGCCAAUCUUGGUGUUUUUCCUGUGUGAUCACUCCUCCUUUGUAUCAUUUAAUAGGUUUUCGAGAAAUUCCCUACCAAGACUUAAAUCAAAACAUGAAAUUCUGGUAUGUAAAGGUCCCUUCUUCUAGUCAUACCAAUCAACGGACGCAUUCUUAACUACCUUUUCUUGAUUAAUGCCGCCUACCCACUUAUGUAUCAAGAGAUUCACAUCUUCUAUCGUGCUUAUUUUUUCUAUUGAUAAUAUUUUACAAAAUAUUAUCUUUGACUCACUCCCUUUUAAUUUCUGAAGACUUUGAAAGUGAAGAAAUUGGUGUGACCUUGAAGACUUGGUAUUCAUUCGAGGAACAUGAAGCGUGAAGACUUUUGUUUUAGUAGUUUCAUUUUCUCUUUCUUGAGUCAUAGGAAACACUGUACUGUUAAAGGGGGUCGAGUAAAUACUAAGGAAAAAUUUCCAAGUGAUGCUCAACUUAAAAUCCUACACCUACCAAUCCCUUCGAGUGAAGCCAUUGGAAAUCUCAUGCAGUUCAGUCAGUUUCUUCAGUGACAGAGACGAAGUACUUCUGGUCUCUGAGGAAUUUGUUCUGACUGAGGAGUUAGGAAUUCGCCAGUGCGGAUUGCCUACAAGUGAGGAACAUGAUAGCCCUGAGGAAUUAGACACUCAAAAUUCCGACCGUUGCUGUGCUAUGCGCCAGCUGUCCCAAAAUAUCUUACCCACCUAACGGUCAUAUCAUUGAAGGGCAUUUAUGUCUUAUCAUGUAGGGCUGCUGCCUAGGCUAUAAAUAGCCGCCCCCUACAACCACUAUCUGGUUGGCUGCUCCGAGAGAAACCGACACUUGUCAUUUGAGAGCAUCCCAUCCUCCGAGGACUUUAAGCGAAAAUCAUCAAGUGAGGAAAACCCAAACCCAAACACCUAAAAACCCGAAGUGAUUGAGCAUCACUAAAGAGAUUGAUCCUGCGUGGAUCCGACACUUGUUACCUCUGAAGAAUGUGCAUCUUCCAGACGGUUAGGCGUCAUGGUCUAGAGCAUCCAAGAGGAAAUUGUUGAUCGCCGAGUGACCGAGUUUGUGAAGGUUUGGAAUUCACCUGAAGACUUACCACGAGUGAUUGGGCGAGGCUGUGUGACCGUAGCUCAAGGAGAAUACGGUGAGGACUGUGUGUCCGGGACUAUGUGUCCUCAGGUUUAAAUACCUAGCCGCUCCAACCAGACGUACAACUGUCAUAGCAGUUGGAACUGGUCUACCAAAUCAUUGUCUUCACCAACCCUACUGGUUCUAUUUCCUCAACUCUUUCAUUUCCUCAUUACUGUGUUGUGUGCUUGUUCAUAUCUUUUUGAAGACUUUGACUGAAGACUUUCUCAAUUUCCUCAGUUUAAUUUCUUCAGUCUGUUUUGUCUUCAUCAUGUUUUAUCCUAUGCUUACGCUUCCUGUACUCUGUGUCUGUUUUCGUUUCAUCAUGAUGACCAUGUUUAUGUUAUGUCAUGUAUGGAUCUGAGUACUUAUUCCGCUGAAGUAGUUCUUCGCUAAGGAAUUUCCUCACCCUGAAAUUCCUCAGUGAAGAAUUCAUAAAAAUCGCCUAUUCACGCCCCCUCUAGUUGACUUAACGAACUUUCAUCGUCACAUUAGCAACGCCGCACGCCGAGACGAGCACGUGACACCAAGGCCACCCUAUCUAUCUUACGGUAACGCGAGUCGAGGCGAAUGUCGCCGCGGUAGCGACGACGGACGCCGAGACGAGUACGUGACACCACUGCCACCCUGUCUAUCUUAGGGCAACGCGACUAGACGCGGACGUUGUCGCGGUAGCGAUGAAGGACGCCGAGACGAGCACGUGACACCAUUGCCCCAGUCUAUCUUAGGGUAACGCGAGUCGAGGCGGAUGUCGUCGCGGUAGCGGCGAUGGACGCCGAGACGAGCACGUGACACCACUGCCACCCUGUCUAUCUUAGGGUAAUGCGAGUCGAGGGGGAUGUCGUUGUGGUAGCGACGACGGACGCCAAGACGAGCAUGUGACACCACUGCCACCCUGUGUAUCUUAGGGUAACGCGGGUCGAGGCGGACAUCGUCGCGGUAGCGGCAACGCACACUGAGACGAGCACAUGACACCACUGCCACCCUGUCUUAGGGUAACGCAAGUGUCGAGGCGGACGUCGUCGCGGUAGCGACGACGAACGCCAAGACGAGGACAUGACGCUAGGGCCACCUUGUCUAUCUUAGGGUAACGCGAGUCGAGGCGGACGUCGUCGCGGUAGCGACGACGGACGACGAGACGAGCACGUGACACCACUGCCACCCUGUCUAUCUUAGGGCAACGCGACUCGACUGCCAUGUGAUAUAGGUCAGAACUUUUCUGAAUACUUAGUGUCGCCAUGUGAUCCAGACGAAUAAUUAAGAAAGUAUAUAAUUUUACAACCAUGGAUACGCGAGUCGAGGCGGACGUCGUCCCGAUAGUGAUGGCGGACGCCGAGAUGAGCACGUGGCACCACUGCCACCCUGUCUUAGGGUAACGCGAGUCGAGGCGGACGUCGGCGCAUUAGCGACGACGGACGCCGACACGAGCACGUGACACCAGGGCCACCCUGUCUAUCUUACGGUAACACGAGUCAAGGAGGACGUCGUUGUGGUAGCGACGACGGACGCCGAGACGAGCACGUGACACCACUGUCACCCUGUCUAUCUUAGGGCAACGCGAAUCGACGCGGACGUCGCCACGGUAGCGACGACGGACGUCGAGACGAGCACGUGACACCACUGCCACCAUGUCUAUCUUAGGGUAACGAGAGUCGAGGCGAACAUCAUCGCAGAUGCGACGAUGGAUGCCGAGACGAGCACGUGACACCACUACCACCCUAUCUUAGCGUAAUGAGAGUUGAGGUGGACGUUGUCGCGAUAGCGACUACGGAAGCCGAGAUGAGCACGUGACACCACUGCCACCCUGUCUUAGGGUAAUGCGAGUCGAGGCAGACGUCGUCGCAUUAGCAACGCCGGACCGCGAGAUGAGCACGUGACACCAAGGCCACCCUGUCUAUCUUACGCUAACGCGAGUCGAGGCGGACGGCGUCGCGGUAGCGACGACGGACGCCGAGACGAGCAUGUGACACCACUGUCACCCUAUCUAUCUUAGGGAAACGUGAGUCGACGCGGACGUCGUCGUGGUAGNNNNNNNNNNNNNNNNNNNNNNNNNNNNNNNNNNNNNNNNNNNNNNNNNNNNNNNNNNNNNNNNNNNNNNNNNNNNNNNNNNNNNNNNNNNNNNNNNNNNNNNNNNNNNNNNNNNNNNNNNNNNNNNNNNNNNNNNNNNNNNNNNNNNNNNNNNNNNNNNNNNNNNNNNNNNNNNNNNNNNNNNNNNNNNNNNNNNNNNNNNNNNNNNNNNNNNNNNNNNNNNNNNNNNNNNNNNNNNNNNNNNNNNNNNNNNNNNNNNNNNNNNNNNNNNNNNNNNNNNNNNNNNNNNNNNNNNNNNNNNNNNNNNNNNNNNNNNNNNNNNNNNNNNNNNNNNNNNNNNNNNNNNNNNNNNNNNNNNNNNNNNNNNNNNNNNNNNNNNNNNNNNNNNNNNNNNNNNNNNNNNNNNNNNNNNNNNNNNNNNNNNNNNNNNNNNNNNNNNNNNNNNNNNNNNNNNNNNNNNNNNNNNNNNNNNNNNNNNNNNNNNNNNNNNNNNNNNNNNNNNNNNNNNNNNNNNNNNNNNNNNNNNNNNNNNNNNNNNNNNNNNNNNNNNNNNNNNNNNNNNNNNNNNNNNNNNNNNNNNNNNNNNNNNNNNNNNNNNNNNNNNNNNNNNNNNNNNNNNNNNNNNNNNNNNNNNNNNNNNNNNNNNNNNNNNNNNNNNNNNNNNNNNNNNNNNNNNNNNNNNNNNNNNNNNNNNNNNNNNNNNNNNNNNNNNNNNNNNNNNNNNNNNNNNNNNNNNNNNNNNNNNNNNNNNNNNNNNNNNNNNNNNNNNNNNNNNNNNNNNNNNNNNNNNNNNNNNNNNNNNNNNNNNNNNNNNNNNNNNNNNNNNNNNNNNNNNNNNNNNNNNNNNNNNNNNNNNNNNNNNNNNNNNNNNNNNNNNNNNNNNNNNNNNNNNNNNNNNNNNNNNNNNNNNNNNNNNNNNNNNNNNNNNNNNNNNNNNNNNNNNNNNNNNNNNNNNNNNNNNNNNNNNNNNNNNNNNNNNNNNNNNNNNNNNNNNNNNNNNNNNNNNNNNNNNNNNNNNNNNNNNNNNNNNNNNNNNNNNNNNNNNNNNNNNNNNNNNNNNNNNNNNNNNNNNNNNNNNNNNNNNNNNNNNNNNNNNGCGUCGCGCUAGCGACGACGGACGCCGAGACGAGCACAUGACACCAAUACCACCAUGUCUAUCUUAGGGAAACGCGAGUCGACGCGGAUGUCGUCGUGGUAGCGACGCGGACACCGAGGCAAGCACGUGACACCACUGCCACCCUGUCUAUCUUAGGGUAACACGAGUCGUGGCGGAUGUCGUCGUGGUAGCGACGACGGACGCCGAGACUAGCACGUGACACCACUGCCACCCUGUCUUAGGGUAACGCGAGGCGAUGCGAAUGUCGUCGCGGUAGCGACGAUGGACUCCUAUACGAGCAUGUGACACCACUGCCACCCUCUCUUAGGGUAACACGAGUAGAGGCGGAGGUCGUCGCGGAAGCGGCGACGGAUGCCUAGGCGAGAACGUGACACCACUGCCACCUUGUCUUAGCGUAACGCAAGUCGAGGCGGACGUCGUCCCGAUAGCGACGACGGACGCCACGGCGAGCACGUGACACCACUGCCACCCUUUCUUAGCGGAACACGAGUCGAGGCGGACGUCGUCGCGAUAGCGAUGACGGACGCCAAGACGAGCAUGUGACACCGCUGCCACCCUGUCUUAGGGUAACACGAGUUGAGGCGGACGUCGUCCCGUUAGCAACGACGGACGCCGUGACGAAAGUGGAGCGCUCAAGGCCGGAAUCGACCGCGAAAGGGAAUAGAAUGGGCGCAACCAUUCGCUAACUUUGUCGUUUGCUGUCGCAUCGAUCUGGUGUGAAAUGAGAGCUCCUAUGUGUCGCAUUUUGCGGGGCGCCACCGAGUGGGCCGGCCCAUUAGUAGCACUGCAGCAAGCCAAUAAACGCACUGUAGCUAAAAACUGAGCGCCCCGUGGGGACGGACGCCGAGACGAGCACGUGACACCACUGCCACCCUGUCUUAAAAGUCGAGGCGGACGUCGUCUAGCAUGUCAUGUCAAAUUGACACAAAAAAUGUUCAUUUAAAAAAAAUAUUAGAUAUUUCAGAAAAUGUUCUUGUUUUUCAGGAAAUUUCAGGAAUUCAAAAGUUGUUUAUUUCUACAAAUUUGUUCUUGAUUUGAAUUUUUUCUCAUUAAUUUUAAAACAUGUUCAUAGUAGAUCAAUUUAAUGAACAUUUCGAUUCAACCAAAAAGCUGUAGAUCAAUUUAAUUCAGUAUGUUAAUUUAUGUUUAAUAAAAUUAUGUUCAUGAAAAGUAUUAAUCGAAAGGGAAUAGAGGAAUAUGCGAAUUUAUUUUUUGUGUGUAAAAGUAGCUAUUCAUUUUAGUUGAAAGUGCUAGUUCAUUUCAAUUAAAAGUGGGAUUUCCGGCCCGUUAUUGUCCCUGAAAAACCACUGGCCCAGAAAGGGAAUAGGAAAACACAGGCCCAAAAGAAAAAAACAUGGAAAGGGAAUAGAGGCUAGGUGAGGUAUUGGGCCAAGGCUGGGCCGAACUCAUGAAAAGUGGAGCGCUCAAGGCCGGAAUCGAUCACGAAAGGGAAUAGAAUGGGCGCAACCAUUCGCUAACUUUGUCGUUUGCUGUCGCAUCGAUCUGGUGCGAAAUGAGAGCUCCUAUGUGUCGCAUUUUGCGGGGCGCCACCGAGUGGGCCGGCCCAUUAGCAGCACUGCAGCGAGCCAAUAAACGCACUGUAGCUAAAAACUGAGCGCCCCCGUGGGGGGAGCGAACUAGCGACCUCUGGCUACUGAAUGACUCUCGCUAGCCACUUGAGCUGAUGACCCGUUGGUUAUUGUUAUACACCGCAAAAUACUAAAAGCACUACUGGGAGGAGCAGAUCAAACAUGUACUGUAGCGACCGGACCGUGUACUGUAACGACACGAACAAGGCAAGGUAGAGUUUCUUUUAGAAGCUCCAAAUCUUUCUUUGAAAAACAUGAACAUUUUUUAAAAAUACAAAUAAAAUUUCAAAUUUCAAACAUUUUUCAAAACAGAUAAAAAAUUUAGAAAACCACAAAAGUAUUUAGAAUUUGUGAACAUUCUUUUGAAAAAGGGAACAUUUUUUAAAUUCCGAACAAAUUUUGAAAGCCUGAACAUUAUUUGAAACUCCCCGAACAAUUUUUGAAUUUGUGAACAAAUUUUGAAAACGAGAACAUUUUUUGAAAUUGUGAACAAAUUUUUUAAACCACAUACAUUUUUUGAAAUUGUAAACACUUUUUGAAUUUGUGAAAAUAUUUCAAAAUGAGAACAUUUUUUGAAAUUCUGAAUUAUAUUUGAAAUUUUCAAAAAAGUUCGAAUAGAAAAAUAAACUUAAAAAAUAAUAAGAGAAAAAUGAAAUAGAAAACAAAAAAAUAUUCAGAAAUUCAUGAACGUUGUUUUGAAAAUAUUUAGAAAAGAAGCCAACAAUUUUUGAAAUUUCUGGACAAAAUUUGAAAACAGGAACAUUUUUGGAAAUUCCGAAACAAUUUUAAAAUGCAAACAUUUUUUGAAUGUAGAAACAAAAUUUGAAAAAAGGAACAUUUUCCAAAUUUUGAACUUUUUUUAGGAAUCUGAAUAUUUCUAGAAAAAGAAAAAUGAAAUUGAAUAAAAAGAAAACGGAAAAAGAAAAAGAAAAACCUGACCACAAAGAAAUAGAAAAAAAGAAAAGAAAAGAAAAGAAAAAACCGUAGAAAAGAAAAAAACUGGUUCAGGGAACCUUCUGGAAGGUUCCCAAAACCAGAUGGGGUAGUGCCAACGCGAUCUACUCAAAUAGGCUGGCCCAGUCGUGUUGGUCGGCCGAUCGCCUGUGCAUUGCCCUGGCAACUUGCCGCGACGAGCGGCAAAUAGGAAAUUCCGUGCGAAAAAUCGAGGGCGCCUCUUAGGACGCGCGCGCUAGUGACGCCGCAUUGGAGUUCUCUCUAUACGGAUACUUGCUAGCGUUGACCAAGCACGGAAAUAAGCGAGGUCACUUCUCUCUAUUAGCUAGCUAACACAAUAUAUGAAACCCCCUCUCCCUUCUUUAAAAAAAACCAAAACCCCUGCUCCUGCUAGCUGCUGACGCGUGGAUGCCUUUUGGUACCGGUUGCUGUUACCAACCGGGACUAAAGGUGCUCCUGCCUAGGCGCCCCGCAGCGGCCACGUGGAGCCCCUUCUGUCCCGGUUCAUAAGCGAACCGGGACUAAAGGUUUUGGGCUUUAGUCCCGAACCUUUAGUCCCGGUUCCAGAACCGGGGCUAAAACUACAAAAAAAAUACACUUCCGUGGUGAUACACGUUUGUCACAGUAGGUCGCAUUUUCUGUCAUGCAUGUACAUCCAUGACGAUUUUAUGACAGAAUCAAGGUAGUCAUACCUGUGCUGUCGUAGAAGUGUUCCAUGACAUUACCAAAAUUAUCAUCACGGAAAUGUCCACUUCCAUGACGAUAAAUCCCGCGUCACAGAAGUGCUUUCGUCAAGGGUGACCGACACGUGGCAUCCACCGUAACGGAACGCCGUUAAGCUAUCGGGUCGGGUUUUGGAUCCGAUAACCCGUUAACAACCCCGACCAAUGGGGAUUUUCCACGUGUAAAAUCAUCAUUGGCUGGAGGAAACACGUGUCGGCUCAUCGUUGGGACAGAUGUCAUCCACUCAAUGGACAGAAGGCGCCUAUGAUACGUCGACACGUGGCACGGCCCAACAGAGGCCCAUUCCUGUGAAAAGGCCGGCCCGUUUGACUUGGUCAAAAGGUGGCGGGCCGGCCCAUGUAAAGCCUGUUAACUGCCUGUUCGCAUAUAGCCCAUUUACAGCCCGCUAACCCAAGGCCCGUUACGCCCUAUCCGAAUUAGGCCCAGUAGCGUCAUCUGGGCCACCCAAUAUGAUUCCAGCCCGUUUUCACUUCUGGCCCAUGUAUGGCCCAUGACGUCUUUCGGCCCAUAUGAGGCCCUAUGUAACUCUUGGCCUAUUAACGGCCCGUGGUGAAACUGGCCCGUAAUGAACAGUGUAUCACUUUACACCCAUUAACGGCCCGUGGUGAAACUGGCCCGUAAUGAACAGUGUAUCACUUUAUACCCAUUAACGGCCCGUUAUCCCGUUGGGCCGUUUCCAUCCCAUGUUAUCUUUCGGCCUUCUCAGAGCCCAUUUAUUCUUGGGCUCAUUUACAGCAUUCGUUUACUUAUGGCCCGUUACUGUCAUUUUCUGCUUGUGGGCCAAAUUCAGCCCGUGGUUACAGUCCGCCCGUUUGUGGUCCGUUAAUACGUUGGGCCGUUUUCAUAGCGUCAUCAAAUACGGCCUAUUAACGAUGGUCCGUUAUGGUCGGCCCAUGAACGGACGAUUCCAACUCUAGCCCGUUUACGGCCAUAAUGCGGCAUGUUAUUGGCCCAGGUUUGGCCAAUCGAUCAUACUGCCCGUAUAAGGCCCAUUGAUGAUACGGCCCGUAGAAGGCCCAUUGUUUCUACGGCCCAUAGAAGGCCCAUUGUUUCUACGGCCCGUAGAAGGCCCACUGUUUCUAUGGCCCGUAGAAGGCCCACUGUUUCUACGGCCCGUAGGAGGCCCAGUGUCACUACAGUAAAUAUUAGCCCAUGGUUAUUGUGGCCUAGUUUUAAAAAAUAGGCUAUUGCAGCCACUAGCAAACCGCGGAAAAAGAACUGCAAUGACUGCAAGCAAACAAAUAAACAAGACAACAAGGAAAUAAACAAGCAAGCAACUUAUGCUAGGCUAUCACACAUAUUACAUCCACUGGGCAUCAAAGUUCGCCACCAGUGCAAAUAAACGCGCCGACAAAAGAAUAUACAAAACUGAGAGCACUUCAGGAGGCACUAGGCCUGGCCAUGUCGGGCCCCCCAAACAGCCGAAGAAGCUGAGUAGACCUCGGUUGUGUCAACGAUAGAUGCAUCAACACUAGAUUUAAGGCAUGAUGGUGCGCAUGGCAGUCCUCUGACAUCUUCAUUGCAUCUUUGACUUCAAGUCGGAGCUGAGCUGAAGCAAGCCUUUCCGCUUUAAGUUGAGACUGAAGAAGUCGAACUGAUUGAGGCAGCGACUGCACAGAGGUUGUCUCACACCUGCUGGUGAGUAGCUUCAACUCACUGUCUUCAUCAAGACAGGACCUCGGGGUCAUCUCGCUGUCCUCAAGAUGGUUUGGCUCACUAUCUUCCCUAAAGUUCUGCCUGGCGUAAGAGAUACGAGUCUGAAAGAGAAACAAGGAGACACGUAACAGGUUUCACAAUUAUAUAAGCAAAUAAAUGGAUCUGUUCUGCAUAAGGAACAUGUUUUUACAACUACAAUUUGAAACUGGUAGUUGUUGCAAACAUCCAAUCAGAUGUAAACAGCAAAGCAAACAGCAGUGGAGGAAAUGAUGCCUAUCCAAAUCUAUACUAGAACAAAGUUUGAAGGCUUGAGAAGGAUGAACUUACAUUACAUGUUAACACGGGCUGGACAAAGUCCUUCUCCAUGUUGAUGGAAGGAUAAUUCAAUAAAUUCCCCAAAGAAAAUUCUUUAUAAGCGUUGCCAUUAUUCUACAUUUUGCAAAGAGUAAAUAUAGAUCAAAUAAUAUUGGAAGAAACAGAGGAUAAUGAAGCUCAGGUGCAGACUGAUGAUACAUAAUCAAAUAGCAAUUAAUUAAGUACAACGUUACAAGGCAAAAGGGAGAGAGGUACUGACAAGAGCAAUGCAGAGCCCAUUAUUGUUUUGAGAUUGUAUGAUCCUUUGAGCAAGGAGAUUCAUCUGAAAUUAGUUUUCAUACAAGAGAGAAGGUAAGGCACAAGAAAAAUUUAGGAGUUCAAAUUUUGAAUUGAUAUCAUAGACAGUACCUGACGCUGGGCUCCCAGCAGUUCUAAUAGGGGUUUGGCCACUGGAGUAGGGGUAAAGUGUGGUACAGUUGGGCCUGUGUUUUCUGUGGCUGCUGAUCUAUCUGAUUUAACAGGUAUCACUACCUUUUCCAAAUACCUAGUUUGUACUCCUUGAGGAUCUGCACUCACCCUCUUCCUUUUGGAAAUCUAUUACGAAAGAACAACAUUUGACUGGAAAAACAUAGUGUGACGAGACAUGGAAUAGGUACAGAAAAUGGAUAGGUAUGGCAUAUACUCAUAUAUGAUGCUUAAACUAAGCAGAUGGUGUAACAAAGUAGAAGUAAUGCAAGCGGUCAGAUGCAAAAUAUGCGCGACCAAUACAACUUUGCAAAGUUAGAGCAAGCACCUUGAUGGGUGAAUAAGAUAGGCCAUCCUCCACCAUGCCAAGUUUGUUAGCCAGUGAAUCGUUCCGCAAUAUUCCUCUCAUGCGCCCAUUCUCAUAUUCAUUUUGAUAAUGUUCAAUAUCUGACAUGCAUGAAAACAUAAAAACAAGUGAGAUUUUCUUUGUAAUGCAGAAGUGAUUCUAAUCCAAUACUGCCUCCCUGUAAACCCCUUUGUGCUAUCUCUGCAAUUCUUUUAAAAGAUGCCAUGCAUGCUGUAAUUUGUUGUGUGCAUUAAUAUAAUGUCGCCUACUACUCAAAAUAUGAGAGCUCCAGAAGUGAUGACACUUCGCAGAUGAUAGCUUCAACAUAUAGUAAAGAAGAACAAGUCGACCUGACCUGACAUAUUCAAAAUAUACUAAGGGAGAACAACUCGACCUGACCAGUCGACCGCAAGGGAAGAGUAUCAUCUUAAAGAAGAGCAGAAGAGCAAGCAGAUUGAAGAUAUUACAAGUCUUUCAAUACAAUGUCGGUUGGCCACCCAUGAUGAACCAGAGCGCACAGAGAAAUACUAUUCUUUCUGGUCUCUCCAUAUGUGGCUCACAUGCAUUUCGAAACUAAAGAAGGAACAUUUAGCUAACCAAUUAAACAUCUCUCAGUUUUACUAAUAUCAGCAAUAAUAUCAUAUAUGAAUUUGUACAACUAAGCUUUUUUAGCUCGAUGGGUGGAGCAGUGCUAUUACGACACGAACCACGUAGGCUGAUUGUGGUCAUCAUAAAAUGGGGAAAACAUAAGCAUGAUGAGUACAGUGUUGACCGUGGCAGUGGGAUGGCAGAUCUGAAGCUGCAAACCGCGCAAAGGGUAGUUAGCAACCGAUGUUUGCUUUGAAAUAACAACUAAGAUUUGGUAUGGACAAGAAAGUACGGUCAACAAGUGACAAAGAAAUGCAAUUAUGCUGUCUCUCUAUAUGUCGCGACAUGCAUUUGGAAACUCAAGUGGGACCUUUAGCUAACCAAUUAAAUGUGUCGGUUAACUAAUAUCAGUAUCAUAUCACAAUCAUAUUUGAACAACUAAGCUUUCGAAUUCUGAGUGUUGUGUUGUUUAGCUUGAAGGGUGGAGUAAUGCUAGUACGACAGAAAGGACCUACGCAGAUCAGAGUAGAGUAGAUAAAAGGGGAAAACCCUAAGCAUCAAGAGAAAAAUCAGGAAAGUGGAACUAGCUGGACCAGUGGGUGGCGCACAUGCUUUUUGAAACGAAUAUAGGAACAUUAGGUGACCAAUUAAACGUUCUCUGUUUUAGUAAUAUGAGCAUCAUAUCAGAUUCGUAUUUCAACACGUAAGCUUUGGGUUGAGGUCUUGAGGAGCAGUGCUAGCACGACACGAAGCACCUACGAUGAUGGUAGUGAAUAUAAAGGGGGGAAACCAUAAGCUUUACGAGUAUAGUGCCCGUGCCAUGGAGGAUCUGAAGGUGCAAACCGGACAAAGCUACUUCACAACCAAUGUUUGCUUUCAACUAGCCACUAUGAUUUGGUACGGACAAGAAAAGUAAAGUAAACAAAUUACGGUCUAUUUUCCGGGUGAGAUCAAUAACUUAAGCACAUAUGGAAGAGUACCACCUCUCUUGCGACGCCGUGUAGGCCUAUGCUGAUACGUUGAGGGUGCUGCGGGUGCGAUGGCUAUCGGCGGCGGGGAAGAAGACUUUAGACGGCAGACGACCGGGUCAGGGGAUAUAUCCUGUUGCCGUGGACGAGGCGGUCGUAGGAGCGGCAACGGCAAGGUGGACGACGGCACCGAUGAAGCGAGAGGAGGCGAUGAAAGGAUCCUGGUCCAACGCCGUGGAUGAGAGACGUCCAUCUCUUGCAGUGGACGACGGGGUAGGGGUAGCGGCUCCGGCAAGGUGGAAGAUGGGGUGGCGGACGGAGGAGGCUGGCCGCAGUGCGGAGGUUGUCGUGCCGCCGACGGUGUAUGAAUGGGGAAAUGGAGGGGAGGGGGGAUCUCAAACUUUGGGACGCGCUUCUCUGAAAUGGGGGAAAGUUACGAACUUAUCCCCCGUUUAAAAUUUCGGACAUCGCAUCGGUUGGGGAUAGGACGGUAAUCUCGCAUCUCCCAAAUAUUUGCCGGUAACUAUUUCGGGCGAGGAGAGGGUGUUUUGCCGCCCACGGUUGGCGCCCACGGUGUAUGAACGGGGCUGACAGGUAGGGCGGUUGUGUCACGUCUGAUGGAAGUUACACAUCUGCCCCUAUUUAAAAUAUUAGCCUACAUCGAUUUCGGACGAGGAGAGUUUGUUUUGCCGCCCACCGUGUACGAAUGGGGAAAUGGAGGAAGAGACACAUGUCUUUCGGACGAGCUUGAAUCAAAUGUGUUUUGCUGCCCACGUUUGGCGCCCACCGUGUCUGAAUGGGCUCAGAGGCCGUCGUGUCACGUCUGAUUUAAGUUACUAGUCUACCCCUAUCGACAGCAGUGUAAAUCCGGUCGAUAAGGAUGUCAAGUGUGAGGGGUAGACAGUAAUUUCCAUCUCGCAAACACUUGCUUCGGGCAGCCCACAAAUUACAGUGGGUGUUUAGCCUCUUCGUUCAAAACUUGGGAGAAUUAGCAUUCACGUUUGCCCUGGGACCUGGCAAACUAAAUUCAAAUCCAAUUUGUAUUCAAUUACGAAUAUCCACAGAUAAUUAUACAUUUUGUUAUUUAUUUCUUCGAAACCAUAACAAACAUUUAUUCCACCUUUAUAUAUGAUUAUGAUUUAGAAAUGCCGUGAUCUUCGAAUUCAGUAGGUUGGAUACACUCUGAGUCAAACAGUUAUUUCAUCCAAUACAAUAUGCUCACACGAAAAACAGUUCACCUUAUGUCAAUCAUACAAGUACUGAGGAUUACCUCGCCUAAAAAAUUCGGAUCAUUACAACACAUGGACAACAUAGGGGGUCUUGCAACAUAAUCCAUUCAGAGAUAUGACACAACAUGCAAGUACAAUAAUCUAAUGACAAUUUCAACUGGUAUCUAAAGAAGAACCGGGAUUACCUUGGGCUUUAGAUAGCAGAAACAGCAGGACCUCCUCCGUCUUCAAAUGCAACAUUCUUACUUCCUCCAAUUCUAGGGUUGCUUGCAUAAUGCGUGGCGCUAAUUCCGUAAUUUCCAGCCUCAAGAUAAAGAUUACCUCAUUGAUGGCAGCCCCACCAUCUCUUUCUGCCUCUAGUAGAGCCUCAAGCACUAUAAUAUCUGUGCUCAGACUGCUCUCCGGCGGUGUUGCCUCUGAACUGCUACCAUCUGGUAACAUGGAUGGCACACUGCUUCCACAAAUAGAUUCUGGGGUUGUACAUUGUGUCCAAGUGUGAACGGCAUCCUGGAAGGUUUUCGCUGGACAUCAGUAAGAGAUAGUUAUCGUAUGAUCCAGGCAGUAAGCUUACAUGGUAAACGAUGGAUGAAUUAUUGCCGAGCAUGGCAAACUAUAUUUAAAUGGUUCGAAGCAGCAUCAGCCGAAAAGAAAUUAAAAUUGUAAGAUGAAACUAGGGAUGUAAGUGGCAAAUAAACGACAUCCGCCAGUCCCAUCUAGUUAGUUUUUGCUACCUCCCUAGUUCAUUUUCCACAAAAAACAAAAACUCUUUUGAACUAUCAUACCACUAGUGGACUUUAAUCGGGAUUAAACGGGACCCAGUUGACAUCCCUAGUUGAAAGGGAGUGUACAACCGCUAUAUUUAAGUUGCCAAGGCAUCUAAGCAGUUGAAAUAAUCUGAGAAAGCACUUAACAGUGUGGCCUCAUAUAAACUACCAAGACAGUCUUGUGAUGAAGUUGAGAGGAAAAGUUAAGGACUCAAAUGAAAUAGGCAUGCAUUUCUUUACGAUAGUACAGCAGGCACUGCUGACAUAUUGGACAACUCAGGUAUAGCAUAACAACAAAUAAGCAUUCGAAUCAAGCAAUACAGCAAAGCAGACAACUGAACUAUUUGUAAUUCGGUAGGAUUACAUGUUGAGGGCACAAGCCAAGAAAGCAGCCCACUCGCAUUACAUUUCACAUGUACUAAAACACACUGGCUUACCAUAUGUUGCUGUGAAGCCUAGCUGCUGUUGCAAUGUUCUUUGAAGAUAUCGUCAGCAUCCCGUGGUUGCAAAUCUAGUUGUUGUAGUUUAUUCUGCACCAUCUAUUUAGGUAAAAUUAAUUUUAAUCGCAUGCACUGGUCCGAAUUGAUCAUCAAUGGUUCAUCUAAACUAAUGAAAGAAGGGUGUGUGCAUACACGACAAUAUACCUGCUUCCCUCUAUUUUUAUGCUUGUUCGAGGUGCCAGCCCCAAAAGAACAAAUAUUUUGCUUGAUGGGGUUGGCAGCUCCAUAAUUAAUAGAAGCAUCAAAUUAGUCAUGCAACUUGGGAAGAUCAAGAACACACAAACAAGUAAUGAACAGAGGCUCGGAGCGGUGAUGUAAUAGCUAGCAUCAGAAAAUGUAGGGUAAAAUGAACAAAAAGCAGCGGAACCACAUGCUAGUUUGCUGAUGUGUAAUUAAGCAUAGAGAACAUUAAGCAGUCUGAUGGAACCAACAGGUGGCAUCAGAACAAAACUAAAGCAUAUUAACUAUAUGUGCACUAAUAUGUAAUUUAGCACAUGUAACAUGUUCACUGCCAGAAGAAUGGCCCUACAGGUGCAAGCAGAAUAACGCGUCUCAUGAAAAACUGAAUGAUGCCCUGAAGAAAUUCAAAGGUGCGGUGCUUAUGCUAGGAAAGUGAACGUAGGCGCCGGCCGUUGGAUAAUAGUACCUGAUUCUCGGCGGCGUAUGGGUAUCGUUGUCAUACUUGAUAGCUAAGGAUCGUCGAUGGUGCUCGUGUUGCGGUUGAGUUUGGGCCGGCUGUCGUCGUCGCUGAAGCGGCUCCGGUGCUACGGUUGCGGUGCCUGUCGACAUACAAGAAAGUUCAUCUGUGGUAAGUGAACAGUUGCACGAUAAAGAGAAAAACCGAAGGAGUACAAAUUGAAAUAACCUGAUGAGGCUGCGGCGUCGGUAAAGCAGGGCCGGUGGAGUUGAAUAUGGUGUCUAUGGAGCGGGUCCGGUGUAGUGGACGAAGGCUUCGACGGGCCUGUUGUACAGUGCUUUCGGUGAGGCGGAUCUGUUGCGGCGGACGAGGGCUUGUAUGAAGGGCCAGCGAAGGGGCGGACGAGGGAGUCAGUGAAGGGCCUACGCUACGGUGGACGAGGGCACCGGUUAAGCAGAUCCGGUGCGGUGGACCAUGAUGGCGGUCAAGGAGAUCUGGAGCGGUGGACAAGCCAGUCGCUGAAGCGGCUCCGGUGAAGUGGUGAGUUGGCAGUUGGGGGUUCCAAGGUGCGGAAGGUAGAUCUGGCGGGGUGUGAGGUCCACCGCUGCGGCGGAGGACUAGAUUCGGCGGCUUGCCGUGGUUGGGGGGGUCGGGGAGGGGAAGGGGAGGGGCUCUGGGGAAGAAUGUUAGGGGCAAAGAGGGGAAAACAAUGGAGUUACCAAAGCAGCCCUUUUCCGUUCAUGUGGCAGGGGUAAAACAGGAACAUCGCAGGGCUAAACUUUCGGGCGCGUGAUAUUUCGAUGUGAGCGGGAAGUUUGAAAGCUUUUCGCACCUAAAAAUAUAAGUAUUCUGCUCUCGUACGACCGACUAUGAUAUCAUGGCCGACAAUUUGUUUGUUUUGCACGCAAAAAAUGUGCAAGUUUUGAAAAUCAAUGUCUCCAACUCGAAACUUAGAUUGUCCAUUCAAUUCAAACAUGGUUCAUUGAGCUACUACAAGCAAAUACCAUCAUACGGUCCAGUUCAAAUGAAAUUCCAAAUGUGUUUAUCCUAAAUAUGAUGACAAAAGCAAAAAUGUGUAUGUGUAUGAAUAAAGUGGAUGAUUAUAAAGUUUGAACAUGCCCGUAUGUGUAUAUCUCUAGGUUUGAUAUAUGAAUUUGAAAUCACAAAAUCCCGGCUUAAAAAAUGUACCUCCGUUUAAAUGAAUUACAAAAGCUAAUGAUGGAGUCGAAUUCCAAAAUUCCAAUCUUAGGUUUGUAAUUCUGGUACAUCAAGGUAUAUCACGCAUGUUGAAAAGUAUCAUUAUCUCAUAGUACAAACUGUGAAACAAAUUGAUCAACCAUGAGUGCACAAUAUCUCAAUUACGCUAAAGUCCCUCAAAUAUAGACACCUCACUCUUUAUCUGAAGUCAACCCCCCACCACCACACACACACACACAUAGAGAAGUCGUUCUCUCCCCCAAACACCAACACACGAGCACAUUAACACCCCUCUCUCUUGUAAAGUCCGGACCCCAACAUAGGUCUCUAUCACUUUGUCUCUCGGGCAUGCACACAUGUCUUCCCUCACUCUCUAGGUCUCCCGCUAUCUCUCUUACCCAAGAACACACACUAUGUAGAGUGUAUAUUUCCCAUACACACAAAACGUUGCCCCCAAACGUCUAUCUCCCUAGUUAUGUGGUUCUCGCGCACUCACCUCACACACCACCCCCACUACAAACAAGCACACUUUGUCUCCUUGUGCACCACUCUCCUCUUUCUAUCUAUCCCACAUGCGGACCCGCCCCAGCUCCUUCCCUGUAUACAUAUAUGUCGUGACUCUUUGCAUAGCUCCCUAAUGUAUAAUCGUUCUCGAUUUCGCACAUUGUUCUCUACACCAUCUAUUCUAGAUCUCUCAUGAAGUCCCUAUCACACACACGAUGACUCGCUUCCCUUGCGUCUCCGUUCAUAGGCCAAUUUCGGAUAACAUCAACAUUGUCUCCCUAUCUAUACGCCAUUUAUGGACACAAACGACCCCUCUCGCCCCCUCUCUUCCUCUCUCUCUCUCUCUCUCUCUCUCUCUCUCUCUCUCUCUCUCUCUCUCCGUCGCUAGCUCUCUCUUUCUCUCGCUCUCACACCCCUCUCCCACACACACACUCGAUGUCUCUUCCAAAUAGUCUGCUCCCCCCACCCGCACCCGUGCUAUCUCGCUACUACACAUGUCACACCAUUCCCCUUCCCUUAUACUAGGUUUACAUCAUCAGUGGUCUCUCUACUCCACAUACACUCUCUCCCUCUCACACACAAACGCAUGCACAAACACACACAGACACGCACAAACACCCAUUUAUCUGGAUCCUCAUCUCUCCUCAUGUCCGCAUGUGUAUCUCACACACUCACUCUCUAAUUAUGUAUAUGUGUCUCCACGUUACACAACACAAAGCCCCAUGUACAUGUCUCUCUCUAUCCUCCACACACAUAGACACAAAGAAUCUGUUAUCAUUGCCUUAGUCUCUAACAUAUCACACACGCACACUGUCUCUCUCUCUCUCGCAAACACGCUCAACAAGGGUUUCCCCGUGAAUAACUUACCGUCUAUUCAUCAACAGUCGUGGCAGUACGGCGAACACGAGACGUGAAAAAAGAAUAAAUCUACACGUGCUUAGACCACCUAGUAUGACUACUAGGACUAGAGCAAGCCAAAAAGCGUGCCGCCGUCACCCCCUCCUUGUCGGCGACGGGAAAAUCUUUGUUUUACACAGUCGAGAAGUCAUUGUGCUAAGGCCCCACAUGCUGAGGUGUUGAAUAGAAUGUAGAUGCUAGUUUACGGAAGCAAGUAUCGAUAAUAUGUUUGUAUCUCCAUACUUAUAUUUCUUCUCUUAUAAAAAACCGAGUUGGUGAUGAUGGUACGUGUGCCAUCUUGCAAUAUAGACCGUCCGAUCUAUAUCUGAUGGAUGGAAAUUAAACUAAAAGAUACCCGCACCCCUCUCCACAUUUGGAGACAAGGCCUUCCCUCGUUCAUCCUUAUCUCCAACAAACCUCAUUGUUGAGCAAUUAAGAAAGGAAGCCUCUGGAACAAACUGGCCUGGUGGCCGCUGCCGGCGUCGUCAAUCCCCAUGCCUCCGCUCAGUCCGACCACCAACCACCACCACACCCCACUCCUCUUCACCUUAUCUCAUAUUUCUCGAGAUAUCAUUAGUUUUUACACAUGGGAUUACUCCCGCAAGGGUCAAUCACAACAGUGUUUUAUAAAAAAAUGCAUCUUGAUGUUCCAUGCAAUGCACGGAUCUUGCUAUUACUCCUACACAAGACUAAGUUGGUGAUGCUGGUGUGUCUGCCAUCCGUCGUUUCUGACCAUUAGAUCUACAUCUAACGAUUGUGAGGUAAGUUGUUGCCUUUUCUUACCAACAUCCCACUUGUCUACCAAUUUGCAGAAAAACCCAUAAUUAGUAUCUUAAAACCAACCACAUCCCUCCCUGACCUCACCCAAACAGCCCAAGGAAUAUAUUCUAAUUGAAACAUAAUAUAUCUCUAGUGACAUAUGUAUAUCAAAAUUAGAGUGUUUUGUACCAAGUUUGUGAAUAAGUAUUAUUCUAAUUAUGAUUCGUUGCAACGGACAUGAACAUUGCUAGUAUUUCCAACCAUGCAUUUUUUCCUAGUAUUCCAUAGUUUCGAGUUUUCCAUCAAGAUAUUAGUCACUCAUGGUUGAUAUUUACUUUCAAUCAUGUACCCAUAUGCACUAUGUAACUAGCCUUGCUUAUUGGCUUCCAAAGCUUAACUUUCACUCCUACUUACAAUAUGUAGAGUAUUUAACAAAAAACUACCACUUUCAGCCAGCCCUAGGAAGAAUCUAUUGUACAAAAAAUAGCAAAAACAUACCCAAAAUUUCUUAAUCCACGCUAAAAACUACCUAGUACUCCUACCGAUUAGGUUCGUUUAAACCCAUUUAUGACAGGGUUGGCCCACACGUCCGUGCUGACGAGGCAGCUUAAACCAACACAUUUUGUUUGACCGUUGACACGAGGGACCCACAUCUGACCUUCUAUCCUGUUAUUCCCCCUCAAAUCAUUAUUUUUCCUGAACAUUACUUCAAACAGUACGGAUGCGUAUUCGUCGGUGGCGCCGGUGAUGAGCGAGUUGGCCGCCGCUCCGCUGGACGGGCCGGAUGCCGCGGUGGCCUCCGCACGGGUUGGCAGGCUGGCCCGAGCGUGACUCACGAGCGAGCAAGCCGCCGCGCUGGCCUUCGCUCGAGCCAGAUGGCUGGCCUUAGCGCGGCGCGCGCGAGCAAGCGGCCGCGCUGCCGUGCCAAUCUAGCUAGCAAACCUUGCAGACAAGCAGCUGGACGGAGCUAUCUUGGCUAGCUAGCGGCCGCGAGCAACGGACGGAGCUGGCAUCCGGGCUACCGCAACAUGGGCUCCGCACCGCCGGCGGUUUUGACCUCGCCUUCUGCCGGCGGCGGUAGCUGCGUCCCAUGGCCGAGGAUGACUAGGAGGACGGGCCAGAGGUAGGAGGUCACUCGAGGAUUUUUGUUGGUAAGAGCAUGUACAAUGGUUGAUAAGGUAGUCUUAUCUUAAGUCUGCCACGUAUGCAAGUGGUAGUAGUUUCUUGGCAUUUUAGUGGUUUCUUGCAUUAUUAGAGCAAGUACAAUAGAGCCGAGUCAGCGGGCUAUAAGAAAUAAACUAGUAUAUUUCUUCUUAGUUGGAGGAAAGAGAAGAGGAGAGAGAAGGUAAGCGGGUUCGUGAAGAGCCAGCUCUAGCACGUGCUCCUAGGCACUAUGUGAGAAUGAGAAGUGGGCCACAUAAUAAAAAAGUAGUACACUCUUUUGAUCUAUUAUUGUACAUGUUGGCUAUAAGAUGAGCUGUAGAUGACAUGGCACUGGCUUAUAGCCAGCAGCUGGCUAUACUAUUAACCAUGCUCUUAGGGGUUUCUUGUAAGGAACAAUGUACGUACUACUAGCGACAAAAGGCGAUUCUAGGUUGCGUUGUACUCCAACGAGUACUACUAGUGGUCGCGGGAGUGUAUACCUCAUUUUGUGGGUUCAAUCCCGGCCGAACGCACGGCGGCCUUUUUUUUAAAAAUAGUACUACUACACUUCGCUGCAAGCCAAUAUUCACGGGUAGUUUGAGUUUUGAAGUCUAACGGACGUGCGGCCCCACAAUCUGGGUGCACUGGAUAGCCUAGCCACGUGAACGGGUUUUCCUUCCCAGCAUCCCGUGGCUCGCGUGCUCGCCCUAGCCGCAUCUCGCUUGCAGCUUCCAGCUAGUAGCAUAUUUAAACUAGCGCCUCCCAAUUAAGCCCGAGGAGCCGGAAAAGCCUGGCGGGGCAUUGGGAACUGUGCAAUAUGGCUCUGUACGUAAAGUGCUCUACUACUACUCUGUAGCUUGUGGCGUUACACGCAUGGACUUCACUCCAUUAUCGGCUCUACUAUAAAAGAAAUUCCUCUUGACGUGUUUUUUUGAAACGGAGGCAAAAGCUGUGCUUCAUCUCAUUCAUAAAGAAGGAACUACUAACAAAGUUUGACGAGAUCCAUUACACCUCCACAAAUGGAAGCGAAAAGCCUAGUCUCGCUGUAUCAAAUAACUCAAAUGUUCUGCCCCCGCAGUAACCGUCGCUGAUAAACAGGCUGUUAGUGUGUGCGUGAGAGGAGCGGCUGAGUAGGCCAGCUACGUGAGAGGAGCGGUUGAAUAGAGCACCGAGAGUACCCACUAGGCCACUACGCAGGUGUACUUCCCCUGCAUUGAUAGUACAGCGAUGGUUCUAGAGAACAAUAGUACCCUCCACUUCCAACUGUAGCUCCUUGGCCCUGAGAUUCAAGAGUUCAAAACUGGUGCACUAUACUAGACUAGACUAGAAGUACAGUAAAACGCACUACUAGUUGAGAAAAGUAGUACUAGUACUGCUACAGUACGAGUACGUACUCCUCCGUCACAUAAUGUAAGACGUUUUUUGACACUAGUUGGCGUGUACAAAAAAUGGCAAAAACAUACCCAAAAUUUCUUAAUCCACCCCAAAAACUACUACCUAGUGCCAAAAGUUUCUUACUAGUGCUAUUAUUUACAGUAUAAUGCAAUCCCAUAACGUUCCAUAAUGCUAGUACUUGUAGUAAAUAAUAGCCUCGCCCCUUCGCUAAGGAACGAUCUACAGUUGGAAGGGACGAGGCCCUGCGGUUACUACGCUCUUAUCUCCUCCUCGCCAGUUCCCCUCCCCCGAAGAGAAGGCAGUUCGUCGCUGCUCCCAUGGAUUCUCUAGGCGGUUCUCCUCCUCGUCGGGGCUGGGAGACCUUGGACGAUGAUCCUCUGGGAGAAAUCGCACGCCGCUCCGACUUCCUCACCGCCGCAAGACUCGGUGCUUCCUGCACCAACUUUUUCAAGACGCUGCUUAAGCAGGCUCGGGAAAAGGCCAUGCUUGUUGGUCUUCCAUGCGUCCUCGAGGAGAAGGUUCUUUUAUGGGACAGUCCUUCGAACAGUCCACCGCUCCCUGGCCAUGGUUGCACGUUGACUCCGCUAGAGUUGCCGACGUUGAGAGGUAGUCGGAUUUUGUCCGAUGAACAGGUCAGUAAUGGAGUUUGAUCAUGUAGUACUUAGUUAUUCCAUUUCCAUCCCGUAAUUUCUCUGCUGCCCACCGUCUUAUAUAUAGGUCUGGGUUGGUGCCAACGAAGAUUGGCUUGCAUACCUCCGGCCGGAUACCACCAUCAUUUUGCACAACAUCCACAGCAGUGCGGCCAUUUCGGUAGACCCCUUCUCCACCAUUGGGAUCGGCCUUCCGGACUGGCUGGGCUUGAGGCUUGAAUACGUAUGAUGAUGCCUACAUGAGAUUGAAGAAGAUAGCAAUUGCGGACCCGCCGACAAAGCGACGCGGCUACGACGAUUACUAUCUCAUCACGGUGUUCGACAUAAGAAUUGCCAUCAAUGCAAGAGGCAGUAACGGCAGAGGCUGGCGCAUGUUGGCGGCGGCAGAUUUGUACCCCUACACGUUCGAAGACGCCGUGUGCCAUCUAGGCCGCAUAUUCGCGGUGACAAGCCAGGUGACUUGUUUCAUCUGGUUGCCAUCCUACGGUACGGGAGAUUACAAACAGAAUGCACAAACCAUCAUUUGCAUCCCUAACGGUACUCCAUUAUUUUGCAGGGACCAGUCAUCCCCCGAUCAAAAUAAGAUCGCCGAUCCUGGAUGUGCAUUUGCAUCCGCGAUUCGGUCUAACCUGGAACCUUGUAGCUGACUUUGGCAUAUUGGGAUCAACUAUCUUAGCAGUCGUUACCCAUGGUACCACUGAUGUGCAACAUGGUCACACAAUCUACCACGAUCGGACCAUCACCAUCUACCCAGGUAUUCCAUUUUUUAACCCUCUCGCCUUCUCUUUCAUUGUUGUACUAGUAGUAUACUUUGUAGUACUAGUAGGAGUACUUUUUACCUUGGAGGACGCGUAUAGCUAGCUAGGCCCUUAAAGACUUGAACCCACUAGCUGCCACCAUUUUUGUUUUUCCAUGUCUUACUAUCUCAUCCAUGUUGCCAAGAGUGGCUAUAUAUAAUAAGCCAGUUAUUUUACUUCCUCUAUACCGGAGUAGUACUAUUUGCUGCACAGUAUUACUGACCGCCAUAUUUGAGCCCAACAUUAUUAUGCAUGGACCUUGACUAUGUACGUCACCAUGUGUCCAGAUCUGGGAUGCCGCGUGUACGAGAUGAACAGCGCCGAGUUCGACCCCCGUGAUGCUACGUGGGUGCCGAGGAACACUCUUGGAGAGUACUCGCUUUUCAUCGGGGACAGCUACCCCAUUGUGAAGCGGAUGCCACCUUCCGUGCAUGACACGGAAGGCCUGCCGUUCAUGAAGCAUGGUUGUGUCUUCAGUGCGCACCGCCGGAUGAACGACAAGCUGGGACACGCUAUCCCUGAUUUAUGCCGCUUCAGCUUGGAUGAGUCUCCAUCGUGUGGAACCGGACUAGAAAGCUGCGACAAUGAUUCCCGUUGCCCACCGCUAUGGAUCGUGCCAUCCAUGAAGAACACAUGGGACUGGAACCUGGAGGAGGACAUGUAGCCCAUCUAUAACAUGUAAGUGGAGUACGGUAAUUGUGAACGGUAGCGCUGUGAAUAUAUGUAGACUAGUCGUGCACAAAUUUAUCACAUGAAUUGGAGAUGAACUUGUGUGGCAUACUAGUAAGUGUGUUACGUGUACGUGCAACUUGUGUGGUUGUUGCACGGGCUCCAACACGCUCUUUGAGAAAAAAAGGUGGCACAACUUUGGAUAUACGUGACGUGGCGACAUCAUACAGUAGCAUCGUUCGCUAUAGUUGUAGUACACUCCUACUAGGAUGCCAACUCCUAUAAAACCUUGCGCUUGGCUCUUUGCCUCUUCGGGAGGUUUAACAGUUCGUACUCUUGUGAACCUUGCACUUGGCUCUUCGCCUCUUCGGAAGGUCCAACAAUGAUGAUACUACAGUACAAUAUGCUUCUGGCAAUCUGACACCGAUUGAACUGCUGCACGUCCACCGCGAGGGCGAGGGCGAGGGAGAGGGAGAGGGAGAGGGCGCUGUAGUCAAAACCCUCUCCUCGUCCUGCGAACCACCGCACGCGUGGGCGAGGGAGAGGCGUAGUAAGCAAGCUUCUCCUCGUUCGGCGAGUUGACGGGACACAUCAAAGCAGUACUAGUACUAGUAGUAGUAGUCCAUACUGCGUCCUUUCCAAUUAAUAUGGCUUAAUUUGAAUCGAGAAAAAUACACUGGCGGUAAACAUAUGUAACAAUACGCUCUUUACGGUCACUAUAUAUAGUUUUGCGGCGAUUAUACGAUCACUAGCUCAUCGUAGAGCACUGUAUUGCACCCUACUGACAGGCCACAUAGUCGACGUGGCACUUUGUUGACUGGUUAAAUUGUCACCUGGUUUCUGGGUCCCACCUGUCAGUUGGCAGAGCAAAGAAAUCAGUGUUGCGUGCGUCCAUGUGUACGUGUGAGUGUUGCAUGUUGCAUGCAUGCAUGCAUGGGGCUUACUCCCUCCCAUUGACAUGUUCAUAUUUCAAGCUUCCUCUGUUCCCUCCAUAUGGUAAUACUCCCUCUGUUCCCAAAUAGUACGGAGUAAAAGCCUCCCUCUGUUCCCAAAUACGGAGUAUUUGUCUUUCUACAGAUUUCAACAAGUGACUAGGUACGGAGCAAAAUGAGUGAAGUGAGCGUAGAGGCAUUGGGAUACUGUAGAAAGGAAGUCCUCGCGAUCCAUUAUUCCCCAUCUCGGUCUGAGAGAACUAUUCAACUAGUCUUCGUAGUGAAGUGACAAUACACACUGUAGUAGAUGGGACACGUAAAUAAUAAGCUGAACCAUCGUGUUGGUGUUACUAAAUCAGCCUUACCCAGUACUGCCAUCAUGUUUGCCAGUAGAGCACGCUUCCGCAAAUAUGCCUACGCACCUCUGUCCUCCAUUAACUGACAUAUGGGCCCUGUUGUGGUAGACCCACAUGACAUCGGUGUAACUAUUUACACUCCGAAGGACGGUAUAUCCUGGUAGUAGUACUAGUAGAAUUGAGAUUGAAUGCACUUUCUUCCCCGUCUUCCACUCUUCUUCCACCUCUCUUCUUCUUCCUCCUCUCUUCUUGUUCCUCCUCUCUUCCCCAUCGUCGGCCGCACACCAUUUACCCCCGCUCACUGCUCGCCCGCCCGCGCCAUCUUCCUUGGUAGCUCGCGCGUACCAUAUCCCCCCACUCACUGCUCGGCCACACAAGGAGAAGCUUCUUUGCUCGCCCGCCCGAAUCCACUUCCCCGCUGGCUCGCAGGCACCGAAAACCCCAAUGGCAGAACCGACUGACACGCAGAGCCGCGAUUGGAAUUCCCUCCCCGAUGUUCUCUUGGAGCAGAUCUGUAGUCGUAUGGAUCUACUCAGCACCGUCCGUCUGGCCGCAUGCUCGGUGUCUUCGUACCGUCUACUCGUCUGCAAUCGGCCGGCUCUUUUCAAGACACCCUGCUUGCUGAUGCCCGAUCCUCGCAGGUGGCCUAGACACCGACUUGAUGAUCCUACGGAGGUUGCCGUGGUGCCCCUCGACAUGCUACCACUACCCGUCCACCUGUCCUUCAUGCGCGGCCACUACUGGGCGGGCAUGAAGGCCAACUAGAUCGUCCUCAUCCACCACACCGGUAGUCUGUGGCGUCUCGUGGAUAUCUACACCCAGCGAGAGAUCACCCUUCCAUCGUUGGAUACCGCCGCCAUCGAGCCUCGCGGCCCGUCGGACACUCCUGCCUACUACGCACGAGACGCGUCAAGCUUUUGGCCCGACCUCUGUUUGCAGAAAGUUGUAAUCUGCGAAGUGCCCACACCAUCCGAAGACUACAUGCAUUACAAGCUCAUUGCCUUGUUCAACAUGGGAUUAGUCUAUCUGGAAUCCGGUCGCCAUACAUGGUUAUGGCUCAUCAUCAAUCUUGUCGAGGCAACAUUUCUGUCUGAUGCUAUAGUGCACGAUGGCAUCGUUCACGCGGUCGACGCAUCGAUUGGCUGCCUAUACUGGUGGAAUCUAUCAUCGUGUAAUUGUUCUAUCUCAUCUCAUCUUUACCUUAUGAAUACGACUGCCUGUUCAUUUGUUACAAAUUUAGAAUGCAUAUCAUGUCUAUAACCACAUCAUUGCUAUAUGUUCCUAUCAUUUCCUAGAUUUUUAUGACCACACAUGUUAUUGUUAGAGUUGAUAUGAGAACAAUUGGCAUCUAAUGAUUGUUAGAAUACAUAUUAUGAGCAUAACAUCUUGAUUGCUAUAUGUUACUCUCGUUUACAAGAUUUUUAUAACAACGCAUGUUAUUGCUUAGAGUUGAUAUGAGAAUAGUAGUAGUAAGUGCUAUGGUAGAAUAUGAGUAGGCGCUGUCAUAGCUGUUUUCCUCUCAUUGUUACAUGAUGUUUGAACCAUGACAUAUUGCUAGAAUAUGAAAGCCAUUGGCUUAUUUUUUUAACUUGGGGUAUGAUUAUGACCACGACAUUGCAAUUCUCUGUCUAUGAUAUGUGUCACUGUUAUAAUAAUCUUAAUUCCACACAUACUCUGAACAUGAUUGUUUAUUUUUGUCAUUUUGGUCUCCAAUUUGAAUUGUUGCAGCAGAUGCAAAUGCGCUGGCCUUCAUGAUUCCAGGACCUGGAAUCAUACCAGCCGAUGGGUGGUGGUUUAUCGCUCGUUCAGCUGACGGCGAUCAUUUGAUGCUCAUUCGCACGUACCAAAUUGACCAAACCAUUACAUCAAACCACAUGCAGUACAAUGCGUGGGGCGUUCAUGACAUUGAUGGCUAUGGCUGCUUCGUGUUCGAGAAAGAUCCCAGCUCCGUUGGGCCAGGCGUAUUCAACUGCAGGCGGGUUUACAGCCCCGGCAACCACUCCUUGUUAGGUGACACAAGAAUCCCGGCGGCGUGUUCGGGUAUUCUGGACUUCAAAUUUGGAGUACCACUUAUUUGUCGAAAUCUUUCAUCAUUCACUUAAAACAGUCGAUUGAUCAUACAUUGAGUACCAUAUAACUGGAAUUACCGAUGCAAGUCGAAGAAGGAUUAGCCGGUGCUGCCGGCUGGCGUCAAGUUUGAUCCCACGGAUCAGGAGCUGAUCGAGCACCUUGAGGCCAAAGUGAGUGCUGACAGCGCGAGAUUUCAGUCUCUCAUUGAUUUGUUCAUACCAACCAUCGACAGCGAGCAGGGCAUAUGCUACACCCAACCUGAGAAACUUCCAGGUAAGACACCGAUCGGCCGUCUACUUGCACAAACAUAUUCCUUUGUUUAUAGCUCUAUUUUUCUUUUUAGACGCAGACCUGGUGAAGCAAUUACAAUUUGACAGUUAAUAAAAAGUGAAAGAAGUGACUGCAACAUGCCAAAGAUGUUAUGAAAAUGCCAACUAGGUACACUAAAACCUGUAUUCCACAAUACUGCAGGUAUCACACUGAGUGGCCUAAGGAAGCAUUUCUUCCAGCACAAUUCUAGGGCGUUCAAAAGGGGCACGUGGACGCAUCGCAAGAUACAGUCAGAGUGCGGCAUGCACGCAAUGUGGCACAAGACCGGCAAUACCUUGCCGGUGAUGGUCAACGGCCGGCAGACGGGCAGCAAAAAAGGUUCUGGUGCUGCACACCAACAAGAACUUCGACCAGCAGAGGACCAACUGGGUGAUGCACCAGUACCACCUCGGGGACCUGGAGCAAGAGAAGGAGCAGGAGCUGGUCCCCUGCAAGAUUUUCUACCAGACGAACACUAGGGCCAGGAGUAAAAAGAUUAUAAGUUAGUUUGGUAUUGGUAGUUGUACUACCUUGUCGUCCGCAAAUUGGUAUUGUUGUUAACGAUCUUUUGGUAUGAACUUGCAUUUGCUUCCAACCAUCAUGCCGAGGGUCGACGUGGAUAUAAAGCUGAAUCAUUUGUUUCAAAACGAAUUUUCAGGCACCUGAUUUUUAUUUGAUGGGUAGCAUAAGCACCCGCCGUUCGAAUUCCCAGUUCUCCAAUUUUUUCGAAACAAGUGCAUGCACUUAUUAUCACGAUAAAAAAACAAUAUCCGUGCUGCAUCCCAGUUAUCAGUCUGUACUUGCAGAAUUCUCUCAUUUAUUGAGCACGUAUAUUGUUUUUUCAGGUCGAGCAAGUUUCAACUGGGUUGUAGACUGCCCAGGGUUGGUUUUGUUUUUAACAGGCCCAGCCCAUGACGACAACGGGGCACAAAGAUCCAGCAGGUAUCUACUGGCCUCUGGCCCGCCAGCGUUACUUAUAUUUUGUCUUACAACAUCCGCAAGCAGUUUUUUUACUAAAUCAAACACACAGCCUAGUUCUAUUUUCCUCUUGAAACGCAUGUCCUACAUCCGUUUUCUAAUCUCUACCUAUAGUUUUACUAGUUCAUAUACACGUAUCAUUAUAUUGAAAACACAUAAAAUUCCCUUUUCAUAUAUACAUCCUUAUUUUUGUUGUUUUUUCCCACCCAGCGCUGUUUUUUACCACUGGUUUUCCUUAAACCAACUCAAUUGUCCCACGUCUUAUUUGCUUACAAAAACAAAACGAUUUUUUUGGCAAAUCAAUAAGUUCUUAAAAAAAUGUUUAUCAUUUCGGGAUUACAACAGUUCGGACUCCACCGAAAUAUGCAAAAUAAGGUUGAACUUUUUGACCGUGGUCCUGGGCAGAAAAUGGGCUGUAAUAAAUUACUUAAGAAUUAGCAAAUGGGCUGCAAAUUAUAAAAAAUAGCAAAUGGGCUUUAUGUUGUCUGCCACAGAUUUGGAGGCUGACUUGUGGGCGUACUAAGUUCAUGCGUACACAAGGUUUCUCAAAAAAGAAACUUAGUCAACAAUCGACUCUACCAGCAUCAGACCGUUAGAUGUCAAUCUAACGGCAAUCGUGCUUCUUCAGUCUCUGAUCUUCCUGCCCCAGCCGCCCAAACCAGCGCCAUCGGAACCGCCUGCUCCCGCCUCCCGUGGCCGGCAAUGCUGCCGGGCAGGCCUCACGGCCCCAUCAUACUAGCAUCCCUGGCCUGUCUAUCCCUCUACUCACCCACACCUCCUGUUAUUUUCCGGCUACGGCAACCGAACCAGUCAACCCUCGUACUCUCCACCGCGUGGGCAGCCACUGCCGUGUCUUCCCCGGCUCCGUGUCGUUCCCUUCGUAGGCCUCGCCAUCGUCCACCGCCCUGGUGCUCUCGGCGCGGCGUGGUCAACGAUGUCCAUCCAACGGCCGUAGUGCUUCUUCAACCUCUGGUCUUCUUGCCCCAGCCGCCCAAAGCAGCGCCGGUCGUGCCGCAUGCUCCUGCCUCCCGUGGCCGGCUGUGCUGCCGCGGAGGCCUCACCGUCCCCAUACUACUCCCACCGCUGGCCAGGCCAUCCCUCCACUCAUCCACUCCCCCUGUUAUUCUGCGGUGACGGCAGCCUCACACCGCAGCCGAACCAGUGAACCCUCGUACUCCUCUCCGCGCGGGCAUCCACUGCCGCGUCUUCCCCGGCUCCGCGUCGUCCCCUUCCUAGGCCUCGCCGUCGUCCACCGCCGUGGUGCUCUCGGCGCAGCGUGGUCAAUGUGGUCAACGACCGACUUCCAUCGGAAGCGUACUGUACGUGGAGAGGCUGACAGCUGGGUCCACGGCAGCCGCAAGGAAGUGCCUCCUUAUUACGCGCAAAAUAAUUAUUCCUCCACCUGACAGCAGGGACCCACCGGACGGGCCACCAGUAUUUUGCGGAAAAAACGUUUGCCCCUGACUGCUGGGACCCACCGGACGGGCCACCGUAUUUCGUGGAAAAAACGUUUGCCCCUGACUGCUGGGACCCACCGGACGGACCACCGUAUUUCGCAAAAAAACGUUCCCCCCGCUGUCAGCUCAGACCCACCGGAAGUGCCUCCUUAUUACGCACAGAAAAAUGAAUACCCCCUGCUAGCUAGGACCCACCAUGGUGGGAGGCUGACUUGUGGGCCUACUAAGUUGACGGGGACGGAGGGCUUUGUCAACUUAGUCAAUAUGGACGAUUCUAGCUCCAGUGACCGUACGAUGUCCAUCCAACGGCCGUCGUGCUUCUUCAAUCACUGCUCUUCCUGCGCCAGCCGCUCGAACAAGCGCCGGCGGGACUGCCUGCUCCCUCCUCCCCACGGCCGGCUCUGCUGCCGCGCAGGCCUCACCACCCCACCGUACUCCCAUCGCUAGCCUAGCCAUCCCUCUACUCACCCACACCUGCUGUUAUUCUCCGGCGACGGCAGACGAACCAGUAAACCCUCGUACAGUCGUACUCCCCUCCACGUGGGAAACAACUGCCGAGUCUUCCCUGCCUCCGUGUCGUUCCCUUCCUAGGCCUCGCCGUCGUCCACCGCCCUGGUGCUCUCGGCGCGGCCUGGUCAACGUGGUCAACGACCAACAUGCAUCUGAAGUGGACUGUACGUGGAGAGGCCGACAGCUGGGGCCACGGCCGCACGCAAGGGAGUGCCUCCUUAUUACGCUCAAAAUAAUGAUUCCUCCACCUGACAUCAAGGACCCACCAAAAGGGCCUCUGUAUUUCGUGAAAAAAACUUUACCGCCACUGACAGCUCGGACCCACCAGCUAUAUCUUCGCACGCAAGGAAGUGCCUCCUUAUUACGCACAAAAAAAUGAAUACUCCUCCUGUUAGCUGGGACCCAGUAUAGUGGCAGGCUGACUUGUGGGCCUACUAAGUUGACGGGGACGGAGGGCUUUGUCAACUUAGUCAAUAUGCACGAUUCUAGCUCCAGUGACCGUACGAUGUCCAUCCAACUGCCGUAGUGCUUCUUCAACCUCUGGUCUUCUUGCUCCAGCCACCCAAACCAGCGCCGGUCGUGCCUCGUGCUCCUGCCUCCCGUGGCCGGCUGCGAUGCGGUGGAAGCCUCACUGCCCCCUACUACUCCCACCGCUGGCCAGGCCAUCCCUCUACUCACCCACACCCCCUGUUAUUCUGCGGCGACGGCAGCCUCACACCGCAGCGAACCAGUGAACCCUCGUACUCCUCUACGCGUGGGCAUCCACUGCCGCGUCUUCCCCGGCUCCGCGUUAUCCCCUUCCUAGGCCUCUCCGUCGUCCACCGCCCUGGUGCUCUCGGCGCGGCGUGGUCAACGUGGUCAAGGAACGGCUUCCAUCGGACGUGGACUGUACGUGGAGGGGCUGACAGCUGGGUCGACGGCCGCAGCAAGGAAGUGCCUCCUUAUUAUGUGGAAAAUAAUUAUUCCUCCACCUGACAGCGGGGACCCACCGGACGGGCCACCGUAUUUCGCGAAAAAAUGUUUCCCCCCUGACUGCUGGGACCCACCAGCUACACCUUCGCACGCAAGGAAGUGCGUCCGAGCAAAAAAAAAACAAAACGAUUCGCCCCCCUGACUGCUGGGACCUACCAGCUACAUCUUCGCACGCAAGGAAGUGCCUGACAGUCGGGACCCACCUGGUCUAAGCGUACGUAGCGUUGUCAUUCUGGUCGCGAACGUGUACGUACGUAUAUACUGGUGGAUGUAGAGGCGCGCACGUGUCGUAGUAGAGGCGUGUACAUGUCGUAGUAGAGACGCACACAUAGCAUGUACACGUACGUAUAGCGGCCAGGGUGCAAGAAAGAAAAUACGGCCACGUAUGUGUAUAUACGGGCGGGGUCUCGAACGCCUACUCGCGCAUACGUACGGCCAGGGCUCGUGUACAUGGCUGGGUCGGAACGGAGAAACAGCGUCGUCGUCGUGUUCAUGGGGAGGCAAUGGAAUGCGUCGUGUUCAUGGGGAGGCAACGGAAUGCGUCGUGUUCAUCGGGAGGCAACGGAACGCGUGGGAGCCAACCGGCUGGGUCGGAACGGAAUGCGUGGUCGUGUUCAUCGGGAGGGCUUGGACGGAACAGGCGAUGGAAACGAGGCCUGGCGUACCGCAGAACGGAGAAAACGGACCUCCUACGGUCGAAACGGGGGUCCUAUUGAUCGGGAGGGGUGUGGCGUACCGCAAAACGGAGGAAACGGACCUCCUACGGUCGAAACGGGGGUCCUGUUGAUUGGGAGGGGUGUGGCGUACCGCAAAACGGACGAAACGGACCUCCUACGGUCGAAACGGAGGUCCUGUUCAUCGGGAGGGGUGUGGCGUACCGCAAAACGGGACUCCACGGGAUACUGUUCAUCUCCACCGUCGACCUCCUCCAGCCUCCACGGGCUACCGUCGACCUCCUCCAGCCUCCACGGGCUCCUGUUCAUCCAGCCUCCACCGCGCGCUACUCCACCAGCUACUGUUCAACCACCCCUCCACCGUCUACUGUUUAUCCAGCCCUCCACACCACGGGGUCCUGUUCAACCACCCCUCCACGGGCACCCCUCCACCGUCUACUGUUCAUCCAGCCCUCCACACCACGGGGUCCUGUUCAUCCAGANNNNNNNNNNNNNNNNNNNNNNNNNNNNNNNNNNNNNNNNNNNNNNNNNNNNNNNNNNNNNNNNNNNNNNNNNNNNNNNNNNNNNNNNNNNNNNNNNNNNNNNNNNNNNNNNNNNNNNNNNNNNNNNNNNNNNNNNNNNNNNNNNNNNNNNNNNNNNNNNNNNNNNNNNNNNNNNNNNNNNNNNNNNNNNNNNNNNNNNNNNNNNNNNNNNNNNNNNNNNNNNNNNNNNNNNNNNNNNNNNNNNNNNNNNNNNNNNNNNNNNNNNNNNNNNNNNNNNNNNNNNNNNNNNNNNNNNNNNNNNNNNNNNNNNNNNNNNNNNNNNNNNNNNNNNNNNNNNNNNNNNNNNNNNNNNNNNNNNNNUCGAUCGGCUUCAGUUAGCAGCAGUAGCGAAGGAAUCGCUCGAUCGGGUUCAGUUAACAGACAUCGAUCGAUCGCUCGGGUUCAGUAAUGCGUAGCCUGCAGUGUAAUCGCUCGGGUUCAGUUAGAGCCCAACCCCUCGCUCGGGUUCAGUUAGAGCCAACGCCUCGCACACACGCGCGUACGUGUACGAGAGAAACGCACAUCGCUCGGCCCCCGACCUACCACCGUAACCGGGAACUCCCCGAAAUUUUCCUCGCCCUCGCUUCUACCAUGGUUUUUUCCGUCAUGGACGGCCCAAAGAAUGUCAUGUAGCUGCGUCUCCGCCCGCCCAGGACGAAAAGCCCAUUUUCUGUCAUGAUUUUUUGUCAUAGAAGUAGGAGCCCACCACAUCUAUGAUGAUACCGGGUUUUGUCACAAUUAUCGUCAUAGAAGUGUCACAUGUAUGACAGAAAAAAAUUUCGUUUGGCCCAAAAUGUCACGGAUGUGUCUUUUUUUGUAGUGUAAGGGGCCUCUGAAACCGGGACAAAUGGGCCGGUUUCUACCAGUGGAAGCUCCAUCCUCCUUUCUCGUCCUCUCUUCCUUUUCUCAUAUCAGCUUUCAUCCAUCUCCCAUACUGUUGCACCUCACCUCUCCCUAGUCCAAUAGAACACGCCUUGUCCACGUGUCCAAUUAUACCACACGUGUAACAAAAAUCAGGGAGGUACUCAUACUCUAGGGGGCACCAUUUUUGCUCAUCAUCUUUCUUCUUUCUUUUAUCCACGUCCAUCACUUCUGCAGACUCCUUGUCUUCUCCCGUUCAAUAUCCAAAGUGAUUCCUCUCAACAGUGGCUUUGUAAUGUCUAGUCUAACUUUCAGCCUAAGGAAACUUCCAGCCACAUUAUCAUCAUCCCCCUGGUUACCUCCAUGAACUCGCCAAUCUCGUCACCAAUGAUCCCUCCGUUUUCUUCACUCAUGAAACCUAGCGGCAUCUUGGUCACCCUGACCCAAAUAGGGAUGAUAGUGAACUCAUACUCUUCUAGCGUUUUAGCUGGGUCGAAAUCUACCAUCACAAUCAGGUUCUUGCCCACCAUCCAUGGCCCUUCCUCCAAUGCUUUCCUCUUCCCCGCUGCUUGCAAGAAGGUGAAAAGAAAGGUGUUGUCCUCUAACUCCUUGCACUUGAUUCCCUUGAUCGGACACCACGCUCUUCCGAGGGAUUUAAUCAUACCUUCCACAUAUACUGGUUUGUCGGACAUAACCUUACCGAUCGCCUGUGGAUCUUCCGUUCCCGUUCUCCUCAACCCGCCCCUUCCGAUCUUGACUCCCUUCUUCUCUGCUUCUGGCAACCGCAACUUCUGCAUCAAACCUUCCACUUUCUCCAUUGUGUCGAGGACUUGCAUCAAUCUAUGGUUUACUAGGUGGUUGUAUUACGAAUGGAUGCCCUAGCAACACUCGUAAGGCUUUUGGUGGAUGGGUGAGCGGUCUCGAGAUCAAUCUAGCAAGGAUCGCCGAGGCUAGGGGGAGAGUUUGCUGGCGUCGGCCAGAGACGGGGUCGCCUGAGGGGACUCUAGGGUUUACCAGGAGUCACCGUAGAAUCCCCUGGGAAUCGCCCAAGCGCCAAUCAUGGAACCGUCACCCAAGGGACGGACGGGUUAAGGAUGAUAAUUAAAGCGGACUUUGAUAGAGAGACACGUGAGAAAUAGAGUGAUAGAGAGAGAUACGUGAAAAUUAAAGCGGUUUUAAUUUCUUUCUUUUCUGUAAUUAAAGAGAUACGCAUGAGAAAUAGAGAGAUAAGAGAGAUACCUGAGAAUUAAAGCUGUUUUAAUUUUUUCCGUUUCUAUGAUUAAAGAUCUGAUCUACACAGUUACAAUCUUGACCUGCAAAAUCAACGGCCUCCAUUUUCUAUUUUUCUCUAAUUAAUGUGGGAAUUUCUUGGGAGUGCCUAUUAGUAUAGGUAUAUAUAUGUGCAAAAAUCUCGACAUUAAUGAACAUAUAUCUGGUGCACUUGCAAUCUUUUGUAGUACAUUAAUGAAUAUUUAAAGUAUUUUCCAACUCUUGCUAUUUAUAGACUUGUCGUCCGUGUCUGCCACAUUUGGAGUCCAACUAUUUCCUACUGGAACCUUACACUCCACUAGAACUGAGUUUGUCAAGUAACAGAUAACCAAUAUGAGAGGGAGCAGCCUAGUGCAGGCGACGAUGAUAUUCUUCAUUGGAUGCCUUGUGCUUUGUGCACAGUGUAAGUAUAUAUCAUCAUCGUCUUUAGAAUCUUGUGUUAACUUCUUGCCACUAAUUCUUCGGAUCAGACAUACAUACACACACACAUCUGCGGUACUGCAUACUAAGGUUAAAUAUACUAUACAGGUGCUCUCGAUAAUAAGCAAAGGAUGGUCAACCAGGAUGAUCAUGCGGCGAACACAAGUACCAACGCUACCAUCAUCAACUCAACAACUGUAGGCGAGAGCAAGAAAACCGAGAAAUUUUGCAGCCUCUUUCUCGUAUGUUAUUUCAACAUUGAGAUUCGUGCUGAGUGCUACUGUUGCGAGAAUAAGAAUGCCGACUGUUACAAGACGAAGAGUGAGUGCCUGCAAAAGUGCCAUUCCUACAACGGUUAAUGCCCACCUUCAUCGCGGUCUUUGGGAUAGAAUUCCAUAUGCUUGGAAAAUUUGCCCGUCGGUAAUAAAAGGCACCUUAUAUGGUUUGGGCAAUUAGGUUCCAAUUAAACAUGAGAAAGCCCGCAUGUUUCCGUGUAGAUCCAACAAGGAAAAAUUUGAUGAAAGAAAUCCAAGUAACUAGUUGUCUUGCAUAUUUACAAAGUUCAAAUCCUUUGGUUGUUGUGCUUUGACUCGAUUGUCUAUUAUGCUGUUUCAUUUACUUGCACAUUGCCCACUUGUUCAUUUAACACACAUCACCCACUUGGUGAUUUGCUAGUUGUGGGCUGACAGUCAUAUAGAUUUUUUUUUUUGAGAUCUCGUCAUAUAGAAUUGUAAUAGCACUGACAUGGAAAAAGUUAAAAACUGAAAAACUGAAAAAAGUAAAUCAAACAAACAAAUGGUGCGCAAACUAAAUCAGACGGCACAAGACAAGUGAGAUUUAGUCAGGACUCUUUCAGAUGAAGAUAAGCAAAUUGCAAGAAAACAACAUGCAGAAACAUUUUUAUAUCAUAGCAUAACAUGCAAAAAAGCACAUAUAUAGUACAACGACAACCCACGUGUCUAUACGCUAUCUAUAUGUAUAUCUAUCUAUCUAUCUAUAUCUAUCUAUCUAUCUAUCUAUAUAUAUCUAUCUAUUUAUACCUACUAAUAAAAGACGGAGCAUUUAUGCCCAUCCGUCUCAUGUUUUGCAACAAAAUACCCUACUUUUUUCUUUAAUUACCCGCGGUCAAGGUUUAGGUGAGGUUCGUCCGUUGUGUUUUUUGCAAAGAACGAGGAAAUGGUUGCGUUUUGUGAGAUUCAAACUCAUGAUGUCCCCUCCAUGCCCAAAAGCCACAGCCAACUGAGUUAGCAUGCACUUGUGCUACCAAAUAGGUCCAUUAUUUCAUUAAAUUGUCCAACCAUGAUACUUUGCAUAAGAAUACGCAAAUUUAUAUGUGAUUUCAAAUUGCCUGGAAAUCAACAAGCCAACUCGAUAACCAAGAAAUAGAGGGAGAGGAGGAAUUCACUCAAUAAAUAGUGUUAACUAGCAGGGUUUCCCGUGCAUUUGCGCGGCUAGAUUGACCCUUUCCGAUGCCAACUAUAUGGCCUUUCACUAAACUAUAUUUUGAUUAAAUUUACACCCUGUAUAUGACAUCAUAGAAAAAAUGAAAAUCGCAAUGAAACAUGCAAGUGCAUUAGGUUGUUCAUUUUAAUAUAGAAGUGCAUUAGGUUUUUAAAUAAAUUCCUUGGGAUGUCAGGUUGCAACACCGAUAAAAAACCAUGUAUGGGAUUUCAUGCCAAUCUUGGUGUUUUUCGUCUUUGAUCACUCCUCCUUUGUAUCAUUUAAUAGGUUUUCGAGAAAUUCCCUACCAAGACUUAAAUCUAAACAUGAAAUUCUGGUAUGUAAAGGUCCCUUCUUCUAGUCAUAUCAAUCAACGGACGCAUUCUUAACUACCUUUUCUUGAUUAAUGCUGCCUACCCACUUAUGUAUCAAGAGAUUGACAUCUUCUAUCGUGCUUAUUUUUUCUAUUGAUAAUAUUUUACAAAAUAUUAUCUUUGACUCACUCCCUUUUAAGCUUAUUCAUGAUGAUCAUGGCUGUUUUAUUGCAUCAUCUUGUAUUUUUGUAUUUUUCUAUAAUUAUAUUAAGGGAAAGGUGUGACAGCUCCCAGGUGCGGGGGCACCCUCAUGAACAAUAACUUCAAAACAAUACGAAAAAAAUCGAAAAAAUCUGAAAUUUUGGGGGAUCAAAUAUGAUCAAACUUUUGAUGUUAUUGCAAAUUUCAGCCAGAAAUAACACUCGAGGAGCCCUCAUAAAAACAAUUACUGCUCAAAAGUACACAUAAGUUUGAACACCGAUUUUGUUUUUUUGUGAGGGCUGCACGAAUGUUUUUUGAUGCUAAAACUUUGCAUGAACGUUGAAUGUUUGAUCAUAUUUGAUCCCCCAAAGUUUCAGAUUUUUUCGAUUUUUUCAUAUUGUUUUGAAUUUGCUGUUCAUGGGGGUGCCCCUGCACCCGAUAGAUGAAAGUCCAGUCUCUUAUAUUAAUCAUACAAGUAAUUGUAGACCAAAUAUGUUUAAAUUUUUUGUUCAUGAAUUUCAUAAGGAAUGAAAAUACUAUUUGAAACUUCAUCUUAUUUUUCAUCCGAAUUUCAUACGGACAGUGUGCUUUACAUUCUUCAUCUGAAUUUUUUGUGAACCAUGCAAGGCAACUGUGAUCAUUAUGUAUAGGAGAUAGAGGGAAAAACCAUUCUACAUCUGAUUUUCAUUUUAUUAAGUUAUUAUUAAGUUAUUCGUCACCUUGGGUGAGGAAUAGUUAUUCUUCACCCUCUCUAUUUUACCAUCAAUGCACCGUAAUUUUACGUUACGUAAGUUUUGUUUUAUUUCCGACGUAAAAAGAGACCGUAAGAAAAUAUAUAAUCAUCGUAAAAAAUAUUUUAUGUUAUGUAAAAUUACAAACGUAAAAACAUAGUGUAAAAUAUACAUAAACUGCAAAUUUUCUUGUCUUAUGACCUAUAUUUUUUUUCUUAUGCCAAAUUUUAUGUAGUGAAUCAAUAAAAAGGUAAAUAUUUGAAUUCCAAACGUAAUUUAAUUAUGAAAUGAUCGUAAGAUUACUUCGGGUGAAGAAUAACUUAUUAUGCACCCAAGGUGAUGAAUAGUAUUGAUUUACUGCAGAAUAAGUUACAUUCAUAUUGAUUUACUACAGAAUAAUCUUCCGAUCAUUUCAUAAAUAAAUUACAUUUGAAAUACAAAUAGUUACAUUCAUAUUGAUUUACUGCAUAAAAUUUGGCAUAACAAAAAAUAUAUAGGUCCAAAAUUGUAUUUUAUGUACAUUUUACACUAUGUUUUUACUUUUGUAAUUUUACGUAACAUAAAAUAUUUUUUACGACAAUUAUAGGUUUUCUUACGUUCUCUUUUUAUGUCUAAAAUAAGACAAAAUUGACAAAGCGUAAAAUUACGGUGUAUACAUGUUAAAAUAGAGGUGGGUGAAGAAUAACUAUUCCUCACUCAGGGUGACGAAUAGUCAAUCCCUAUAUAUAUAUAGCUGUAUCUGCUAUGGUUUUUAUAAACAUUUUGGUUCAUCUAUAGUUCUACACCAUUGUAAUCUUGAACCACAAUCAUUGUUGCAAUUAUAUCAUCCUAUGUCGACGAAUUGUAGUGACUUAUUUUGUUUGGUGUUCAUAUAAAAUUUAAAAGAAUAUAUUCUUUUGCACUGUAUUUGUUUGUAUCGAGAGCUACAAUGAUUAGUAUACUGCAGACAAUAUUUUGACCUAAUGUUGUGCCUUGUUUUCCAGUCGACCGCUUUGCUAUCUCUACCUAAUAUUAAAGGAAGGAUUGUUUCUUCACAAAAUUUCGUUUAUGGUGGGACCCACAAGUUUUUUUGUCCAUCCCUCUUCGUUUAUGAUGGCAAAAAACUACGACGCAAAGAAAAUAAUAAUACGCCGGGCACUCCUCUGGCCAAAAAAUUAUGCCGCAAGGACUCGAACCCAGGCGCUCACGCAAGACAGCCAGCCACUGGAAUAAACAAAAUCAUGUGUUUAGCUAAUGCGCACUUUUAUAUAUGUACGCACCUGCUUUUCAGUCAGAAAAAAAAUACGCAUCUAAACGUGUACGUAUCGUGCAAUCAAUCAGCCUCAACUAAAGCUUCAAAACAAAAAAAAGCCCCAACUAAAAAACAUGUACGCAUCUGCUUGCAAUGAAAAAAAAAAAACACAUACACAACUGAGUUGGACGAGCACAGCCACGGCCCACAGCUGCCAUGCAUUCCGUCAACUGCUGGAAGAUUAUUCUCGAAACAAAAAACUGCUGGAAGAUUAAUCGGCCAUAAAACUGCUGGAAGAUUAAUCGGCCACCAUGCUGCACGCUUCAUCAUGUGCCAAACUCAAACAUUAUUUUUUCAUCUCUACCAUAUUACAAGUAAUAUGUGUACAUAAACAUGUAUGACCGGUCUAUUCAAGCCAAACAUUAGUCUUUAGACGAAUGGCUUCCUAAUACAUUGGUUAUGAUUUUCACGUGUAAUGUGGAGGAUUGUUUCUCUACUUUUUUUGUCAUCGUUUUUUUUGGUACGUCCUUUUUAUUCCGUUUCGUCCAUUCGUUAUCGGUCUCAUGUAGUGUUUGCUUCGGUCGGUAUGUUCGUUUCCGGUCCGUCAAAAAAAGAAAUAGCGAGCGUAGAGGGAUUCGAACCAUGGUUGCGAGGACUCACGAACCAACUCAUCCAACCAAGAAUCCUGCAGAAAGAGAGGGAGCUUAGACUGUCUCGCCAUAGGUGGCAUUUAUUUAUGGUUCAGAAACAUCCAUCAUGUAUGAUUCCUUUCAAACCUCCUCCCUAUAUGUACGUUGUGGACCACGGUUGCGGACGUGCUAUGCAAAGGGCCGGAGCUCCAGUGGAAGGAGUGGGAGAUGGGGUUACUGGAGGCCGUGAACGGGGAAGAUGACGAUGAGGAUGAUGAGAUUGGGAAGGAGAAGGUGGAGGGAAGGUCAUGGGAAUCAAGCCACCACAAUCGACGACAUGCGCGGCACGCAGCGCGCUGCCAUUGUGGCCUUUAUCCGGCCGAUCUGGUCACGCGUCAACGCGUGUCUCCUGCCUUGAACCAUCAUCCUGGAGAACCUUGUCGUCAAUCGAUCCACUGUUUUUGCCAUCAAUGACCAUUGUCCCGUGACAGAAUUCCUUAACCGAGGCAACCUUGAUUCAUGACAACUGGUAUUUUCUCCAUAGCGAAGCAUGAACAUUGUGCUUAUCGUGCUAGGGACAAGUGUUUUUCUUUCCUGUUGCAACGCACGGGCAUGUUUGCUAGUAGAGCUAAAGAAUCAUGGAUUUUGAGGCCUAGGAUCCAUUCUAUGAACUAAUAGAAUGGAUUUUGAUCUCCUCACUUCGUGCUUUUAUAGGGGUAGUAAGCAUUGUAGCACCGUGACUUUCCUUCUGACUCCGGUUCCCUCAUCCAGCUAUCUGAGAAAGGGCACCGUGGUCGAGGUCAAAACCGGCCAAUCUCGGCUAGGGGGUCCCGAACUGUGCGUCUGAGGAUUGAAGGUAACAGGAGACAAAGGGACACGAUGUUUACCCAGGUUUAGGCCCUCUUAAUGGAGGUAAAACCCUACUUCCUGCUUGAUUGUCUUUGAUGAGUAUAGGGGUUACAAGAGUUGAUCUACCUCGAGAUCGUAAUGGCUCUAUGAACUAAACCCUAGCUGCCUUGUUACACACCGGAGGGUUUAGUUCAUAGAGAUCGUAAUGGCUCUAUGUAAGGUGUGUAACCCUAGCUGCCUAACCUAUGUAAAUUUUGAUAGUCUCUAUGAACUAAACCCUCCGGUUUAUAUACACACCGGAGGGGUCUAGGGUUACACAAAGUUGGCUUGUGAAGGAAGGAAAUUACAUAUUCGGACAUCAAUCUUGCCAUCCACGCAUAGAAGAGUCCUACCCGGACACGGGGGAAGGCCUUCCGCCUUGAAUCUUCACGGCCCAUCAGUCCGGUCCAUAUCAAAUACCCCGGACACCCAAAGACCCCCUAGUCCAGGACUCCCUCAGUAGCCUCUGAACUAGCCUUCAAAUGACGAUGCAGUAUCCGGCUUACGUCUUCAGCUUUUGCAAGGUUGGUUCUUCACCGUACACUGAACGGAUAAUAGUUUGGCCCUAGCUUCCUUGUUCCGCCUUAAUGAUUCCUUCCCUAUCGCCUCGAUUUCCACGCGCUUGGGCGAAUGCGAACGGCCCACAAUUUUUAUUUAAAAAGGAAAGCACUCUGCCCCAUGGGGACAACACCUAUAUAAAGAUGUCAAAUCCUCCAAGUGCCAUCCACAUCAUGCAGGAAAAACGCCAAGUUUAGCCACGAAAAAGCUUCCAAAUAUGGUCAGCGCCCUAGGUUCCUCUUCGCGCCCCCAUGGCCCUCAAGAGGAUGAUUGGCAGAGCUGUUCAGUGCCUCAUCUUCACCUGAGGCGACUCCAGACGCAGGGAUAUCUUCCCCUCAUAGAUCUAUUCUCUGUUCGAGAGGGAUUGGACUCCAUCGGCAACGAUGUGAUGGUGUGCUUUGUUCCAUUCCUUCUAUGGGGCUUAGGAUUUUCGAUCCAUCCCUUCCUCAGGGGUUUAUUGGAUUUUUACGGCAUCUAGCUGCACAACCUUACCCCAGGUUCGAUUCUGCACAUCGCAGGUUUCGUUGCCCUAUGCGAGCUGUUCUUAGGCAUCGAGGCCCAUUUCGAACUAUGGAGGAAGUUCUUUUGCCUUGUUCCCCGCCAUCGAGGAGGCUCUAUAUUUGAAGUGGGCGGCGCAGAAGUAUGGCGCAUAGCCGGAUCCGGAUACCCCGUUGGAACUCCCAAAGAGAUAUAUCCAUAGUGGUCCUCGGAGUGGUUUUAUAUGGAUGAUGUUCCACUGCUGGAUCCAGUUUGGUGCGGCCUCCCUGAAUUUUCCAGCGCUCCUUUAAAGAAGCGCCUCAACUGGCGUCCCCGGUAUCCCAAGGAGGAGGACAGUGCAGAAAUAAAAAGGUCGAUCAGCAAGGCAGAUUACUAGCCCAUAUCGAGCUCUCGAUAGUCGAGGUUAUGGCCAUUGCAAUAAAGAGGUGCGUCCAGCCUCUCCAGUCCAGAGUAACUCCCUUAUGGUGCUAGAACGGGGAAGACGAUGCGUCUUGUUAUAGACGCAAGGGUCCGGAUACCCCUGCCGAACUGGCCACGAUCUUGGCCGAUCUUUAUAAGGGUGAAAAAGAAGACUUCCUCCGCUUAAACUGCUGGGAAGGCUAUUCCAUGUACAACCCCGUUGAAUGGGUAAGACUUCGAUUACCUGUGUUGCUUUAUUGCUGUCACAGUAUUUUAAUCAAAUUUGUUCUUUGUUGCAAUAAAACAGUCAUGGAGGAAAAUGACCGAGGACGUUCACUUUCCUACCCCACAGCCAGAGGAUCACAACCACCAGGAGGACCCUGGUUUAUGUGAGGAUCCAGAUAUAUACAUAGAGUUCGAUGAUGGGGUGUUUUAUCAGGCGAGCCUUGACAGCUCGGAAGUGGCCAUUACAGCCGACUACCCCCGCCCCUAUCCCUUCUCCAUCGUAAGUAUUCGAAGAGCUUUCAAAAAGGAACUUCCUACUUGCACCUUUGUCCAUUGUACUAAUCCGUACUCAACAGGAUCGGCGCUCGGCAGACCGCACCUCCUCAAGGGCGGCCCCUUCGCAGGGUAGUCAUUCAAAACGAAAGGAGGCUGGGGGCACCAUAGAACCCUCACUGUCUUCAAAAAGGUAUGUUCAUUUAAUAAGUGCCUAGGCACGAGUUCGGAUUAUUAAACCUCCCUUCUAUCUUUGAUUCAGGAGGUGCACGCGGCAAACAGUGGGAAAACGCGCUGCUAGCCGAAUGUCAGCCAAUCCGGCACCAGACUCGUUAGCUAGGACGCAGGCUGAUGCAGUGCCAAUUCCACCGCCUCAUGAGGAUUUGGAUGACGUAUCUGUCAUGAACUCCGAGGUGGAAAGCGUAAUGAACCACCGUCGACUGAAAGAGGCCAUGCGCGCUCCAGCCUUUUCCGAGCAAGAAUUUACGCACUCAGUUCAGUGGAUGCAUAUAUCCAAGCCACUAGCGACGGACUUGCCAGAGUCACUCAGCUGUUUUCGAAGGAUAUACAGGUAAAAGUUUAUGCAAUUUUGAUAGACAUACACCAGUAGCCGCUGAGACUUAAAGUGGUGAAGCCAACCAAUUUAAGGAUUGAUAUUACCUGCAGGUUCUCAAAGAGAAGAACACUGCCCUAGCCCAGGAGCUGAAAACAAACCUAAUGCAGCUGAAUGUCGUCGCCGCCGAACUGGCAGAAAUGAAAAAGGCCGCAAUGAACACAUCCAAGGGGAAAAACAUGAGGAGGAAAAAGACAAACAAGCCGAAGAGAUAGAGAGCUUAAAGGCUCGGUUAUCGGCCGCUCAAAAAUAAAAUGAGAAGUUGAAAGGCGGCAUGUUCGGUAUGUCUUUUAAAACCACCAUAUAGACUCGUGUUUAGUCCACAAUUCGGGAUGUCAUAAAUCUGUGGUUGUAGGUCUAUUAACUGGUCUACCGGAAGAAGAAGUAUCCGGAUUCCAAGGCGACGUGCGAAAGGAGCUGUCGGUGAUACAUGCGCGGGCCCGGAAGGCCAUGAGGACUAUUGUCAAGGCUUUAUGGCCAUCUGACACCCCUCCAGAAAGUAUGGAGGGUUUGGCAAGCCUGUUCAAAGGUGCCCGGUGCCGCUUUGAGCUAUGGAAGACAUCCGCCUGCCGUGAAGUCACACGAGAAGCCUGGGCGAUGGUGAAAACAUGCUUGACCAAGCUAGAUCUGAAUCAUAUAUGGCCCGAGUGGGACUGCAGGGACUGGAUGGGAAAGAAAUUCCUUUGAACUUGGUGUACGACCAAGUAAUGAUAGCUGCGAAAUAUUCGCAGGAAGACUGUAGGUUAGACAGUCUGAUAGAUGGAAUAGAUAAGGAAUAGGCAUUUGAUUCAAUGUAUUAAUGUACCUUAUGAUCAACCUGUAUUCUUCAACCGAACAUGUGAAAAAUUUGUCAUCGGAGGCUUUCGGCCUUAGCCUCCAGACCAAAAAGGUGGAGUGUUUCCGGAUACUAUAACGAAGGAAACAUUCAUUGUGUCCGGAAACCAGGCAACCCAGUCAUUAUGCUCGAACAGACAAAAAAUUUACUUCGGGCGGUAUCUUAUAUUACGUAUGUAAGAAACAUCUUCCAAGGAGAAUAGUUCCGCUAAGGGUUCCUUUCCCUGGGUUGGCAUGCUUUAAUUAUGCGUAGCUGGGCGUUAGUCCGUAUAACGGAAAAACUAUCCCGAAGUGUUAGAAGGGCUACGAAAAUGUAACAAUCCGUCGUUUGAUUGCCGACUAAUUAUUCUCUUAAGAACGCUAGCUUUCGGCUUCACCUGUCUGAGCUACAUGUCUGGAUGACCCGGUUGUAACAAUCGCAGAGGUGCUCCCUUAGCGCCCUAGCCGAACAAUUGGGAACGUAGGGCAUAAACACAGGAGCAAGGCAACCCAGCUUGGAAAAAACUUAAGUCAUAGAGGUGCAUGUAAUGGCAAAAAGAGUGUAUAUGAACAAACGACGUAUACAUUGUGAGCUCCAGGCUCUAAAUAAUAAUAAGCUUCGGUUAAAGAAUCCCCCAGGCGUCGUGGAGUGUAUACAUUUUAGGAUGUGUACCCCUUAAGUGUUCGUCCUAUCCGAACAUAUCCUGGGAGUCGUACAAAACGAGAAAAUAAAAAAGAAAUGAAGAGGAGAAAAAACGGAAAAGAAACAUGGCCGAACUUAGGCGUAGAAUCUUUGAAGCCGAGCAGCGUUGCAUGGAUUCGGCUCUAGGCGAUUAUCUGAUGCAUUACGAAGGCGAUAGGCUCCUCCUGUGAGAACUUCAUCUAUAAUGAAGGGGCCCUCCCAUUUUUGUUUGAGCUUGUCCUUCUUCUUCUUUGGGAGGCGUAAAAUGAGUUCGCCGACAUUAUAAGUCUUGGCCCGCACUUCUCUGCUUUGGUAUCGCCAAGCCUAUUGUUGAUAAAAUGUGGAACGGGCUUUUGCAAUGUCACACUCCUCCUCAAGGCCGUCUAAGUCAUCCCGCUGAUCGAGCUCGGCCUCUCUCUCUUCAUACAUGCGCACCCGAGGUGAGUCAUGAAUAAUGUCGCAGGGCAAGACAGCCUCUACGCCGUACACCAUAAAAAAGGGGGUACAUCCGGUCGUGCGAUUGGGUGUAGUCCGCUGUCCCCAGAGUACGGAAUCGAGUUCCUCGACCGAGUGUUUAUCUGACUCCCAUAGGGAUCACACUAGUCUGGGUUUGAUGCCGCUCAUUAUCAGGGCAUUAGCCCGUUCUACCUGACCGUUUGUUUGAGGGUGAUAUACGAAGGCAUAAUCGAGAUUAAUGCCCAAAUUAGCGCACCAAUUUUUUACCUCAUCGGCUGUGAAAUUAGAUCCAUUGUCAGUAAUGAUGCUAUGCGGGACACCAUAACGGUGUACCACGCCGGAUAUAAAGUCGAUCACCGGCCCGGCUUCCGCCGUUUUUACUGGUUUGGCCUCUAUCCACUUAGGGAAUUUAUCCACCAGAACCAACAAAUAUUUCUUCUUGUGGCAUCCCCCUUUAAGGGGUCCGACCAUAUCUAGCCCCCAGACCGCAAAAGGCCAAGUAAUGGGGAUUGUUCUUAAGGCAGUGGGCGGCAUAUGACUUUGAUUGGCGAAAGCUGACAUCCUACACAGCGUUGUACAAGGGCCUGUGCGUCUGCUCGGGCCGUUGGCCAAAAGAAACCUGUACAGAAGGCCUUGCUGACGAGGGCCCGAGCUGCGGCGUGAUGGCCACCAAGACCAGCAUGUAUUUUGGCCAAGAGCUGCCGUCCCUCCUCUUCGGAGAUGCAUCUUUGAAUAACCCCAGUAGUACUUUUGUUGUAGAGUUCACCUUCGUGAACUUUGUAGGCUUUAGAGCGUCGAACUAUGCGACGGGCCUCAUUCUAGUAAUCAGGUAAUUCCUACCUAUUAAGGUAGGCCAGGAAGGGUUCGGUCCAUGGAGCAAUGACUGCCAUGAUUACAUGGGCGGAAGGUGUCAUUUCGGUGCCCGAACCCCCGAUGAUAUCAGAAUUGUGUUCGGCAUCUGGGGGUAUGAUCGGCUCCGGACUAGCAUUUCCGCUCUCUUCCUGCCAUACUACGGAUGGCUUGAAGAGCCUUUCCACAAAGGUGUUGGGCAGGACGAGAUCGCGCUUAGCGCCCAUUCGAGCAAGGAUGUCCGUUGCCUGAUUACUGUCUCGAGCAACAUGAUGGAACUUGAGCCCCUCAAACUAUGUUGAUAUUUUGAGUACGGUGUUUCGGUAUGCCACCUUUUUUUGGGUCUUUUGCAUCUAAUUCGCCAUUUAUUUGGGAUAUUGCGAGGUUCGAAUCCCCACGCACCUCUAGGCGUUGUAUGCCCAUAGAGACGGCCAUUCGGAGACCAUGUAGAAGUGCCUCGUAUUGGGCCGCAUUGUUGGAGUCCGUAUACAUGAUUUGUAACACGUAGCGGAUAGUGUCCCCCGUAGGGGAUGUUAAGAUGACGCUAGCCCCCAGUCCGGCUAACAUUUUAGAGCCAUCGAAGUACAUGAUCAGUUGGAGUAUGUGUUGUACUCUUUAGGGAGUUCGGCUUCCGUCCACUCGGCUACAAAGUCGGCCAACACCUGAGAUUUAAUAGCUCGGCUUGGCUUGUAUUUUAUUUCAAAUGGUAAGAGCUCGAUGGCCCAUUUGGCUAUGCGGCCGGUGGCUUCCCGAUUAUUUAUGAUGUCAUUGAGUGGUACUUUGGAUGCCACUGUGAUCGAACACUCUUGAAAGUAGUGCCGCAGUUUCCAGGAUGCCAUAAAGACCGCAUAAGCUAUCUUUUGAUAGUGCGGGUAUCGAGAUUUGCAUGGUGUAAGGACCGCCGACACGUAGUACACUGGUUUCUGGAUUGGGAAUUUAUGUCCCUCUUCCUCUCGUUCGACGAUGAGUACGACACUUACCACCUGGUGAGUCCCCGAUAUAUAAAGCAACAUCGGCUCGCCAGCACCUGGUGUGGCUAGGAUUGGGUUGCCUGCUAACAAAGUCUUUAUUUCUUCUAAUCCAGCUAUAGCCACAUCCGUCCAUUAGAAGUGGUCGGUGCGUCGGAGCAGUCAAUAAAGUGGCAGGGUUUUUUCUCCCAAUAUGGAUAUAAAGCGGCUCAAGGCUGCCACGCACCCGUCGUUUUUGGACCUGCUUUAGGUCUGUUGGUAUUGCCAACUAUGACAAGGCUCAGAUUUUGGUUGGGUUCACUUCAAUUCCUCUAUUGGAAACAAUGAACCCGAACAGUUUCCCGAGUGGAACGCCGAAAACACAUUUUUCCGGAUUGAGCCAUAUGUCAUAUGUUCGGAGGUUGUCAAAUAUGAGGCGGAGGUCGUCCACCAGUGAUUCGACGUGUUUAGUCUUGAUGAUCACAUUGUCCACAUAUGCCUCCACUUUUUUGGCAAUUUGUUUUUCCAGACAUGUUUGAAUCAUGUGUUGGUAGGUGGCACCAGCGUUUUUGAGUCCGAAGGGCAUAGUGUUGAAGCAGAAAGGACCAUACGGGGUGAUAAAUGCCGUUGCGGCCUGAUCGGACUCCUUCAUCUUGAUCUGAUGGUAACCGGAGUAGGUGUCGAGGAAACACAAUGAAUCAUGUCCUGCAGUUGCAUCAAUGAUUUGGUCAAUGCGGGGCAAUGGGAAGGGGUCCUUAGGGCAAGCCUUAUUGGGGUUCUUGACAUCGAUACAAAGGCGCCAGGAUUUAUCCUUCUUCGGCACCAUGACCAGGUUCGCUAGCCAGUCCGGGUGUUUGAUUUCUCUGAUGAACCUGGCUUCAAGUAGUUUGGCUAGCUCCUCGCCCAUAGCUUGUCGUUUGGGCUCAAAAAAUUGCCGCAGUGUUUGCUUGACUGGUUUAAACCCCUUUAUUAUAUUGAGGCUGUGUUCGGCCAGUCUGCGUGGGAUUCCGGGCAUGUCCGAAGGAUGCCAGGCGAAGAUGUCCCAAUUUGCACGCAGGAAUGCUCGUAGGGAGGCAUCGACCGUCGGAUCCAGCUGGGCUCCAAUGGAUGCUAUUUUGUUGGGAUCCGUCGGGUGCACUUGAAAUUUGAUGAUUUCAUCUGCUGGUUUGAAAGAUGUGGAUUUAGGCCUCUUGUCGAGGAUUACAUCGUCUUUGUCCACUAUGGAACACAGAGUGGUUAACUCUUCGUCCGCGAGGGCCUCAGAUAGUGCCUCGAGGGCCAAGGAUGAGGUUUUGUUUUUGGCACGGAGUGCUAUAUCCGGAUCACUGGUGAUAGUGAUUACUCUGUUGGGCCCUGGCAUUUUAAGCUUCAUGUACCCGUAAUGGGGUAUGGCUUGGAACCGUGCGAAGGCGUCCCGCCCCAAAAGGGCGUGGUAUCCGCUAUUGAAAGGGGCCACGUGGAAGAGAAACUCUUCGGACCUGUAGUUAUCAGGUGUGCCGAAUACUACAUCGAGUUUAAUUUUCCCCGAGCAUCGUGCUUCUCGACUGGGGAUAAUACCUCGAAAGGUGGUACUGCUUUGCUCGAUGCGGCUCUUGUCCAUUUGCAUUUUGUAGAGCGUAUCUUCGUAGAUGAGGUUAAGUCCGCUUCGACCGUCCAUGAGCACCUUGAUAAGUCGAAAGCCGUCCACAAUUGGGUUUAAGACCAAGGUGGCUGGUGCUUGGACUGAUCAGGCCCUUGGUUCGUCGGCGGCGGCGAAAGUUAUGGCCGUAUCGCUCCAAGGGUUUAUUGCGGUUACUUGGUUGACUUUGGCGAGGUCGCGGAGCACCCUUUUGUGCCGAUUAUUUGAAGAAAAGGUCUUGAAGACCAAAGACGUUGGGAUCGUCAUCCUCCGAAGAGUGCUUCUCUAGGGUAGUAUUGGUGAUGAUAGCCUCACCGCUCUUAGCCACUUGUCGAAAUACCCAACAUGCCCGAAGGCUAUUCAUUGGUUCGGUGCUCGGCGUAGUAUGUAUCUGACAUGGCUUGUCGAGCAGUUCGUCAAGGACUGUUCUAUAUCCCGUGAAGGGUUUGUUUUUCUUGUCAACGGGCUUGUGGUCGGAAGUUUCGUAAGGGUGCAUCCAUUUUCCCCGUACGGUGGUUUGCUUAAAGGUAGGGGGUUCCCAUCGGGCUGUCUGGGCCUUCCAUGUGCUUUCCAUUGCGUAGUACUUCUGUACUAUGUGUGUCAAAUCUGCCAAGUGCUGUAUGCGGCGGCGGUUGAGGGCAUUGAGAAUUCCCUCGUCCGUACAGUUACGACAAAAAACUGAAGCUGCGUCGUCGUCGCAGCAACCUUUAAUCUUGUUUUUAACAAGGAGGAAUCUGGCCCAGAAGUGAUGGACUAUUUCCUGAGGUUGUUGCCGAACAUACAUUAGGUCACAUAUGUCUGGAGGCCCUGAAUUUCUUGGGGAGCAUUGCUUGUGGUGGGUGGGUGGGCUAAGAUCCGAACCCUAACCCACGAUUGGAUCCGGAGUUUGAAGAAUCUCCGAGGUCACCAGUUCAGGAUCAGCAAGGUCCUAAAGACUUCCGGGCUUAAUGCCUGAUCCUAUGUUUGGGGGACAUGUAGUCUCCUCCCGAGGCUGGGUAUCCAGCUUACAGGGCUCAGAGAUCCGAACAUAGCUGGUGCUUAACUUAGGGGGAGAAGCAUUCUCAGCUCGUUCCUCAACGACCGCUACCAGAUGGGUGAUCGGCUGGGACUUGAUUUCCCUCUGAUCGGGUUUAAGCCCAAUCCGAUCAUAGUCUAUCGUGACUCCGAGGGCGGCGAUGCGAUCUAGCAGCUCGUUCAAGGACGAGACAUCUGUCGGAUCCCUCUUUUCAGAGUGUUCGAGGCUGACGCGGAGAUGAUGUUUGCUGAUUGUGGGGGCCGCCAUUGGCUUGAUGGCCAAGCGAGCGCCCAUGGUAAAAGCGCCGAGCUGGAGGACCUGACCUGGAGUUAGGGCCCUUCCAGAAGUAAUAUUGUCACUAAUGACAAGUCGAGUCAUCGAUCCUUCUAUCAACAAGACAAAGGAACUCUCAAUGAAAGCACCAAUGUCGGUGUCAAAACCGGCCAAUCUCGGGUAGGGCGUCCCGAACUCUACGUCUGAGGAUCGAAGGUAACAGGAGACAAAGGGGACACGAUGUUUACCCAGGUUCGGGCCCUCUUAAUGGAGGUAAAACCCUACUUCCUGCUUGAUUGUCGUUGAUGAGUAUAGGGGUUACAAGAGUUGAUCGACCUCAAGAUCGUAAUGGCUAAACCCUAGCUGCCUAGCGUAUGUAAAUUCUGAUAGUCUCUAUGAACUAAACCCUCCGGUUUAUAUACACUACCGGAGGGGUCUAGGGUGACACAAAGUUGGCUUGUGAAGGAAGGAAAUUACAUAUCCGGACAUCAAUCUUGCCGUCCACGCAUAGAAGAGUCCUACCCGGACACUGGGGAAGGCCUUCCGCCUUGAAUCUUCACGGCCCAUCAGUCCGGCCCAUAUCAAAUAUCCCGGACACCCGAAGACCCCCUAGUCCAGGACUCCCUCAGACGUACAACCACCGACCGGUAGCAUCGGAACCGAUCUGGCGCGGUGGCCGCUGCCGGCGCCGUCCACCCACAACACCUCCCAUGCACUAGUACGCGUCGGCGCUAUACAAUCGGUUUUUAACCCCUUUCGACGACGACAUUUGGAACCGUCGCCUAGUGAGUGACGGCGAUAUGGGGGUCCUUCCCACACGAUCCAGAAACCGUCUGGGAUAGGGAGCCUUGAUGCAUACAGUUGUCCCUAUAUAACCAUUUUCGAUAUCUCGAAUAUCCCAAACGCUUCAUCCUUGCUACUCGUUUGUGCUUGCAUUUCCAUCACAGUCGGAGUUUUGUGGUUUUACCUAAAUCCAAGCAGAUUCCAGGCACGGGAGUUUUCCAGGCAGAUUCCAGGCACGGGAGUUUUACGAUGCCUGGCACAUCACAAACAGUUCAUGAUUAUAAACCGUGUACGAUAGGUAGACAAUCACACACAUUUAGUUUUCCCGCACCGUAUGCGAUAGUGUCUGACUUCACACACGCUUUGCAAACGGCAACUGUGUGCAUUGUUACAAAUGUUUCCUCUCCGUGAACCGUGUCGGAUUAUGAUGUAUAUCGCACACUCUGUGCUUUAUUAACCGUGUGCGCCGUAAUGACCUGCACACCCUAAUUUUACCCUAACUUAAUUGCUGCUAUUUAAAAUUGUACCUAAUUUAAACUUGAAAGUUGGCUUUAGCUUUAUUCAUAUCCAUCAGGUUCAAACAACCAAUGCAUUAUUCGAUUCACAGGUACAUAUGUUUAAGAAUUACAUAAGCACCAAAUAAAGAAUGAUGAACCAGGGUUCUAUACUUGUAGUAUUACAGAUGGUAAAGAAAGAGGCGACAAACAUUCCGGUUGCUGAACAAGGUGAAGCGGAAUGGCCCUAUUGUGCUCUCCUAGAUGCGUAAGGCAUGCAGGACUCUAGUCCAACCCCUUGUGAUGGUCGGCCGUCAAUCAUGUAGUUUGAGAGGUAAUCUUGAGUAAAUUGCUUCAGGAUCACUGCAAAGGAAAAAAUAUUCAGACAUUGUCAUCUAACACAACUCAUUACGGGCAGUAAAAAGAAGGCUACAUGGUUCUUACCAUCCUGCAGUUUACUGCUGUCUUGCAUAAAGUUUAAACAAAUAGUUCGAUUGAUGUCUUUGGACCCAUUUUAAUAGCAAUCUUUAUCAGUUUCUUCACUUGAUGCUGGUUCAUGAAUAUCUCAUUACCCCAGAAAGGGUCGAAGUGUGGAACUUUGGCAAUGAUAUAUGUACCUAAAAGCACCAAGUUAAUAUUAGAAACUAAACAACAAUUGAAAACUGAUGUAGUACAACACUCCCUCCAUCCCAUUAUAUAAGAUUUUAUUACAUGUAUAUCUAGACAUCAUCAGAACAUUAAGGUAACACUCUUCCUUGUUGCUAUGUAGCAUGGGAUUGCAUAUUUAGUCAUUAAGUACAAUGUAUGUUGCUAUGUAGCCUCAGAUAUAAUUAAAUAUGGCCCUAGUUAACCUACUGAUAAAUGGGUUACAGAUAUAUUCAGUGAAAUGUCCGAUUCGACGAUUAAUCCCCUAUCAGCCCCAGGCUAUAUGGUACCAGCUACCGAUAUCCCGAACAGUGAGUACAUAUAAGCAAUGCGAUGAAAAUAACCUCGAUGGAAAACGACACUGUUCUCAAUAUUGUCCUGCAUGAGUACAUAUAAAGGCAUGUUAAGCACAACAGGCUAAACAUCAACCAAAUAUAUCCAUGGUAGACAACAUAAUGUACAAAUGAUAGCUUUAGUGUGCAGGCUUAAGCACGCUAGUUAAGCAAAACAAGAAGUGGAAAGGUGUGUUAACUGCAUCAGGCAUAACAUUUAAAAACAAGCAAAUAGUCAUUCAAACUGGUAUUGUGCAGGUCUAAACUACACUAGUUAUUGUUAAAAAACAAAAAGGCAUGUUAACUGCAAUAUCCUUAACAACAACCAAAUAUCGUAAUUCAUAGUGGUCUUGUUGAAACUGUUAUUGAUGAAAUUGAACUGCACGGCAAAUAGUUGCACAUAUAGAGUAUCACAUUGUGAAGAACUGAAAUAAACAAGUCAUAAGGCCAUCUCUAGCCGAUCCUUGAAAAGUUAAAGGAGUAAAACCCUUAGUGGAUAUAUACUCCAGCAAUUUUUGACCUUUUCUAGUCGGUCCCCUAAACUUAACAUUGUAAGCUUCAAUUUGAUCAAGUUCCAAGCAAGUUCAACCGAAAGUAGCAUGCAUUCAAACAUAAACAUAGAUAGUUUUUCAUAACCGAACAUAAAACAUAAAUUUAAACUAGGCUAAACUACUUUCGGUCGAAGAACAGGUCGAGCCAAUCCAUCCUCGUCAUGUACGGUGUGCCGCGAGCCGGGUCCCGGCCGGUGCCAUCGUCGGGGUUGUUGGGGAAGGAACUCAUCCACUCGUCGACGUCAAUCUCCGUCCUCGGGGCCCACCUCGACGCCCUCCGCGCCGCCAUCACCGCCGCCUUUGACCUCGUCAUCGGAGGAGAGCGCGAUAACCUCGUCGGCCUCCACGCUGCCGUCUUCGCCGCCUUCGACCUCGUCAUCGGAGGAGAGCGCGAUAACCUCGCCGCCCUUCGCGGUGGAAAAGAUCGCCCGCUCCGCCUCCACGAGCUCCAGAUGCUGCCGGUGGAGCUCUUGCAUGUAGGCCUCGUCGGCGACCUUGGUCUCGAGGCGCUCCCAUCCUUCGCGGUCCUCCCGCGCCAUAGCCGAGCUCACCACCCCUGGCUCCAGCAGAACGAGGUUGACCGGACUUGUGCUGAAGGGGAAAUUGAGCCAAGCCGCCACGCCGUGGUAGCGGACCUGCCAGCGGUCGAACUCCAUGGCCGCGAGCUCGACCGUGUGGAAGCUACCAAGCCACCAGUGGGUGUGGGUCUCCCGAUCUGUAAUCUAGGCAACCCUCGUCCCCCACCGCCGCUGCCGGACCCCGAGGUAGGACCUCAUAGGCUGCCGGGUCCGAGGGAGGACGGGGAAGUCCUCGAACCGGCGUAGGGGCGUGGCGGCGGGUGGAUCGGGGGACCAGCGACAGCGGAUCGAGCCCGCGGAGGACGAUGGGGACACCUCGGCGGCAACCUUGCCGGCGUCGGGUGAAACGGCCGCGAUAAACCUCUUUUUGGCCAUUGGCUCCUCGAGCUCCCCGGCACAUAGGCAGAGGUUGAGGAUGGAGGCGCCGGUGAUGGCGGCGACCUACCAAUGGUUUCGAGGGUUGUGUGUCUCUGUGUGAGCGGAGGUUUUGGGGAGUGUGUAGUGUGAGUGGAUGGGGGGCGGGGGGCGGGGGUGAGGGAGUUCUGGACUAAGGGGUCCUCGGGCGUCCGACCUAUUAUCCAUGGGCCGGACUGAUUGGCUGUGAAGACAUGAAGGCCGAAGACUGUACCCGUGUCUGGAUUGGACUCUCCUUGGCGUGGAAGGCAAGCUAGGGGACCAACUAUGAAGAUUCCCUCUGAUGUAACCGACUCUAUGGAACCCUAGGUCCCUCCGGUGUCUAUAUAAACUGGAGGGCGUAGUCCGGAAGGCGGAUAUUCAUUACCAUUGUCAUACAUGCUAGGCUUCUAGGUUUUAGCCAUUACAAUCUCGUGGUAGAUCAACUAUUGUAAUACUCAUAUUCAUCAAGAUCAAUCAAGCAGGAAGUAGGGUAUUACCUGUCAGGACCGGAUUUUCGGGGUAUCAAUUUCCCAAAAAUGGUCCUUGUGCUCACCAGCCCCAGGAUUGCUGUUAGCUGAUGAGGCACCAACUUGAUACAGAACUUCCUAGCAAAUUACAAAAUAUGUGGUACAAGACCAUUCUGGCCUAUGAGUACAACAAAUGGUUUCUAGUGGUUGAUGGCGGAAGCGGUUUGUGGUUCAUCAGUGGCCAUGGGACUCCAUUUCCCACAGGAACAGCUGACCAGGAUAACUCCUAUCUUCGCGAGGCUGCUAUCAUCAUUGCGUAGGUUCCGGGGCAGUCGUCGCAACGCUCCUCUCCAUGCAAGAAAUCUGGCCAAGACAAUAGCCAGGGACAAGCCAGUGAGUACUUUGAAUGUACUCGCAAACAUUAUGAACACAGGUAUAAUAUAACAAAUGUAGCCAGGGACAAGCCACGAAAUAAAAAUCCAUGAUGCACGUAAGCAGGUUGUUCAUAUGAAUAUGCAAUAAGGGAGCAGAAAUAGAAUGCACCGAUCGGGUGUCUGAAGCGACGCCUCGAAAGGAUAAUAAUAUAAAGCAUGCCUCAGUCGGGCGUCUGAGCGACACCACAUAAAGGGCUUAUAAAUAAUUUAAAAUAACAAGCGUGCCACAGUCGGGUGUCUGAGCGACACCGCAUAAAGGGCUUAUAAGUAAUUUAAAUAACAAGCAUGCCACAGUCGGGCGUCUGAGCGACACCACAUAAAGGGCUUAUAAGUAAUUUAAAUAACANNNNNNNNNNGUCUGAGCGACACCGCAUAAAGGGCUUAUAAGUAAUUUAAAUAACAAGCAUGCCACAGUCGGGCGUCUGAGCGACACCACAUAAAGGGCUUAUAAAUAAUUUAAAAUAAGAAGUGUGCCACAGUCGGGCGUCUGAGCGACACCACAUAAAGGGCUUAUAAGUAAUUUAACAAGCAUGCCACAGUCGGGCGUCUGAGCGACACCACAUAAAGGGCUUAUAAGUGAAUAAUCGCAGUGAGUAUCCAGGAGGUAGAACUGUCCCAGGGAUACUCAAUAAUUCAAAUAAUGUAAAUGGUUAGUCCACAAUAAUAAUAAUCAUAAUCCUCAUAUGUCACAGGUCAUAAUCAGUGUUCCGGUUUAGCAGUUUUUCCUCCAAAGACCGACACUAAGACCGACACUUGACCCAUCCCAGACUGUAGUCCUUAACCAUGGACACGGCUAUUCGAAUAGAUAUAAUCUCUGCAGAGGGUGUACUCUUUACCCACGUAACGGAUUUCUUUAGUCCAUCGGGACUAAUUCCGUCUACGGUCUUCUAAUUGAAAACACACCUAACCGCACACACCAGCCUAACUUACCGGUGUCUGGAAUCACCCACGACACCCGUUAAGCGAAACUCUAAGUGGGGAGGCUACAACCUCGAUUAGCAUGGGAUCACAAAAUUUAUACCGCGCGCAAACUAGGGGAGCUACCCCUUCGGCUCCAACCGAAAACACCCAUGCCCCCGGACCAGGUGGCAUGCCUACCGGGGGCCUCCGGUAUCUUCCACCAUGGCCUCUCUGUACGGUGUGUGCUAGGAAGGGGUUGACAACUUACUGAACCGUACCCUACCUGUGGCAGGGACAAGUGGUAGUACGAAACAAGUAUGGGGGUUACUGGAACAACACUCGAUCUACGGUCGACUCAGGAGGUUUAAGUAUUCCCUGCAUGGUUAGCAUAACAAAUAUGUUUCAACCAACAGAUUAAAUCACCACUCAUCAUACCUCACUAUGCCGUACCAGACACAACCGUCUCGACGAAGACUGGAGACAAGCCCGUGUCUACCCAAGAUAGAGACUUUCCCGGAUUCCUUCCGGUAGGCAUGAAAGGCAUACAAGGGUGAUUACUAUCACAAGCAUAUCAAAUUCCAACAGCAAGGAACAUUCAUUAUGCACUCAUGAGUAUGAUCAUAUCAUCACAUAAAAUAAUGAAUACUUUGUGUUAAGGUGGUGUUGUAACCGUAUCAAACAACACACAUAAUAUUAUGCCAGGGUUCAGAAUGCUUGCCUUCAAGAGUAUGCAAGUGGGGUGCAUUUUUUUGAAAGUUGCUUCCUUCUUCAAAAUCCUAUUUUUGAGAAUAUUCAAAUUAACGCAUAGUUUCAAAACAGUACAAAAAAGUUGUUUGGAAAAUUUUCAAAUAAAUAUGAAAAUAAACUAGACAGAAUUUGAGAAACAACAGAAAAAGAAUCAAGUCAAUUGGACUUAUAUUUAAAAAGUUAUAGCCAGUCAAAGUUUAGNNNNNNNNNNNNNNNNNNNNNNNNNNNNNNNNNNNNNNNNNNNNNNNNNNNNNNNNNNNNNNNNNNNNNNNNNNNNNNNNNNNNNNNNNNNNNNNNNNNNNNNNNNNNNNNNNNNNNNNNNNNNNNNNNNNNNNNNNNNNNNNNNNNNNNNNNNNNNNNNNNNNNNNNNNNNNNNNNNNNNNNNNNNNNNNNNNNNNNNNNNNNNNNNNNNNNNNNNNNNNNNNNNNNNNUGGGUCCCUUGGGCCCACUGGUCAGGUUUGACCAGUCGCCCGCGCCUCCCGCCUCCUCUGUCCGAGCGGUGGCGGGGUUCCGGCGAUUGACGCCGGCGAACGGCAGCUCCCCACUGGGUUCCGAGGGCAGGGAUGGAUCCGCCAGUCCAGGGCGGUCCUCCCGGUGGUCGAACGGCUGGCGGGGGCGAAGGGAGUCGCCGGCGGCGAGCUCCGCGGUGGAGGUGGCUUCGGGAGGAUUGGGGACUAGAGCUACGAUGGCUCCCCGUCGAAGCUGAGAGGUUGGGCGGCUCCGCACGAUCGAGGGGAGGAGGAUGGAAGCACUGGAGGGACGGGAAAGGCUCUGCUUGCGACGUAUAGCACCGGAGCGUGGCGGCGGCCGAACUGAUCGAAGACGAGGAAGAAGGCUUCCCGCCGUCGAUUGCUGGCCGUGGGGGCUUUAGGGGAAUGGCUUGAGGUCGCCUGAGUGUCUGGACGGGCUCGGGGGCUCCUUUUAUAGGCGACCGAGGUCGGUUCCGCGGUGGCCGGGGAUAAGCUCGACGGCGAACCGCCGUUCUGUUGUUGCAGGGCGACGUGGCGGCGACGAGCGCUUGCAGAUGAGCUCGAGCUGUUCCAGGGGCAGCUGGCGCGCGCGUGUGGCUUGGGCGGCGCCGUCCAUGGCAGAGGCUGCUGCGGCCCCCCGCUCGCUGCCAUGGCCGACCUGACGGCGGCGCUGUAGGGUGCCAGGGGGGACUUGGAUGGUUCUGGCAAGUGGAUGAGGACGGGCGUGGCUCUGCGAGCGAGCAAAGGCCAGGGGGGCGGGGUGAGCGAAUGCGGCGGCUCGGUUGCACGCGCGCGUGCAAAACGUGCGCUCCGGGCGCGCCCAGAGCACGCACGCCAGGCGUUCGGCAAAAUGCCAAGGCAUGCCAGGAGGCUUGGGUGGAGCUGGGGUUUAACAGGUCUAGGUUAGAGUAAUCUAGGGACUUAGUGGACACGUUGGUUUGGUCAGGGGAUCAAGAUCACAAUGCAAAUAUGAAACUAUGCCAAAUCUGUUCAUGCACUCAAGGUGUUCGACAGAAUGCUAUGGGCAUCUAGGAAAUUCUCGGGGUGGCCAAAAACUCCAGGUCCUAGUCUCUUUGGAUGAUAAAGAGGGUGGCAAGGUUAGUUUGUUAGAAACAAAAACUUGUUAGUGCAAGUUUUUGAGAAAACCAAAUCUGGACAGAAACUAAAGGCUAUCUUUGCAUGGACCAAAAUUUUCUCCAAUGGGUCCACUCUCCUGGACUUAAGAAUUUUGCAGGGUGGACUAUAAGCAGGAAAAAGAAUCAUGAACAACAGAGCAAACAAAAAUAGAGUUGCAGUAGAAAAUGCCAAACUGGACCAGAGAGCAAAAGAGGAUGAUUUGCUCAAAUUUUUCAAAGAACACUCAUGGGUUUUUGCAUAAAGUUGAAUUAUAUGCAUCUACUGACAUCUCCAAACACUUGGAAGAAUUUUUAAACAAAUAUUUAAAUAGGUUGUAGUGCAAAAUUACCAACUGGACCAGAUUUGAAAAUUUGGUGUAGAGCUCAAAAUCUCUAAUGACCCAAAGAUAUUUUUGCAUAAAAGUGAUGUGGAAACAUCACAUGACAUCCCCAAAUUUUGGUUGAAAUUUUAAAGAAGUAUUUGAAAGGGUUACAGUGCAAAAGAGGCUCCAUAACUUAUGAAAAAUCAUUUUUAGAAGAAUAAAGCUCGGGAAAACAAUUAUGCAAAUAAACCCACUGAUAAAAGAAAUGUUUUCUUCAAAGGGCAUACAAGUCCAAUAAUAUUUUUGGAAGGUUUUCACUUGGGGUAAAAACUUCACAAUAUCAAAGAAAAGAGAGGUUCUGAAAUCAAAAGAUAAAUCCAGAAAAUAAAAAUUUAAUUUCCUGGCAAAAUUUUAAUAAACAAAAUAUGGUUAAAUUUUUGGGGUGUUACAUUACCUCCAUAGAGAGGGCCCGAACCUGGGUAAAACAUCGUGUCCCCCGUCUCCUGUUACCAUCGAUCCUAGACGCACAGUUCGGGACCCCCUACCCGAGAUCCGCCGGUUUUGACACCGACAUUGGUGCUUUCAUUGAGAGUUCCACUGAGUCAUCGACAAAAGGUCCGAUGGCCCCUUCAAUCGUCGAUAGUGACGCCGUCCAAAGGGAAACCUUCCUUCCCGGACAGAUCUUUGUGUUCGGCGGCUUCGUACUGCGGGCCAACUCGCUUGGCCAUCUAGAGCAGGUCGAUAGCUACGCCCCGAGCCAUCAGGUCAGAUUUGGAAGCUUGAAUUACGUCGCGGACAUCUGUGGAGACUUGAUCUUCAACGGAUUUGAGACCGCGGCGAUCGCUCCCCCUCGCUCCGAUGAACAUGACUUAAAUCUGUCCUCGGACCACAAUCAGGCGAUAGUUCCUGAUACUAUUCCGGCCUCGGAUCCUGAGCAGACCAUGCCAUCCAGGGCCACGGAAUCCGCGGCAUUGGAGCUACGUACAGACUCAACCUCAUACAAUACCUGCACAACCGGAACCCCGGGAUCGUUUCCGGCUAUAAGCUCCGAACUGCAUACACCUGCGGACGUCGAACUUGAUCGUUUAUCGAUCUUCGAAUUCAGCGCCGCAUACAUAUUUCAGCACUCACCUUUGGGCGAUGUGCUAAACUCUUUUAAGAACUUGUCCUUGGCGGGAGACUCACAGCCGAACUACGUCCGGUUCGAACUAGGGGCUGAAGAUGGCGAAUUCAGCUUCCCACCCGCCACCCACUUCAUAGCCACUGUCGAAGACUUAACCGACGAGCUUGAUUAUGGCUCUGAAGACAUUGACGGUAUGGACGACGAUGCCGACAAGGAGCAAGGCCAGGACCCGCCAUUCACUGGACGAUGGACGGCCACCUCCUCAUAUGACGUCUACAUGGUAGACAUGCUGAAAAAUAGCGGCGAUGACAUGGAAAAUCCGGCCAAGGAGGACCCUCCUAAAACACAACCAAAGCACCGUCGUCAGCGGCGCCACUCUAAGUCCCGCCGCAGCAGGGAUAGCAACAUCGGCACAGGAGACGAUAACACUCCGGAUGGUGCCGAGGACACAGAAGAACCCGAUGAACAAACCACCGAACAAGACAAUCGGGAAUCAGGGCAUGCCAGCCCAGAUGAACAGGCCAUAGAAAAAGACUCGAAGGACGAUAGUUACGGUCCGCCCUCCGAGGAGGAGACGAGCCUCGGCCACGAAGACUUCAUCGUGCCUGAGGACCCCCUGGAGCAGGAGAGCUUUAAGCUUCAGCUCAUAGCCACCGCAAGGAGCCUGAAAAAGAAGCAGCAGCAGCUUUAAGCCGAACAAGAUCUGCUCGUCGAUAGAUGGACUGAUGUCUUGAAAGCCGAAGAAUACGGCCUCAAGCGCCCAGACAAGAGCUACACGAAACGCAGACUGCUACCUCAGUUCGAUGAGGAGGCGCCUGAGCCCAUAUCUCCCUCGCGCAAUGCGGAACGACCACCACGUGGUCGAGACAGUGCAGCGUCCCGACCACCCCGUGGUCCGGAUAAAGAGACAACUCAGGCCGAGCAGCAGCCUACCCCACCGCCCCGUAAAAAUAGAGACGGAACGAUUCGGGGUCACACGUACGACUUCUGGCAAACCCUGGACAGUAGAGCAGGACAUACAAGAUCGAUCUACGGAUCGCGAGGGCGUGCCUCGAGACACGACGACGGCUACCUAUUCGGACGUGAUAAACCUAACCACGACCAGGCCGAAUGUCGCAGACGGACUCCAUCAGAGCUACGUCGUGAUGUGGCCCGAUAUAGAGGUGCCGCACACCCUCUCUGCUUCACAGAUGAAGUACUGGAUCAUGAAUUUCCCGAGGGGUUCAAGCCCGUCAAUAUUGAAUCGUACGACGGAACAACCGAUCCCACAGUAUGGAUCGAGGAUUUCAUUCUCCACAUCCACAUGGCCCGAGGAGACGAUCUCCAUGCCAUCAAAUACCUCCCACUAAAGCUCAAAGGGCCAGGCAGACACUGGUUAAACAACCUACCUGAAAAUUCCAUCGGCAGCUGGGAGGACUUGGAAGAAGCUUUUCUUGACAACUUCCAAGGUACUUAUGUCCGGCCACCAGACGCCGUUGACUUAAGUCAUAUAGUUCAACAACCUGGAGAAUCAGCCAGAAAAUUCUGGACUAGGUUCCUAACCAAAAAGAACCAGAUCGUUGACUGUCCGGAUGCCGAAGCCCUAGCGGCCUUCAAACACAGCAUCCGUGACGAAUGGCUCGCCCGCCACCUCGGCCAGGAAAAGCCGAAAUCCAUGGCAGCCCUUACGACACUCAUGACCCGCUUUUGCGCGGGUGAAGAUAGUUGACUGGCUCGUAGUAAAAACACAGCCAACGAGGCAGGCCCCUCCGAGGCCAAAAGCAGCACCGGCAAGCUCCGGCGCAAUAGACACAAACGCCGAAGCAAUGGCGAUAACACCGAUGACACUACGGUUCAUGCCGGAUUCAGUGGUUCCAAGUCCGGCCAGCGGAAGAAGCCCUAUAAAAGGAACAACGAGGGACCAUCCAGCUUGGACCGCAUACUCGACCGUCCGUGCCAGAUGCAUGGCACCCCAGACAAGCAAGCCAACCAUACCAACAGAGAUUGUUGGGUUUUUAAGCAGGUCGGCAAGUUAAAUGCCGAGAACAAGGAAAAGGGAUCACAAAGUGAGGACGAUGACGAAGAGCCCGGGUAGCCGAACACUGGGGGGCAGAAGAAAUUUCCCCCUCAAGUCAAAGCGGUGGACAUGAUAUACGCUACACACAUCCCCAAAAGGGAGCGCAAGCGCGCACUCAGGGACGUCUACGCAGUAGAGCCAGUCGCCCCAAAAUUCAAUCCGUGGUCGUCAUUCCCGAUCACCGUUGAUCGUCGAGAUCAUCCAACAUGUAUCCGCCAUGGCGGCUCGGCUGCACCGGUCCUCGACCCAACCAUCGACGGAUUUCACCUGACACGGGUCCUAAUGGACGGUGGUAGCAGCCUCAACCUGCUCUAUCAGGAUACAGUGCACAAAAUGGGCAUCAAUCCCUCACGAAUCAAACCCACAAAGACUACCUUUAAAGGAGUUAUACCAGGUGUAGAGGCCCGUUGUAUGGGUUCGAUCACACUGGAGGUGGUAUUCAGUUCCCCAGACAACUUCCGAAGCGAGGAGUUAAUCUUUGAUAUUGUCCCCUUCCGUAGCGACUACCACGCACUGCUUGGACGAACCGCGUUCGCUAGAUUCAACGCGGUGCCACACUAUGCUUAUCUCAAGCUCAAGAUGCCCGGUCCACGCGGCGUCAUAACUGUCAAUGGAAAUACGGAACACUUCCUCCGCACAGAGGAGCACACCGCCGCCCUAGCAGGAGAAGUUCAGAGCGGCCUUUUCAAGCAGAACCGCAAUCCGGCUGCCGAGCCCCUGGACACCGUUAAGAAGGUCCAGACCACUCUGCAACAGGACAGCUCGGCUCGUCAAGAGCUCGAUUAGCAAUUCGGCCUCCGUCCCAGUCCCAAUAUGGUAGUGGCAUUCAUACCACGCGUACAUAAUUACGCACUGAAAAUUCCAUGGGCAUUGACGGAGGCAGACCUAGCUUGUGGUCCACAGUACGGCUCGACUGACCCCGGACCCACACAUACUCACCUUUUUUCUUUUUAUUUGUUUUAGGUUCCUUUUCCCGCGGGCCUGAUCACCAGUCCUUUCGAGGAUCGGCAUACAAAGGCGGCAAGCCGUAUAGGUGUGUAGGGUAACAUCUAUACGUUCUUCUUGACGGUAUCUCUACUCCUAUAAAAAAACGAGUUGGUGAUGAUGGCGUGUCUGCCUUCACGUCAUCUAUGUCGUCCGAUCGGCAAUGUAUGGCUGAGAUUGAGACAAGCCAUGGGCCACUUGCACUUUUGCAAAAGCACCCUGUGCUUAGACAUAAUUUUGGAGCAGGGACAUCCCAUACUAGUAUCAUAAUUUCACCCCCAUAGCAUGUGCAAAAAAGUAGAGAGGGUUACCGCAAAAACUGGAUGCACUUCGUGUAUAAAAUGGACAAUCUCUUUCGAAGUAUCAGGGUUUCGGACGAAAACUCAUCCGUUACAAAGGGAUUUCAUUUUUUAAAUAACCUAAGCAUUACCAAAUUGAAUAUAAUGAUAAAACACACUAAUGUUAAACAUAAGAAAAAAGAAUCACUGAAAAUCUAUUUUCAAAGUUAAGUUAUUCACAAACUAGUGAUUCACACAAAUUUCAAAUAAUUCAAAAUGUAAACUAUUCAAAUUUGUAAACUACCGGCACUAACAGAAAGUUUGUAAUUUUUUGUACCUAAAGCAAAAAUAUUCCCAAAGAAACUCUAAAUACAGCAAAAAACAACUCAAAAAUAAAUAAACCAAAAAUAAAUAAAGCAAAAAAAAUAAGAAAAUAAAAAGCCCACCUACUGGGCCAGAGCGGCCUGCGUACGACUAGAAACCCAACCUGUAGUUGGGCCAGGAUGCAGGCCCGCAAGCCCAGUAGGCCCACAGGCAGAGUUGGAGAGCUAGGCCCAGAAGGCCUGCUAUUGAGAGGAGCUCAAUGCAGUGCCCGCGUCGGAGCUUAUAAACUGGUCCUAGCGCUCCUCAACUAGCGAGGUGGGACUAAACUUCUGCGCCCCUCGCCUGGCAGCGCACACCCUUUAGUACCGGGUGGUGGCUCCAACCGGUACUAAAGGGGGGGUCUUUAGUACCGGUUGGUGCCACCACCCGGUACUAAAGGGGUGCGCUUCCCGCCGCUGGGGCUGGCCAAAUUUGACCUUUAGUACCGGUUGGUGGCUCCAACCGGUACUAGAGGCCCAUCUUAUAUAAGUAGCACUUAGAAAUUUCGUCAGUUUUCAUCUGCUUCUUCUCCUCUGCCCCGUCGCCCGCCACCCCCCNNNNNNNNNNNNNNNNNNNNNNNNNNNNNNNNNNNNNNNNNNNNNNNNNNNNNNNNNNNNNNNNNNNNNNNNNNNNNNNNNNNNNNNNNNNNNNNNNNNNNNNNNNNNNNNNNNNNNNNNNNNNNNNNNNNNNNNNNNNNNNNNNNNNNNNNNNNNNNNNNNNNNNNNNNNNNNNNNNNNNNNNNNNNNNNNNNNNNNNNNNNNNNNNNNNNNNNNNNNNNNNNNNNNNNNNNNNNNNNNNNNNNNNNNNNNNNNNNNNNNNNNNNNNNNNNNNNNNNNNNNNNNNNNNNNNNNNNNNNNNNNNNNNNNNNNNNNNNNNNNNNNNNNNNNNNNNNNNNNNNNNNNNNNNNNNNNNNNNNNNNNNNNNNNNNNNNNNNNNNNNNNNNNNNNNNNNNNNNNNNNNNNNNNNNNNNNNNNNNNNNNNNNNNNNNNNNNNNNNNNNNNNNNNNNNNNNNUUUUUAAGUUAUAGAAAUAUUUAUAGAAAUGUUAGCAAUUUUUCUGUUUUUUAGUUAUAGAAAUAUUAGAAAUGUUAUAGAAAUAUUAGUUAUAUAUAUAGAAAUGUUAGAAAUUUUAGAAUUAGUUUUAGUUAGAUGAAUUAGAUUAAUGUCAAAUUGUUAGAAUUUGCAUAUAGAAUUUUAGUUAUCACAAUCCAAUCAUUUAAAAAAUGUUACUUUUUGUGGGCAUAUAGUAUUUGUUCUCGACGAUGCCCGGCCCGCAUCCUCGCCGUCGACCCGUUCGCGACGACGUCCGGCUGACCCAUGUCCUGGAUUGGGCUCCGUCGGGCUGGCACUGGGAGGUGCUACCUGGAGGGGCGUGCCGCUUGGUGAGGAACCCGGCCUCGGGUCCCGUCGUCGAUCCUGAUCUCCUUUGGUGGCGUUCGCGUGGGCCACGUUCGGUGCAGAGGGAGCCGGCCCCGCCGGAGGUGGUGCGUCGUCGUGUCAGGGAGGAGGACGAGCACGUCCAUUGCUACAUGGCUGCUAUGGACGUCAGGUUCUCCAAUACCUGGCAGGUUCUUUGGGCAGAUGACCGGAGAUAUGAUCCUGUGAUGGUUCCUUGUCUUUGGGUGUCCACCGCCCGCGCCCCAGGAACCGCGAGUGGCCUAGAUUCUUCUAUAGUAUUCGAUCUUUAUUAGCUACCUAGCUAGUGAUGUAUUCGAGAUUAUAUAUUAUUCGAGACAAUGUAUUCGAGAUUAUAUAUUAUUCGAGACGAUGUAUUCGAGAUUAUAUAUUAUUCGAGACGAUGUAUUCGAGAUUAUAUAUUAUUCGAGACGAUGCAUAUUAUGUACUAUAUGAUUCAGUUUUUCCUUAUUGAUUGCAUCCAUGCAUUGUAAUUUGAAUACUAAAUUGUUUUAUAUUUCUUCUGUAUUAGUUAAAUAAAAGCUAUGGCGGACAAUACCGGCAGAGAGGGAGAAGAGGCCCUGUUCGAGAUCAUACGCAGCCCUAGCAGGCCAGAUGAUCUGAAUGAAGCAAAUGACGGCUCCCAAUAUCUGAACAAUACCGGGGAGGGUGAUGAUAAGAUAUUCGAUCUCGACGACCGAGCUGAUGAAGUCAUGAACUAUGAUUAUGAUUAUGAUGAUGCAGACAAUGAUUAUGAUGACGAAUACAAUGUUGAUCUUGAAAUAACAAAGACUACCGGCGAGGUAUAUUUAUAUAAGCAGGCAUCUAGUGAUCAUCACAUGUUUUUUUAUUUGAAGAUAUAUUAACGAAUCGAUCUUUCUUCUUCCAGCCCUCCGGAUCGAGCAAAUCUGCUUCUACAGACAGCAAGACAAAGCGCGGCCCGAGCAAAAAGUUGAAGGAGGGUGUAAAGGACAACAUCGAUUCCAUCAAAGCUAGUGGCGAACCCCUCACGCCUAAGAACAUUGCGAGCAAGUUCGUUCGUCAGUGCGGAGUUCUUGUGAAGGACCAACUCCUGAUCUCCAUUCAAGAAUGGAAAGAGCCAAAAACUAAACGCCCAGAUGUUACUUGGGUCGACGACAGAGCAAAACAAAAGCUUUGGGAAUCUCUGAUGGAACAUUUCACCCUACCAGAUUAUUUCACUGAUGCAGAUGUGCAGAAAGUCAAGGACGCUGCUCUUAAGAAGAUGGAAAUUGCAUUCAACACCCACAAGAAACUGUAUGGGCCAACUACCUCGCUGCAGAAAGGAAGACUCCAGAAUUCAAGGGAACACUGGAGAAGCAAAGAGAACACUGGCCCGCUUUCGUGAAAUUCAAGGAAUCAGAAUUAUCUAAGGAACGGUCGAGAAAAAACAAGGCCAAUGCCGCAAAAAAGACGCAGUUCCAUAGGCUGGGUCCAGGUGGCUACGCGGUGGCAAUGCCUAAGUGGGAUAAGUCUGAGCAAGAGAUGGAGGAUGCAGGGGUCACUCCGGUUACUAGGAGCUGGCCCCCCAGGUGCAGAACUUGGUUCUAUGCGCAUGGGGGGGCGUUGGACCCGAAGACAGGCCUGAUUUCGAAGAAGGCAAGUCUAAACGGAGCAGAACAAAAGUUACUUGACGCAAUAGAAGAUGCUCGAAAGGGGGUGUUCACGCCCAACAGAGAGAACGACGAGCUUACGCGCGCCUUGGGAAAUCCUGAACACCCGGGAAGAACACGAGGCAAGGGCGUUAUUCCCUGGUAUGAGGGCUUUUCGGAAUGGAACGACGACUACAGGACCCGUGCAAGAAAGAAGAUGGAGGAGGAGAAGAAGAGGAAGCUGGAGGAGGAGCAGAGGAAGCACGACGCGGAACGCCUUCAAGGCCUAGAAGCAAGGCACGCGGACUUGGCACUCAAAUUCUAGCAGCAGCAGCAGCAGCAGAUCGACUCACUUAGCCAGGAAAGGGGGUCUCAGCAGCGGCAGCAGCAAGCGGAUGAUCAUCCAGCAUUGGAUAGCACCGUCCCAUCCAUGCCGAGAAGCAGCGUUGGUUCCGCUCCGGGCGACGCACUGCUGGAUACAUACCCUGUGGAUGACAUCAUAGAGAACACUAACUGUGAGCUACACUACAAAAUGAAGAACAUAUCCAUGAAGGUGGCGAACGCCGUUGCUUUUACAAUUACCCCCGAAGCAACCUUCCAUUGCACCCCGAUUCCAGAGGGCUAUUCUCGUGUCUUGGUUGAUGAGGUGGUGGGCCCAUAUUCGGGGCUAGAGCUUGACAUUCCUGGAGGUGACGACGAGCAAACACAGGGAGAGGCCAUACAUCGUUUCAUCCUAUGGAAAAAGGAUUGCAUCAUCUUUCGAAGUCCACCGAGACCGCGUCUGCCGACUCCUCCUCGAAGUCCGCCACCGUGUCAGCAGACUCCCGCUCCUCCAAGUCCGCCACCGUGUCAGGCCACACCUCCUGCUUCAAGUCCGGCACAGCGUCAGGCCACACCUCCUGCUUCAAGUCCGACACCGUGUCAGGCCACACCUCCUGCUUCAAGUCCGGCACAGCGUCAGGCCACUCCUCCUGCUCCAACUAAGCCACGUCAGCCGUCUCCGCCACCUAAGCAAUCGCAGAAGAGACACGCCGCAGCUAUGGUGCGUAGCGAUACGAGUCGAGGUAGUAUAGAAAGUACAGGCGGAGACAAGCGAUAUAAAUAUGGUCCAAGCAGCCUCGCUCCUCUUCCUCAGAGGCCUUACGACAUGACCGAGGAUCAAAACGAUGCAAUAGUGCGGGCCGAAGUGGACGCUCAUUUUCGACCAAAACCGGCAACGCCGCCGAGGGAGAAAGUGCCUGAGGAAAAAGAUUGACCACUUCAUUCGUAUGGCUAGACCACCAGCUCCCAAGCAUGUUGACUCAGACUAUGAGCGCCAAAUCAAGAAGGCACAUCGAGCAUGACUACAUAAAGAAGCGAGCUCAAGCUCGAGCCAACAAGCAGCUGUCAAAAAAUGCGGGAAAACCGUUCCCCAGUUGGGAGAACAGGCGGCGCAAUCGACCCCCCCCCCCCCGCUUGUUGUGCCAACAACACAUGAGAGUACGCGCCCAAUAUUAUUGUGGAAAAACCGNNNNNNNNNNNNNNNNNNNNNNNNNNNNNNNNNNNNNNNNNNNNNNNNNNNNNNNNNNNNNNNNNNNNNNNNNNNNNNNNNNNNNNNNNNNNNNNNNNNNNNNNNNNNNNNNNGGGCAAACCGUUUACGUUCCCGAGCUGGGCGAUGUGGUAAUAACCGAGGAGCAUAUAAUGCAGGCUGAAAUGCUCAAGAUCACUGUUGGACAACUCCUCGAGAUCGAGCCCAUGCCUCCGCUUAGAGAGGAGGAAAUAAAACGGAAAUAUGUCCGGGGCCAACCUUUGGUCGAGCCCGAGGAGGUCAAGAACCUCCCAACGAGAAUGUAUGAAUUGCAUGAUUGGUACAUGAAAAUUACCAAGAUUUCCAAUCGAGAGUCCCUCAUGGUGCAAGUCGAGGAGGAUCAUUACUUCCGUAAGAAAGCUCUGGCCAUUGAGUAUUCAGAACUAUUUCAGUUAUUCAAUCAAGAUGCACUCGACAAAUCUAUCGUCAGUUGCUAUUGUCUGUAAGUGAUUUCUUUCUGUAAUUUAAGUCUCAAGCUAGCUCUAGUGCUCAUUGAUUGAUCAUUAAUUACCUGUAAUUAUAUAUCCUCACUAUAUAUUCUUUUCUGUGGUAUUAUGCAGGAUGAAGAUGUAUGAAAUGAAAAGACGCUAUGGCAUUGGGUUCAUUGACCCAAAUACCGUUAAUAAAUACACAUGGAAAUUGGAAUGGUGUAGACAAGAUAUAGAGGAAUCGAUGCUAGAGUUCUUGAAGCGCCUCAAUAGCAAUGAAGAUAUACUACUUCCUUACAACUUCGAGUGAGUCACACUGUCUUGUACUACAAAUUCUGUUUUUGCUUACUAGCUAGAUGUUAAUAAGUGUAUAGGGUUUAGGGUUAUAGUUGAUUAGUGUUAUGCACAUGCUCGCUUAAUUUAUACAUGCAAACGUAUGCGCAUGCAGCUUCCACUGGAUCUUGUUAGACAUUAAAGUUGACGAAGAAAAAGUUGAAGUACUGGAAUCACUACUUAAAAAAAUAGUGACUACAGCAUCGUGAAGGGGAUAGUCGACAGGUUAUUUCAAUCAUUAUUAACUAUAUCUCGGCCUAUUUAGUUCGUCAUUUCCUGAUAUGAACUAUUUUUAAUAACCCCUUUAUUAAUUUUCUUUGCCGGCGGGCAGGGCUUGGGCAAAGUACAUCAAGGUGACUCCAGGAAAAUGGCGACAAAAGCUAUGUUGGUAUCGACCCAAGGUAAGUAAUUAAGUAGUACUAGCUAGCUAGCUACCAUCUCUUUAAUUCUUGUUUCAAUACCAUUAAUUAAUUAACAUGCUUGAUUAAUUAUUAUCUGAUUAAAUUCUAUUGUCGUAAAGGCCCUGAAGCAGGUGUCGGGGACUGAAGUGUGUGCAUACUACGUUUGCGAGAACAUUCGCAUGAUGGCGUCCGAAAGGAGCAGAUCUGAUAGACAGGACUGGGUACGUUUGCCAGAACACUAUUCACAAAUCUUACAUGAUUGUCGAUAUCUAGUCACACAACUAAUACACAUGCAUAUUGAUCUCCUUCUUAACAGUUCAAAGAGGUGCGAGACAAGCUCCUUUCAGAGGAGCGCAUACGAGCACUUCAAGAGGAAAUAGCGGGAUUUUUGCUCGACCAGGUCAUAGAUCCCAAAGGAGAAUACUAUUACCCGCUACCGCCCCCAUGAACCACUUGUCAUCGUGCUCCGAAGGCACCAAGGCAACAUGUAGGAGAAAUUGUAUAUAUAUACAUGUGUAUGUGUGAAUAAUUAAUGGUGGUUGUGAGACAUUCGAUUAUAUAUAUAUGAUCGGUUCUACGAGAAAAUCUAUUUAUAUAUAUGCAUAACGUGUACAAUAUGUAGUAUCGUAAAAUACCAGCAAACAAAAAAGAAUUAAAUGGAAAACACAAAAUUAAUGGAAAAAUAAAAAUUAAAACCAAAACCCUCCCAAACAUUUAGUACCGGUUGGUGCUACCAACCGGUACUAAUGGUCUACCAGCACCUGGGCCUGGCUCGUGCCACGUGGUGGCACUUUAGCGCCGGUUCGUGCCGAACCGGUAGUAAAGGGGGGGGCUUUAGUCUCCACUCCAUAGUGCCGGUUGCAAAACCGGCACUAAAGGCCCUUACGAACCGGUGAUAAAGGCCUGUUCUGCACUAGUGUUGUGGCGGCGCGGAUCUGUGUUGGGGAUGGGUGGCAGCUGGAUCCGGCCAUUAUCGGCUGCGGGCCGGCGCCAAAGUGGAUGCGGCUGAGGGUGGUGAUGCGCCGACGGGGAUUGGGAGGCCGGUACUGUUGGAGGUAAGGCGAAGUGGGUGGAGAAUUUUCACUCCGUGAGNNNNNNNNNNNNNNNNNNNNNNNNNNNNNNNNNNNNNNNNNNNNNNNNNNNNNNNNNNNNNNNNNNNNNNNNNNNNNNNNNNNNNNNNNNNNNNNNNNNNNNNNNNNNNNNNNNNNNNNNNNNNNNNNNNNNNNNNNNNNNNNNNNNNNNNNNNNNNNNNNNNNNNNNNNNNNNNNNNNNNNNNNNNNNNNNNNNNNNNNNNNNNNNNNNNNNNNNNNNNNNNNNNNNNNNNNNNUUUUGUGGUUAUGUUAGUUCUCGGUUAGAGAAGAAAAAACGAAUGUAUCCUCCUUUAACUGGUUAUUGGGGAUCAGUUAGAGAUGUCCUAAGACGCCGUUGCAAACGCGGAUAAGCAGCGCCACCAUAACAAGAGGGACAUGGGUCCAGGCGCCGCCACACCAGCCGACAGCAAUGGUGGCGAGGUUGGGGGAUGGCGCUUAGCUAGGUUUUAAGUGAACGAAAAUAGUAUCUACGUACGGUAUGUUGCAAAAUAUGAUCAGACAUGUCACUAGUCUUACAACAGAGUUGCGAACCAACGAGUGGUUAGAUGGUUAGAAUGACAGUGGUAUCUCCAACCCACUAGGGUUCAAGUCCUAGACUCGACGUUGGUGCUUGCAUUUUUUUGAUUUUAUUUCAGGCCUUUUGGCACUGUACGUUCAGUGAAAGGAGACGUUCCCGUCGACUACAAAGGCAUCUAUGGCGAGUUCGUCAAUGUCAAGAUGAUGUGCCAGUUCGGUCACUCGGAGGCGCUCAUAGAGGUAGGAUGUAUGUUCAUAGGGAUGGGUGGAUGAGCGUUUGGCUCUGUACCGUGUUUCUAAUAAAACAGAGUUGCACGGUCAAUUUCGUUGGAAAAUCCGAAAUCGAAGUUCAGUAGAAAUGAAGUCGGGCGUACCCGUGGUAAUCUGAAAUCCGAAGUUCAGUAGAAAUGAAGUCGGGCGUACCCGUGGUAAUCUGUAAUCCGAAGUUCAGUAUAAAUUUCAUUGGAAAAUCCCCCCAUAACGGACUCCAACUGCCCAACAUGCCGAUCAGAGACGAACUCGUUGCUUCCCUUCCUGCCGGAUCGGGAUCGAUAUAGAAAUGAAGUCGGGCGUACCCGUGGCAACCAUAUCCUACUCCGGCACGAGAACGUGUUUCCCGAUCGAUCUCCUCUCCUACGAUCCAAGCCCAAGCACUAUAAGUAAACUGCCGCACGCUCGCAUAUUCCCAUUGCCUCCCCGAGCAUCGAUCUCCUACGAUCAGAUCCGGUUUCACUUCACCAUCACGUACGUACCUACGUACGUAGCCGGCGAGGAACUGAUCAAGCUCUUCGUUCUCUCUCACGCGCGAUGGCUAGCUUGAUGCCGUCGCUUGCCAUGGACCUGCUACAAGAAGAAGGUGGUCACGAGGACAUUAUACCCGAGGACUUCGUCGGCGUCGGCGUCGUGCGAGAUGCAGAUGACCUGGAGUUGGCCGCGUUUGUGGCCGAGGCGCUGAAGACGGUGGACGCGCCGUCUGACGACGAUGAUCUCAGCUGCCCGAUCUGCUUGGAGAGGGACGACGCGGCGGCGUGGAAGGAGACGCCGUGCGGGCACCGCUUUCACGGGCCGUGCGUAGAGAGGUGGCUGCAGGAGAAAGAGAGCUGCCCCAUGUGCCGUCGCGAGGUCGUCACGGCGCCCACCGCCACCGCAGAUUGUACUGCUGCACACCUACAUUUCUUGUGGAUGGCUGCCUUGGGGUUGCAUGUGUUUGGCGAUGUUCCUGUGGACGACAUGGAAACUGAUGAUGAUGAUGAUGAUGCUUAGGGUGAGCUUCCGGUCGACGUCGGGCACCAGGCUCGAAGCUGAGAUGCUUUUUGAUCGAGAUCAAGUCUCCAUGCAUGCACGAAAGUCGGGGUCAAGAAGACCCAACCUUGAAAACUGUACGUAGUGAUAGAUGCAUCACCUAGUACAUUGGACAUGUCGUUCCGAAUCGAAGGCACCUGACCAUCUUGACAUACUUUGGCCUUCCUUGUGUGUAAAAAUCAGAUGUAAACUACGUGUGUGUGUGUGUGUGUGUGUGUGUGUGUGUGUGUGAUCCGUGCAUCCUUGCCGAUAAAACAUGAUCUAGCAGUCUAUGCCUCACACACUUCGCUACACCUUUGUGAGCCCAUAUACCAUAUGCCGUCAAAGUAGGCUAAUUACUUCAUAGUACAUACUAUACGUACGAUAACCCUCAUUUUUUAGUAUUUUGCUCCUGUUCCAAACCUCAGAUGUUCUAGGUAUUCUCUCACAUACUUGCAUCUCAUGUGUCUGUAAAGGUCAUUUCACUUAUAUUUGGGCGACAACGCACUAUGUUCACAAUUUAUUUCAUCAAGACACAUGCUAGAAAUUUACACAACUUCCUUUCAAUUCCAUACAUUUAUCUUUCUGAAGCGCUCUAGUGCUUGGUAGAAUAUACACUCGACUUCUUGAUCUCAAGAUCCACCACACCAACUAUUCUUUCUCCAUCCAAAAUAUCAUGCAUCUUUUCAUUUCUAUUUUCCAAAAAGAGGAUUAAAAAGUAUAUGGUUGUUCAUCCGUUCACCGCCAAAAAUAAUUUGUUUUCUAUUCGAGAUGGUACUAAAUUCUUAUGCGUUUGUCUAAUAGAAAAAGAAUUUUCGUGCGUGGGCCGCGCGCUGUGGCCCAGCAAAGCCAGCCCCCUUAUUUAUUCUGCCCACGUAGCUGACAAAUUCUAUUUUACGCGCUGGGCGUGAAAUAGUUGGAGUUUCGUACAGGACAACCAAUUAUUGGCUGGCUUUUUCUUAAUUCGUGUGUUUUACAUAUAUUUUUAUUCUCCUUUACCUAUCUUUUUUUUCAAUCCCAGUAUUUUUAGAAUGUAUUUCUUAAAUAAAAAAAUACUGUAAAACGUUCAGAAUUCCAAAAUUUUGGUUCUAUUUUGAAAAAUUAUUCGAAACUUGCAAAACGUUUCUCAUUUUUUCAAAAAACAGUUCUUUUUUUCAAAAUUGUUCCAGAUUUCUAAAAAUAAAAUGGCAUUUAAAUUUUUUUGAAAUAUAUAUUAAUUUUAUUUAAAUUUUUCCCAAUUAAAAAUAAUGUUCGGGGAUCAAAGAUACACAUAUUCUGAAAAUAUUAUGAAUUUUAAAUACAUGUUCCUGUUUUAAAAAAAUGUCCAUAAAUUCAAAGAAUGAUCAUGCUUUUUAGUUGAAUUUCCCCCAGGCCAACAAAUAACGGGCUGGCGCAUUUUUCUUUGUUUCUGUGUUUUCCUUUCAUUUUUAUUCUUCUUUCCCUAUCUCAUUUUUUCCUUUGAAAUUUAUUUUUCUUUGAGAAUUUAUUUAGUAAAUUAAAAAUUCUCAAAACCGUUCGAAAUAAAAAAAUGGAAAAUUUUCAGAAUUCCAAAUUUUCGUCAUUAUAUUGAAAAAUAUUUGGAACUUGCAAAAAGUUUCCAAUUUUUCAAAAACAAUUAUUGUUUUUCAAAAUUGUUCGAGAUUUCUAAAAGAAAAUGGCAUUUCAAAAAAUGCUCUAAAUUCGAAAAAAUAUUCUUGUUUUACUGAAUUUUUCACUAUUUAAACUAAUGUUCGUGUAUAAAAGAUACACAUUUUCUAAAAAUCUUAUGAAUUUAAAACACAUAUUCCCGUUUUAAAAAAAUGUUCAGAAAUUCAAAUAAUGUUAAUGUUUUUAUAAAAAAAGUUGGUGUUUUGAGAAAAGAAUUCUGAAUUUUAAAAUAAGUUCCCUUUCAUAUUUCUUUUGCGAUUUUCCGAAAGUGUACAUAAUUUUCAAAAACUUUUCAAGAUUUAAAAAGUUGUUCAUGUUUCUUAAUAUAUUUAGAAAUUUCUUACCUUAAAAUCCCCUCCACUAAAAGGAUUUUAAAGGAAAAGUAGAUUGAAUAACUCAUGGGCCUUCUCUGACGUAAUUAUUUUUUUCAAAAGGAGGAUAACCCCUGGGCUCUGCACAGGACGAUGCAUGCAGCCAUAUAUUAUUGAAAAUCCAAAAUCCAGCAGCCAAAGAAACUCGACUCGGAAAUAAAAUGGAAAACAAACCCUGAGGCCAAAUACCUCGUGAUAGCAACUUCCCCAGAUAGCCACUAACCAUAUGUUACAAGGCACAACAGAGACAAAAAAUACACAACUCCUAGGCUACACCUUCAAGAAAACGUCAGACGUGCACCAAUGAUGGCGAGUCCACCACAAGGUUGAACUCUGGAUUCUCAUCCCCAAGCCAAAUUUCGAUCCACCACCUUCAACGAAAACACGACGCAUGCGCGACAUGACAUAGCCCGAUUUCAGAUCUUGUGUUUCCACCGAAGUGCAUAAUCGUCGUUGAGGCCUCCUGUACCAUCCGCCUUUAUCCGUCUACCAACCCCUCGAUAUUCGGAUAUUCGGAUACCUCUGGAGAAGACAAUGGAAGAUAAAGACAUCUCAUACCGCCUGCCCCCACUACUGCCGCACCACCUUCUAUCCAAUAGCAACAGGCUAAGAAUGAGCCCUCCACUAGAGCCAUCGUGCGUCACCUGCCGAUAGCAGGCAUGAUUUAACGUCUACACAUAAGACGUUGUGCAUAACAUCCUCCGGUAGCACAUCCACCCGGUAGCUUCACCUGCCGACGACAGGUACUGCCUAACAACUCCGAAAGAGUCACAUGUGUCACCUACCGAGCCGCAUCGAACCCGAUCUGUUGAUGGAAGGGACGUCCCAUACCGCCACCAGCCUUAGAAGGUUGUCGCCACCUCGAGAUCCAGACUCCGAGUCGCCCACACGACCCCGGUGUCCGCCGCCGUUGAUGAAGAGGGGCCGCUGCCCCGAUUCCGGGUGCUACAGGGAGCACCCAUCACCGCGUCAUCCGCUGUCGUCGCCCAUACAAUGGCAACUACCGCCGCAAUCCCGCAUCAAGCGGGGUUGACGCCGAAGAAAGCUCCGGCCGCCAUGCGUGCCCUGCACGAGCUCAGAAACUGGAUCCCAAGAUCCACCGCCACCGGCGCCGCCACAGCAUCCCGCAUCAAGCUUUGACGUACGAUGAUGUAACAAAACUCUUAAAUGUCCUUGAUCAAUGAAUAAAAAAAUUAGCGGAUUGAUUCCAUCACACACGAUGAAACCGAGAAGCUAAAUGUUCCUUUUUCGUGUGCGCACAGGGUUUUGCAUGCACAUAUAACUCCCACUGACUUUAAAUGCAUAUUAUUUUAUCUCCCGUUGCAACGCACGGGCAUAUGUGCUAGUAAUAAUAAAACAAGAAAUAUUUCUUAGUACAAGAAUAUUUAUUAGAGUAAAAUAUUUAGAAAGUUGUGGUCAUCUUAUAAUAAAUGUUAUCAUUCUUUUAAAGAUUUGAAUUUUUAGAAAAAUUAAUGAGUUUUUUAAAUUGCAUGAAUAUUCUUGGAAACCAUGAAAGCUUUUUUAAUUUUGUGAACAUUUUUGAAAGAAAGAAAAAACUCAAAAAUAAUCUAAAGAAAACUAGAAGAAAUAGAAAAGAAACAGAAAAUUGGAAAAUCCAACCAAAAAAAUGGAAAAGCGAUAUAGAAACCAACUCAAGACGGAAAACUGAAAAGAAUUAUCCUAAUGAAGUGGUGGGGCGAGAGAAAGAAAGAAAGCAUGAGAAACGAGAUGGCCCAUUACAAAGCAAAGGAUGUACGAUCUCACGACAUUUAGUCAUGGUGCUUGAAAAAUAGCAUAUAUGUGCCUUGUCGUGACACCAUGCCAAGUUUCACGAUUUUUGGUUGAGUUUUGGAUUUACGGGAUUUAAAAACCGAGAUUCUUCUCACGAAAUGUUUUCAAAUAGCACACGAUUCACUCACGAAAAACGUGGGCCUGUCAAACCGUGGCCGAUGCCCCCCUUCAAACCGUGGGAUUGUACGUCUGCACCGUUUGAUGCUCGUAGAUCGAACGGCAAUCCUCAUCCCUUUCGACAGCACAUGCAGUUCUGGAUUUUAUUUUAUUUAUAUGGGUAAGCACUGUGCGCAUGCGUCGUGCUAGCUCACACUUCCUUCUCUACUAAGUUUUCUAUAUUAAUGUCGUUAUAUAUCCAAACACGCUACCGUUUCCUACCACUCCUCCCAUCGGUUUCUCGCCUCUUCUCCCAUUCUUUUCCCGUUGCCAGUGUUAGUGCUCAUAGAAGGCAAGGAGCGACUAGGUCCCAUAGGGUGACCAGCGUAAACACCUUAAAGGCAAGGAGGCACUUCCUAUAAGUAAGGGGCGGCUUCCCAUCCGCUAGCCUAGUCGAAUAGAACGUAGAAGUUAAGCAUGCUCGGGCCGGAGUAGUCUAAGGAUGGGUGACCCGGUGGGAAGUUGCAUAUCUCAAACUUCAUUUAAACGCUAUGACACAGUCAUUAUAGAGAUAUAUGUCUCUAUAGUGACCUGUCAUGGUGAUUAUAUAAACUUUGGGAUCCUUGUUUUACUAAUUUGUAGACUAUGUUUUUAUUGGUUAUUUUUGCUGUAAAAAAUCAAAGAAAUAUCGACAUCUGUAGGCCCACACAAAUUAUUCCUUUGACCCAACGCAACGCAUGAGAAGCUUUUACUCUGUGCUCCGUGUGCUAUGUUAGAGAAAAUCACGUUUCAGCACAUGCGUUGGACGGCACCCGACCCCUACCCCCUACCCGCCUCGAAGUUGCGUUCCCAACAUCGUACGUCUUUAACCUGGGCGCAGAGGUACGAUGUUCAGUUUGUAAUGUUACUGAUGUAGUUGAUGCCCCAUCAAACUUGUGCUUUUGGGAUUUGAACAAAUCACACACCAGAUCCAUACAUUUUUUUGGGGCCCAUGAAGGGUAUAGGGGGACGGGUGUUUUGAUCGAGCAUUUCUCCCUUGUGUGGUUUCUAGAUGCCGCACAUAUCCGUGGGCUCCCCCAUAUCGAGCAUGUAUGCACCUUGACCAUUAACGAGGGGGGCCCACACAAUCUAUCCCUUUGACCCGACAUACGAGAUGGGUUUGACCAUGAUGAUUUCCUAUUGCUNNNNNNNNNNNNNNNNNNNNNNNNNNNNNNNNNNNNNNNNNNNNNNNNNNNNNNNNNNNNNNNNNNNNNNNNNNNNNNNNNNNNNNNNNNNNNNNNNNNNNNNNNNNNNNNNNNNNNNNNNNNNNNNNNNNNNNNNNNNNNNNNNNNNNNNNNNNNNNNNNNNNNNNNNNNNNNNNNNNNNNNNNNNNNNNNNNNNNNNNNNNNNNNNNNNNNNNNNNNNNNNNNNNNNNNNNNNNNNNNNNNNNNNNNNNNNNNNNNNNNNNNNNNNNNNNNNNNNGCUGGGAAACCAACAUCGUACGUAUUGAACAUGGCUUGGGUCGGGUACGGCGUUCGGUUUGUAAUGUAGUUGGUGCCCCACCGAAGUUGUGCAUUCGGGAUUUGAAUACAUCACACACCACCGUACCCAUACAUAUUUUCAGGCCGUAUACAGUGUACACGGGGUCUUCUGAUCGACCACGUCUCCCUUGUGCGGUUUUUUGUGACAACACGCAUAUCUGUGGGCUCCCCGAGUGUAUGUUGAUACGUCUCCAACGUAUCUAUAAUUUUUUAUUGUUCCAUGCUAUUAUAUAUUCAGUUUAGGAUGUUUAAUGGGCUUAUUUAUACACUUUUAUAUUAUUUUUGGGACUAACCUAUUAACCGGAGGCCCAGCCCAAAUUGCUGUUUUUUGCCUAUUUCAGUGUUUCGUAGAAAAAAGAUAUCAAACGGAGUCCAAACGAAAUGAAACCUUCGGGAGCGUGAUUUUUGGAACAAACGUGAUCCAGAGGACUUGGAGUGGACGUCAAGCAAUCAAUGAGGCGGCCAUGAGGCAGGGGGCGCGCCUACCCCCCCACCCCCCCAGGCGAGCCCUCCACCCUCGUGGGCCCCUCGUGGUUCCACCGACCUACUUCUUCCUCCUAUAUAUACCUACGUACCCCCAAACCAUCAGAAGCGACCACGAAAACCUAAUUCCACUGCCGCAACCUUCUGUACCCGUGAGAUCCCAUCUUGGGGCCUUUUCCGGCGUCCUGCCGGAGGGGGCAUCGAUCACGGAGNNNNNNNNNNNNNNNNNNNNNNNNNNNNNNNGGCGCGCCCUCCACCCUCGUGGGCCCCUCGUGGCUCCACCGACCUACUUCUUCCUCCUAUAUAUACCUACGUACCCCCAAACCAUCGAAGAGCACCACGAAAACCUAAUUCCACCGCCGCAACCUUCUGUACCCGUGAGAUCCCAUCUUGGGGCCUUUUCCGGCGUCCUGCCGGAGGGGGCAUCGAUCACGGAGGGCUUCUACAUCAACACCAUAGCCUCUCCGAUGAUGUGUGAGUAGUUUACCUCAGACCUUCGGGUCCAUAGUUAUUAGCUAGAUGGCUUCUUCUCUCUCUUUGGAUCUCAAUACAAAGUUCUCCUCGAUUCUCUUGGAGAUCUAUUCAAUGUAAUCUUCUUUUGCGGUCUGUUUGUCGAGAUCCGAUGAAUAGUGGGUUUAUGAUCAAGAUUAUCUAUGAACAAUAUUUGAAUCUUCUCUAAAUUCUUUUAUGUAUGAUUGGUUAUCUUUGCAAGUCUCUUCGACUUAUCAGUUUGGUUUGGCCUACUAGAUUGAUCUUUCUUGCAAUGGGAGAAGUGCUUAGCUUUGGGUUCAAUCUUGCUGCGGUCGAUCCUAGUGACAGUAGGGGAAACGACACGUAUUGUAUUAUUGCCAUCGAGGAUAAAAAGAUGGGGUUUAUAUCGUAUUGCACGAGUUUAUCCCUCUACAUCAUGUCAUCUUGCUUAAAGCGUUACUCCGUUCUUAUGAACUUAAUACUCUAGAUGCAUAUUGGAUAGCGGUCGAUGUGUGGAGUAAUAGUAGUAGAUGCAGGCAGGAGUCGGUCUACUUGUCACGGACGUGAUGCCUAUAUACAUGAUCAUACGUAGAUAUUUUCGUAACUAUGCUCAAUUCUAUCAAUUGCUCGACAAUAAUUCAUUCACCCACCGUAAUACUUAUGCACUUGAGAGAAGCCACUAGUGAAACCUAUGGCCCCUGGGUCUAUUUUCCAUCAUAUUAAUCUCCCGUUAUUUCCAUUACUGUUUACUUUGCUUUCUUUACUUUUACUCUUUAUCAUAAAAAUAUCAAAAAUAUUAUCUUAUCAUCUCUAUCAGAUCUCACUCUCGUAAGUGACCGUGAAGGGAUUGACAACCCCUUUAUCGCGUUGGUUGCGAGGUUCUUAUUUGUUUGUGUAGGUGCAAGGGACUUGAGCAUGACCUCCUACUGGAUUGAUACCUUGGUUCUCAAAAACUGAGGAAAAUACUUACGCUACUUUACUGCAUCACCCUUUCCCCUUUAAGGGAAAACCAACGCAGUACUCAAGAGGUAGCAUAUGUAUAUAUAUAUAUAUAUAUCACCCCUUUGACCGAUAUAUCUCUUUUUUUAGGCAAUAGGAUAUAUCUCCUUCGGCUAAACAUUGUGGGUUUUCUACUUCAGCUUAUAUUUCUAUUUGUAGAGAUUUGUGGGCCUUCCAGACAAUUAUUUUUUCCAAGCUUGAUCAUAUUUUGAGCCUAGAAUUAUGUGGGUUAAUCUCGACCGUAAUAACUCGGUCCCACCAGAUUAACAGCUCCUAAUUUCUGAUUAACGUAGUAAUAUCUAGGGAGUCACAAAUUAUUAUGAGUAUAGAUAAUAUUAUAUAAUAGAUGUUUUUCUAAUUCCCAUCCAUUUUUAAGUUAUUUUGAAACUGACAAGAUCACGCGUUCUGUUUUCAUCGCGAAAACAGAGUCUUCAAAAAAGCACUCCGUGAAGAAGUUGAACUUCUCGAACAUGCCGGUUUGAACUUCACUCUAUUUUUCACGUGCUACUUUUUGCCCGUAUCUCCCCAACCACUCAUCGGAAUUGAGCAAAAGAUAUACCGCUGGAAAGCUGUUGAAAACGCACAACUUCCCUGUAUUGAUCAUUUCUUCAUAUUUACCACGGUUAAAUAGAUUUUUCUGAAUACAUAAACACUUGUUUGUAAUGGUAUAAAUGAAACUUUUAAACCGUUCAUUGAAGUGAAUCAUAUAAUAUACCGUUGGAAAGCUUAUGAAUAGUAGAAACUUUUUCAUGUAGAUAGUUUUCACAAAUUCGUUGCUGUUCGCGAAUAGUUUUAGAAAUGGCAAAAAGAACGUUGCUCUUGCCUUUUUUAACAUGUAAAUGAAUGACGGAUGUCUCGCACUAGAGAUUUUGAACCGUGCAGGGAGAAGCACGUGAACUUCUCGCAACAAAACUUUUAGUCUUCUAGUUUUGUAUUCUUUUAUUCUCUUCCAAAAUGUAUAGUAGUUGAAUUGCUCGUUGUUUUCACUUUGAACUGCUAUCACGUAUUUUUGUUCGUGCAGAGAUAGAGAGAGGUACGUGUGAGAAAUAUAGAGAUAGAAAGAGAUACAUGAAAAUUAAAGGAGUUUUUUUUUCCUUUUCUGUAAUUAAAGAGAUACGCAUGAGAAAUAGAGACAUCAGAGAGAGAUACGUGAGAAUUAAAGCCACCGAGAGAUAAGACAGAUACGUUCAGAUUUGGCAUAUUCUCUUGUUCAUGACUCUCCCAGUUUUCAACAGUACUCCCUUCAUCCGGAAAUACUUGUCAUUAAAAUAGAUAAAAGAAAAUAUAUUUAGAUAUAUUUUAGAUUUAGAUAUAUUUGUUCCUAUCCAUUUUGAUAACAAGUAUUUUUGGACGGAGGGGACAUCUAGAGAAUAGAGUUGUUUAAACACGAAACGUCUUAGGCCUUUGUUCACCUCGCCAUAUGUGGCAUAGCCGCAUGCACAACCUAUGAGUGGUCAUUUCAACAGUAAUCUACCUAUCCUGCCAGACCUGCUCCAGAGAGGGCCUCUGCCUAUGUGCGUGGACCUACCCAGCUCUUGUCCCUAGGAGCACCGCUGUUGGUUUGGUCAAAAUGGAUAGGAUUAAUAUGCUACCACGGCUGCUGUUCGACUGACCCCUUCACCAAUCUCAUCAACAUUGAAUAACCAGAUAAAAGGGGUUCGGGACUCCCGGGUGCUACGACACCUUUCCGGCAGCAGUCACCAGGUCCCAUGAGAGCGCCCUCACCAAAGCUGCUAUGCAUGGCUUUAUGAACUCGGUGCCGGUGCCGGCCAGGGCUGCUGCUGUAGCGUAAUAUCCCACAGUACGGAGAGGCGACAAGGGAGGCAGAAACACUCGCGCCCAUUGUGUCCGCACCCUCAUAACUCUAGUACAAAAUGGGCUUUUAGUCCGGGUUUUAGAGAGCCUUUAGUCCCGGUUCUGAAAUCGGAACAAAAGGGACGGUACUAAAGGCCCCCCUUCGAACCGGGACUAAAGGCCCUCCACGUGGCCGCUGUCUGGAGCUUCACCUUUAGUCCCGGUUGGUAACUAAAGGAAAUUUUUUGGAUUUUUUUGUAAUUUUUUCCUGAUUUUCAAAUUUCUGAAUUAUUUUACAAUUUAAUCUCUAAUCACUCCUCAUCACUGUUCAAUUUAAUCUAUAAUCUCUAUUCUCUAAUCACCCCUCAUCAUUCCAAAUCGUCUAACUUCCCGUCCGGUCACCCAUCCUGUUACUACUCCAGCCUGAGCACGCUUAACUUCCGGGUUCUAUUCCCCUCGUUUCCAAGUCUGCACUUGUUGUUUUCCAGACAAUACUAAGAUGUUAAUCCAAUUAACCCUCAGAAGUUUAGCUUGAGUAUGAAGUCACACGUUUCACUGUUUGAGUUUGAAACUAUUAAUCUAAAAACAGUAAUUAUUUAGUAACACUAAUAUUUCUUGAAUAAGUAGUUUGAACACAGUUUGACCACAGUUUGACCUGAUUUGACCAAAAUUCAAAAAAACUGAAAUAAUUAUUUAGUAACACUAAUAUUCUUGAAUAAUUAUUUAGUAGCACUAAUAUUUUUUGAAUAAGAAGUUUGACCACAGUUUCUUUCCUUUAAGAAUUUGAGGAUUUAACCAAAAUUCAAAAAAAUUGAAAUUUGAGCAUAUCUUUUUUUCCUUUAAGAAUUUAAGGAUUCUAAAAAUUUGCAAAUAGGCCUACGGCCAUCAAAAUCGGAUGCGGAUUUUCGUGCUGAACAUUUUGAUAUAUUAUACUUUUUUUCCGACAUCAUAUGCAAAAGUUAUAGCCGUUUUACUUUUUCCCUACACUUUUUGCAAAACAUGUCCAAAUUUAAGUUUUUAAAUUUUCCUAACUAGUAGAUGUAGUAAUAUAACUACAUCUUGAACGAUUUUAUUUUUUGAAGUUUUUAUCAUUUUCUUUUGUUUUUUUUAAACUGAAAUGACGAUACACCGGGGGGGUAGUUUUUGAGACACGAACCCCUUUAGUCCCGGUUUGAGACACGAACCGGGACUAAAGGGCAUCACACCCUAUAGUCCCGGUUCGUGUCUCAAACCGAGACUAAAGGUCUCAUCUUUACUCCCGGUUUGAGAUAAAAACCGGGACUAAAGGGCAUCGCACCCUUUAGUCCCAGUUCGUGUCUCAAACUGGGACUAAAGGUCUCAUCUGAACCGGGACUAAUGCCUUUAGCCGCUCGAACCGGGACUAAUGCCCACAUUAGUCCCGAUUUGUAAUGCAACCGGGACUAAUGUGUAUAUUGAGCUGUGACCAAAACCCUGUUUUCUACUAGUGUAAGAAGAUAUGCAUGAGAGAGAGGCCUGAGAAUUUGUGAUAGACAUGUGAGAUAGAGUAGAACAGAGGUUGGCAUAGAGACUUGAUACAGGGACACGUGAAAAAUAGAGAGAUGGAGAGAGAUAUGUGUGAGAAAUAGGGAUAUAGAGAGAUACAUGAGAAUUAAAGCGGACCUUGAUAGAGAGACACGUGAGAAAUAGAGUGAUAGAGAGAGAUACGUGAAAAUUAAAGCGGUUUUAAUUUCUUUCCUUUUCUGUAAUUAAAGAGAUACACAUGAGGAAUAGAGAGAUAAGAAAGAUACGUGAGAAUUAAAGCCGUUUUAAUUUUUUUUCCGUUUCUAUGAUUAAAGAUCAGAUCUACACCGUUAUAAUCUUGACCCACAAAAUCAAUGGCCUCCAUUUUCUAUAUUUCUCUAAUUGAUGUGGGAAUUUCUCGGGAGUUCCUAUUAGUAUAGGUAUAUAUAUGUGCAAAAAUCUCGACAUUAAUGAACAUAUAUCUCGUGCACUUGCAAUCUUUUGUAGUACAUUAAUGAAUAUUUAAAAUAUUUUCUAACUCUUGCUAUUUAUAGACUUGUCGUCCGUGUCUGCCACAUUUGGAGUCCAACUAUUUCCUACUGGAACCUUACACUCGACUAGAACUGAGUUUGUCAAGUAACAGAUAACCAAUAUGAGAGGGAGCAGCCUAGUGCAGGCGACGAUUGUAUUCUUCAUUGGAUGCCUUGUGCUUUGUGCACAGUGUAAGUAUAUAUCAUCAUCGUCUUUAGAAUUUUGUGUUAACUUCUUGCCACUAAUUCUUCAGAUCAGACAUACAUACAAACAUACAUCUGCGGUACUGCAUACUAAGGUUAAAUAUACUAUAUAGGUGCUCUCGAUAAUAAGCAAAUGAUGGUCAACCAAGAUGAUCAUGCGACGAACACAAGUACCAACGCUACCAUCGUCAACUCAACAUCUGUAGGCGAGAGCAAGAAAAACGGGAAAUUUUGCAGCCUCUAUCUCGUAUGUUAUUUCAACUUUGAGAUCCGUGCUCAGUGCUACUGUUGCCAGGAUAAGAAUGGCGACUGUUACAAGACGAAGAGUGAGUGCCUGAAGAAGUGCCAUUCCUACAAUGGUUAAUGCCCACCUUCAUCGGGGUCUCUCGGAUAGAAUUCCAUAUGCUCGGAAAAUUUGUCCGUCGGUAAUAAAAGGCACCUUAUAUGGUUUGGGCAAUUAGGUUCCAAUUAAACAUUAGAUAGCCCGCAUGUUUCCGUGGAGAUCCAACAAGGAAAAAUUUGACGAAAGAAAUCCGAGUAACUAGUUGUCUUGCAUAUUUACAAAGUUCAAAUCCUUUGGUUGUGGUGCUUUGACUCGAUUGUCUAUUAUGCUCUUUCAUUUACUUGCACAUCGCCCACUUGUUU
rnacentral:lncRNA from 1 species